rnacentral:lncRNA from 1 species
UUUUUUUUUUUUUUUGUUUAAACCUUAGCAUUAAAUGGAGCUAAUUUGGGAGCUCCAUGCCCAAGCAAGAAAAGCCCAAUCUAAUGUUAAAAUUGGCUCACAAAGCUCGUCAUGCUUCAUGCUUUGGAAAGCCCACAUAGAUUGGGCCACUCCUAUUAUAUAUGUGAGAGAGCCCAGAUGGGAUUGGGCCAGAAUCUCUGUGUGUGAGAGAGAGAGAGAGAGAGAGAGAGAGAGAGAGAGAGAGAGCAAAAACAACCAUAUUAUAUAUGACAAUGGAAUUUCCAGCUACAUGGUCCAUUAUUACCAGUACAACAAAAGAUUAAAUAGAUAACAUGACUUGACUGACUUACAAAGAAUUUCAACUUACAUAUAAAAGAAUGAAAGAAUAAACACAAGUUGACUCAGAAUGACUUAAUUCUAAAGAACACUGACUGCAAAGAAUUGAAAUCAAAAUAUCAACCUAGUCACUUUUUUUCUUCUUCUUACAAAAUAAAUGGUUCUGACUCUACCGGACUGACGAUCUUAUAUCUGCAAGGAAAGAAUGAAAGAAUAAUACUAAUGACAGAUUUCCCCUACCUACAAAGAAUUCUGUAUCCCUUUUCUUUUCUGUAUGCAACAAUGGAAUGAAAUUUUUGUAUGAAGAAACUAAAAUCCGCGGCUAUUUAACUUGGUUGCGAAAAUGACGAUGAGCUGCCUGCAACAUCAACUGGUGUCCAUGCUGAAACUGUGUAUAGAGGCUGAUCCAUCCAACCUAGAGUAACUGCUGCUGCUCCAUCUUGUCCUUGCUUCUUCACAUUGUAAUUCUCACCAGCAUACAUCUUCAACAGAAACUGGCUCUGAAGCAUUUCCCUCUCCGUUAUCCCCAUGCAUCGAAACCCUCCUUGCUCCAUCAGCUUCCUCCACUUCUCAAAGCUCUCGUGCCUCUCCAACCUAUCGCUUCCUUCGCAAGCAAUGACGUUCCUGAUUUCGCGUGCAAACAUCUCCUCCACUUUGAUCCUGGCCUGGCUCUCCGAAGGAAGGCUAGAACUAAUCAAGUCAAAUAUGGCAGAGUAGUGCUUCAAUGAGUUGGAGACUCUUGCCUCCAGCCUAGGCUCAUUGUGCUCAGCCUCUUGCUCUGCCAUGAGGACUAUUGUCGGGUUUGUGCUUCGGAUGAGUCCCAAAAAAUCUCUCAGAGCUCCUCCAGUCCCGUCAUAAAGAGUCUUGUGCAGUUGGAAAACACAAUUCACUGCCACACUUUCUUGCUCCUUCACAUGAAGCAUCCAAAGCCUCACAUCUUCCAACCUGUCCACAACGGGGUGGAACUCGAAGGGCAGGUUCAAUGCCCCAGCAAAUCCAGCAAGCCUAUCUCCUGUCUCGUUGAGCUCUUGCUUCGACUCCCCUAUACCAGUGAUCCUAAUGUGGCUUGGUGGAUUGGCCCUAGAAGCUAAACUCUGGAACAAACUAGGCCACUGCAGCCCUUGCUUGAUGUCGAAAUCUAUGAUGUGAACCCUGUCCUUCCCUUCAAAAGCUCUCAGAAGUAUCUCAUUUGAGGUAAAAUGAAGAAACUUUGGAAUUGGGCUAACCUGGUUUAGAAGCCUCAGUGCAAUGCCAGAGUCAUCAUCUCCUCUAUCAAACUCUCUAGGAGGAGUGAUCUGAAACACAUGUGGCCAAAGCCUAGUGACUCUCAGAGCUAAAGCUUCAGUGUAAUAGGCCGUAAGCCGGCUUAUGGUGGUUCCUCUUGGAGAAGCAAGUUCCCCCAACUUAGCUAUGAAAUGGUUAAUUGCUGCAAUGUUCUUCAACCCAAUUGCCUCCACACAAGCCGUAAGCAAGCUAACAAGCUCAAAAUCCUGGUGCUCUCCUUCACUCUCAUCAUCAUCAUCAUCCUCUGCCUCAACCCCUGCACCUCCAUGUGGGAUAUAAGGAUCUCUAGACCCAUUACCAGCUUCAUGUUCAGAGGCACUCUCAUUUAGCCUCAAACCCAAGCUUUGGCUAUCCGACGAAGCGCUCGAUGCUGCUGCUGAUGCUUCCCUUCCCAGUCCACGCCUAGUUUCGGCGUCCUUCUCGCCAAGGUCAGUGAUCUCAGUCACAAUUGAAUCCAACCAAGGAUUGUUUGACAAUGGCAAAGGCUGUGAAAUGGCUUCAGCUGGAACAUAACAAACCCUCUCUUCAUCUCCUGAGCAUGUCAAAGAGAAUGGAAGUUCAGGAGGAGGAUCAAGGCCUGUGGUGAUUGACUGAACUGACCGAGGCACAUGGAAAUCAGGCUGAAACCAAAAAUUCCCAGCACCCAAUUGGCCUAAACUCAAACCAUCACCACCUUCAUCCCCUUUGCCAUUAUCAAAGCAACCCUUUUUUCUCUUUGCUCUGUUUAUGCAAGACUCAUCAUCAUCCACUGAGCCCCGCUCUGCAAACCUCUUCAAGCUCUUACCUCUCUUCUUCUCCCAAAACUGAUCAUUAACCUCCUUUCUCGCCUCCACAAACGCCGCCGUCUGAGCUGCACUUGUCACAGGACCGCUGGUAGCCAGAGGAGGCAGCCUGAUGCUCUGCUUCAGAGAACAACUGCUGGUCUUCGAAUCGAUCGAUUUCUCCACCGAAAGCCCCACAGGCCUAAUGGGUUGUGACCUAGAGGUGUCUUUCCGAGGAAAGCUGCAUGGUAAGUCCAAUCUCUGUGUGCUCAUUGCUGGUAACUGGAAAUGGCAAGCUUGUAACUGUGCUGCUGCUUCACUCCUCAAUCUAUGCCUUGGUGACAACAAUGUGGAACUAGAGCACCCAGCCAACAUCCUCUAUGAUGUUCCAAUUUUGGUUUUUAUCUUGGUUAAUGUUUGUGCAACUAAUAUUCACCCACCCAAUGUGUUUUUCUUUCUUUCUUCUUUAACUCCCUAGCUAUCUCUUCUUUUGGGUUUCUACAGCUUAAAAAUGUGAAAGAAUGGUGUUUUGUGCAGAGAAUUUCUAUGAUCUUUGAAUGAAUAUGUGAUUGAAAGAGAAAUCCAGAGAGAUAGACUAUGUGAAACUAUAUGUGAGUGUGUGAAAGAAUAUUUCUACAGAAAAAUCUGAAUAAAAACAAUAGGAAUCCGAUGAGUGAAUAAAUCAAUCAAAAGGUGUGUAUAAGUUUGAGUGUUCCUAUAUGUGUAUUUUUAUGCAAGAAAGAAUCAAAGAAACAAUCAGAGUAUAUGCUAAGAACCCAACCCCAGAAAAGAAUGAAAGAAUUUGAGACUAAUCAAAGAAUAAAUUCCUACAAGAACAAGAUCAUCGGAUUCCAAAACGUUCAAAGAAAGCUCAUUGGGAAAAGCAGUGAUUUUGUUUCACCAUGGAGCUAAAAACAGAGUGAUAGGGAAGAACGCAGAUACAUACAAGCUCAAACUGGUGGAUCAAACUCUGAGAAAUUUGCAGGCCCAGAUUAGCAUUUGGAGCCUCCAUGAAGAUCACCACCAUGGCUGAAGCAGAACCAGAAGCAAAACCCAGAAGCCCUUUAAAUGUGCAUGCAUGAAAAAGCUGAAGAUCAAACAACAAGAAGAAGCAGACAACUCUCUCCUUAGCUAAGCACUCUCACUCUCUCUCUCUCUCUCACAACCCAAAGAAACCAAAAACCAUAGAACCCUUCUGUUUUUAUAUACUAUAAGCCUUUUAGUUCUUGGCCCCCCCCUCUCUCUCUCUCUCUCUAGACCACUUCCAGGACUGUCUCGAUCAUGGGUAUUUUUCCUUCUUAAUUUAAUUUAAUUUAUUUAACUUGAGUGACUGAUUUGAUUCACCAGCAUUGAAAAAUUGAGGGGUGAAAAGGGUGUUGGAAAAGACUUCAGGAGGGGAGUUGGGUUUGUGGGCCGUGGGAUUUUGAUCAGAGGGUGUAGAGUGGUGGGCUAUAUGACCGUUGGGGGCUUGUCGGUGAAAUAUGACCGUUGGGAGGGCGUAGGGGGGGGUUGGUGGUGUACGGAAGGGGGGUUUUUUUUCUUUCUUUUUGGGUAGUCUGUUGAUAUACACGUAGGCCGCACGUGCCUGUCUGCUGCCUUUCCUGCCUUCGGUUCUCUCGACCGUUCGGUUGCUUCAUCAUUGGGCCUUUUGGCUUUGUUUAAUUUUCCCCUUAAUUAAGUAUGCUUAACUUCCUUAACUUCUUUCAUGGGCCCUCUGGCCACACAGAUUUAUGCCACGUGGUGCCAAAACCAUCGGCACUCUACCUUCUUUUUUAGAAAUUUUUAUAUGUUCCGCGUACACAAUGUGGUUAGUGUUUCGAGUACACUAUGUAGCUGGUGUACUAUCUAAUAAAUAUAGAAUGUGUGGAAUUAUUGUCCAACUUACUGCAUUUCUUUUUAUAACGUGUGGCGAGCUGCAUUGGAAAUAUUCCAUAUGUCCUCUGUCUAUUGGAUGGUACACGUGGUGUACCUAGAACACCCAAAAAUUACUCAUUUUCUUUGUUCUUUCUUUUUUCUCUCUAAAUAAGCACUAUACCAUGCUGUCGGUUUCACGUGCCAACCUUUGCACUUGCUAACACAAUAUUGGACUCGUUCAAGGAUAAAGAAAACUUUGCAAAAAUAGCUUAAGUGACCAAUAGCAGUUACUCAUGAUUUGAGGUCAGAGGCUCGAAGUUUCCACCUCAAUAUUGUUUGUAUAUAAAAUAAAAAAAUUAGCCUAACCCAUGUAUGUUUGCACGCGGUUUAUACAAAAGCUAGGAGGAGUCAUGAUAUAGUGGGAUGAGAGAGUUGGGAAAAAGAACAAAGACAUCAAGUACAUGGACGUAUGGAGAGCAAGGCAAAUAAAUGUCACUAGAAUCUCCACUUGCAUAGAAAUGGUACAAGCCUAGGAGUAGUUGGUUUAGCUUUUACCAAGCCAUAUCAUUGAUCCAGUUGAAAGAAAAUCAUUCCCAAAUAUGCCUUGAACAAAAUUGGAUCCGUAUAGGUUAUGAUUCUGCUAACUCCCAAGAACUCUUUUGAUUUGAAAUGAAAAAAGUAAAAGUGUAAAAAAAAAAAAAAAAAAAAAAAGACUGUUAAAGUGUUGUUGCUAAAACCAAAAACACAUCAGCAAAACGAACUUGCCGCGAAGGCAAGGCUGGGAACCUGGAAACAACGAUUAUAUUCUCCCACACCGAAAGUAUAAUGUCGUAUGGCCCUUUCGUUUUACCCUUUACCCUUUACUUUCUACCUAUUCUACUUUCUACUUUCUAGAGGAUUUUGGAUGCAGAUUUUAAAUUUUUUUGUUUUUUCAAUUGGAAAAAUAAGAUAAAUCAGUAUUGGGUUCAGAUUUCCAUUUCUGGUAAAUAACAAUUCACAAUAUGAACAACAUGACAAGUCAUAUGGUGUGAAAUAGAAUGUGAUGGAUUUUAUUUCAUUUUAGCAGAUACUUUUAUUUAUUAAUUUUAUAGGAAAGAUUCAGUUGGUUCAGACUAGAGGUACCUUAGCUCUAUUCCAACCCAACCCAAUUUUCAAGUACUGGAAUUGGAAAUUUCAGCCCUACCCUCAAUCCUGGUUUGUAAUUCCCAAUCCUAGCUUAUUCGUCAUCGGGCAAGCUCGAAUUGGCUUCUUAGCUGCAUCAGCACGUGAAUGCACUUGUAGCCGUUAGAUCGAUGACCCUUGUAUUAGGGUAUACGUCCAUAUCAAGGCAAGCAGGUGUAGCCGUUAGAUCGAUGACUCUAUCAAGCUACUGGGAUAUGCUCGCAUUUGGUGCAAAUUCAUACAUUCAUUCAUUCCCCAAAACUCAUGAACAACACACCACAGAUGGAAACAUACAAUGACCAUAAUUAUUCCCCCUUUUAAAUUUGAUUCUGCCCAUGUCCUCAAAUCCAUGUAUGAAGUAUUUCAUCCAAACACCCCCGAAAGCGCAAACAAAAACCAGGAUUUCAUUCACAAUAUAUGUAGAUAAAUGAAAAAUGUUCUAUUGUUCUACAUUUUGGAGUCAGCUACUAUAUCAACUCCAAAAACAAAGCUUCUUGUUUGCUGGUAAGGCCAACUUCAUUCAAUGUCAAAGCACUCUCUCCAUCGCUGAAAGCACGCCUAGGGAACGGCCUCACCUAUUUCAGCAACAUAAUUAAAACCAAGCAGAAUAAGACAUAAAGCGCAAACACAAAUAUCAUCUCAAAGUUUGUUUAGGAUUUCUAGCAUUCAUAUGCAGUUGUGCUCUUUUUUCUCCAUGAACACGGUUUAAUUGAUAUAACAAUUUGCAAAGAUUGAAGACACGGGCUUUAUUGACACUUCGGGUAUUGAAUAAAAUUCAAAGUUUACUCACCACUCUGUAAGAGCCGGGUUUGAACCUCCUGCCAAUAUCAAUGAAGUUGAAAAGAGACUGCAAUGCAAAUUACUAUCCGGCUUAGCAAAGAGUAUGUGCAAAGAGAUAAUGCAGCUAAAAACAAUAUCAAUGCAGCUAAAAACAAUAUCCUUCACAACAAUUUUACCUGCAGUUUGUCUGUCUUAAGAAAUCGGCGGCCAUGGCGGCUGCCAUCUGGCAUUCGCACCAUAAGGGUUACAGCAUUCUCAUCAUUUGAUGCUGGUUCUUGAGGGAGAGUAGCUUCUUUUGCUGCUAAUUGCCUCUCCAGUUCCUGCAAGGAAGAAUCAUGCAGAAUGAAGAUAUAAGUAACUUCAAAACAUAAAUCCACCAAGACAAGGAGUCAUCAUUUCCUGCCCACUGAGAAUGAGCAACUAGUGUCCCAAAAAAAAAUUGUGAGUAGGGCCCAAGUAUGUGUCUCAGUACAAACUACAAAAGUCAGUGAAUGCAUAACUGUCAAAUAAGGGUAAUACUCGCCAACCAUAAUUAGGAUUUAUCAGACCAUCUGAGCAGAAAUACUGAAAAUAAAAUACUAAAGCCAAAGACGAAGACGAAAAUUUCCAAAAUAUGUGUAUUCUUUUAUUCAGUCUCCAUAAUAAACUUUAGUUAUCAAAGUAAUUUUCCAUCUGAAAAUUAUUGCAAAAUGACACCUACAAAAAUUUAUAAAAGAGUGGCUCCAUUCCCAUACUCAUUGCUCAACACACCACUAAAUUUCUAACCACUCAUUGUAACAUUCUUCACUUUUUAUCUUAUUUAUCAAUUUCAAACAAUGAAAAAAUUAAAACAAUAAAAGAUAAAAAGUAAGAACCACAGGCAGACCACCCCCUGCUGCCAGGCCAGCCACCAGCAUGAUGCUGGCUGGUGUUUUUCAAAUUUUGAGGAUAAAAAUAAGAGAAGAAAAGAAAAUAUUCAAGUGACAGGGUGGGAAUAGAGCCAAUUUUUAUAAAAAACACAAAAUAUAUAUAUAUAUAUAUGAACUGAGAAAAAUGACCAUGUUUGGAGCUAAGUUAAUUAAUCAUACAAAAUACUACUAAUGUAAAAUAAUUUAACAGGAAAGAAAAACUGAUGAAUGCAAGAGUUAAAUGUAUACAUAUGUAAGCAUAUAUAGAUAGAUAGAUAGAGAGAGAGAGAGAGAGAGAGAGAGAGAGAGAGCAAGUCACAUAACCAACAUCAAAUAUUCUAAAACUAAGAAGAUGCAAAUAUAUAAAAUAUACAGUACCUGCUCCUCCUCAAAUUUCCUCUGAGAUUCUUCCUCUUUUAGUCUGUCUUCUUGACGACGAGCUUCAGCUUCCUCAAUAGCCUUCAGUUCCUUUUCUCUAUCAGCUUGAAGUGAUGCAAGAUAUUCAUCAUCCUGCAUGUAUCAAGUUAGUAAAACCAUUAACACAACUUUUAGUGCACAACUUUUAGAAAUUUCGUCCAGUAUUUAAAAACCUGUUGUUCCCUUAUCAACCGCUGCGCUGUCAGAGAGGGUGAAGGAGGACGAGGUACUGGCCGGGGAUACGAACUCUCAGCUCGCAUAAACUGAUGAGGUGCAUAGGGAAGGCGAUAUCCAGACCCUUCAGGAAUUCCACCAAACAUUGCAGCCUCAAGCAUCACUGCUUCAUCGUGCUCCUCUGAAGAAAUGCCUCCCCACUUCAAUUAUAAAGAAUAAUUGAAGGUCAACAUUUAGUUGGUGUAAACAUUUACUAACAUGAUCAAUUAAAAAGAAUUUCGAAUACUCAUUCAUAACUUAUAAUAACUUAAAAAGAAAGAUACCUCAUCAGUAGGGAAGACACUUCCACUGUGCCUAGGAUGAUUACCCAUAUCCUGCUCUCCAGGACUUGAAGGUGCGCUAUCCUCAGUAGCUCCAACGUCUUUGGCAGACUCCACAGAGCCAGAGGACAUUCGCCUGGACCUAUGUCUGACAAGAGGCUGCUCCUCCACGUCUUCAGUUUCAUCGUGGAUGGAUGAGCUUCCUCCUCCCAACCUGGAUUCACUCAAAGCACCCUCAUCAGAAAUGAUGUGUUUAACACUUAAUAGCAACACAAGAUAUAUACCUUCCGUUUGGUGCCGUUAAUUUUUCCAGCUCCACCUCAGCUGCCUUAGAAGCCCCCAUCUCUGAUGGGCCAACAUUUUCCCCCUGGCCACGCAAUGCUUUCUCUUGCUCUGCUGUCUGGACUCAGUUCAUGUCAAAUGACACACUAUGGAUACCAAUAAUAAUAAUAAUAAAAUAAACAAAAAACAAAAACAAACCUUCAGUGACAAUGAAACUGCAUGUGCAAGUUCAGGAUCCUCUAGGUGAGGCGGCCUUUGCGGAGGCUCGUUAUCAUCAAACUGCUGCAUCAAGAUGAAAUUAAUACAAAGACAAUCUCUUAUUACUAGAAAACCACAAACACGAGGUCCAACCCAACAGUGUAGGCUUGUCACAUACAGUUGGUGCACCAAAUAGUUGAUUUUGUUGGCCUUCUUCAACUUCACGUUUUGAAGCCUCGAUGGCAGCUCGAAUCAUUUCUUCUUCGAUAUCAUUGCUAUAAUCCUGUGGAUCAUCAAAUCGAGGAGCACUAGGUACAAAAUUUCGGUGAUGAGAUCCAUCACCUGAAGAAAUAUCUUGUGGUCCGCUGCCUUGUCCAGCCUGAACAGUUGGGGCAGCUGGAACAUCAUCAUCUUCAUCAUCAAUUAUAACAGUCCCAGGGAUACUUGGGCCAUAUGCAUGCGCUGUUCCAGUGACAUCAUCAAUGGUAGGAGCAUGGCCAGAAUGGCCGGAGGGAUUGUCACCAUCCUUGACUUCUAUGGGGAUCUCCCUGACCUCUCUUGGAUGAGUAACAAAUGGUGCACGUUCUCUAAAAUCUGACCCGCUUUCAAAUAUGCUGCUACCCAAACUUGGAUUAAGAAGAGAAAAUGGAUUUAUAUUGCGGGUUGCAGAUAGAAGUGAUAGAGGAUCUCUCCGAGGUCCAACUGGAACUGGAUCAUCAAUAUCCAUCAAAUCAUCUUGAGCUGCAACAGGUGUUUCAUGCACACUGGACAUGAAAUGAUAUCAAUGUUAAAGCCGGAUAUAAGUUCCAAUAGUUGAUGAUGUAUCAUACUAAUUAUGUUAAGAAUGAGCAGAAGCAGAUGAAAAGCAUACUUCACUGAUGUGUUUCUAUCUCCUUCAGUAAAAUGUGCAUUCACAGCUUCAUUGAGAUCGCCACCAUGCUCCUAAUAGCAAGCAAACACAAACGGAAGAAGAUCUAUAAGAAGCAAUAAAUUGGCCAACAUGCUAAAGCUUUUUUUCUUUUAUUUAUCUUUUUUUUUUAGACUUAACCCUCUAAUAGUCAAACAAGAAAGAGCAUCCUCAAAAAUCCAAGAGACUAAAACACAAGACUACUCUAAUAAGAAUCUAAAUAGUUCACUUGUAAUAGUAGUUAGGUACGCAUCAAUCAUAAUCUUAUAUGAAGGCAAUAGCCUGUAUCAGAUGGAGCUGAAGUGAGUUUUCUUGCUCACCCCAAAGCAUUCAGGUUUAUCCAGCCACAACUCCAGAAAAAUUAGUUGCACCUUAGAUACAAUUAGAUAUAUUAAUAGGGAAAAUUAUAUUCCAAAGGUUUCAGAAAGGUUAGACUCAAUCAAGUAUAAAAGAAGCUAACCUUGCUGUAAUUUCUACUCCAACUAGUUGCAGAGAUAUCCACAAGGCCAACUGAAGUGCACACCUUGUUCAUUGCUUACCAUUCAAUAGUUACCAUACUAUUCACUAGUGAGUCUAACCAAGUACACUUGACCAAAUUUUCUACACCAAAAAAUUUUUCAGGUACCAGUACAUUCACAACCCUUCUAUUUUGUUUGGUCAAACAAUUAAUUGUACAAGCCAACCCUUCUCCAAACUCUAUAUAACAACCUCACUGCCCAUAUUUCAUUGAACCGUUCAAAGAGAAUACUAAAAGUAUAAGUCUUUAACUGUAUAACAGUAAUCUCAUUGUCCUAAAAAUACCAUCUAUUCCUCUAUACAAUCACAACCCUUGUAAAAUUCUUCAAAUUUUUUUAUUACUCUUUUGAGUAGUGCAAGUAACACCCUUUUAACUUUAAUUAUAGCCCACCAUUUAACUGUAGUUUACAUAAACUAUAGCAUAGAGCACUUGACGACUAAUACCAUCAAAUAGCACCGAAGUAAAUUCUCCCUUCAUCUAAAUAUACCAAUACACUGAAGCAAACAAUACCAUCCUAACAAACUAAAUCCCAUAUUUAAAUUUCAAAAUUCUCAAUAAAAUCAAUCCAAAUACUUUUCAACCAAAAUUCCCAAUUAAAAUCCAUUACCCCAAAUGCAAUAAAAAACCUAACAGCAACAUUACGUUAUUUAACAUCUUAAAACGGAGAAUUGAAUCGGCGAUUCUGAUUACAACCACAGAAUUGAAUUCAGGACAUUAAGAGUUACCUCAAGCUUUUGCACGGCGACGGCUUCGGAAGCGCCGGUGAUGCUGAUAAAGGUGUCGAUUGCUUCCUGAUUAGGCCUCGCCAUGGAAAUUGCUGCAGAACUUCAAGCAAUUCUUGAGCUCCGAUUUUCAGUGUUGGUGUUGGGUUUUAUGAAUUUAUUUUUUGUUCAGAGAGAUGGAAGUAAAUUAGUAAUAGAUAUUUAUGUGUGAAAAUAUAGGAUGUAUGUUAUGCGCUCAUAUAUAUAGAGUGGAGAGUAAGGGCGUGUUUGGAAGUCGGUUUUUUGGAAUUAAAAAGAAUUUAAAAUGGUGAAAUUGCUUUUGGGUAUUUUCUUUUCCAUUCUUCCACGUCUCUCCUGUAUGGAGGGUAAAGCAUCAAAGACACAUCACACAAGCACACAUGGAUGACUUGCUGUCUAAGCAGCUCUAAAGGAAGAACGUCAUUAACAUAAAGUUCGGUUUAAUACAGAGAUUUACAUACAAGCCAUGAGGUUUUUUUUUUUUUUUUGGUUCAAUGGCAUGAGGACUUUAGAAAAGGAACAAAAAUUUAAUUUUUAUUACAAGCAUGUCUAAUUUUUCAUUAAAAAUUUAAUAAAUUCUGGCUAAUAGGGUCUAAUCCAUUGAAAAAUGGCCUUAACUUGCAGACUAAAUGUCUCAUGUUCGAACCCCAUGGUAUCUUUUUUUUUUUUUUGAUUAAGAAGGGGGGCAAAGCCCCAAACAAAAACAAACAGACUACACAAACUGGUCUAAACAGACCAAUCUAGAAUGAACAACUCCCAGCAGAUCGUCAACUAGAUAAGCACUUAACCAACUAGGGGCAUGCUCAAGAAUGCACAGCCCAAGAUCCACUUGGUAACUCCAAUUAGCCAAACAGUCAGCAACAAUAUUCAUCUCACGGAACACGUGCUGAAGGGCACACCUAGGAACCUGCUGCAUAAGGUCACAACAGUUCCUAACCAAAGCAGCUAAGGGAUGCAUAGCAAGCAUAGAAGGAUUCUGGCAGAGGUUUACUGCAAUAGCUGAGUCCAUCUCAAUAGUGAGAUUACUGAUGCCCUUCUCAAUUGCAAGCUUCAAACCAAAGAAAAGCCCCCAUAUCUCAGCCUCAAGAACUUGACCUUUCCCCAAAUUAACAGCAAACCCACUAACCCAGUCACCAAAAGAGUCACGAAUGACUCCCCCAGCACCAAUGCAGCCAGUAACAUGUUUCCUUGAACCAUCAACAUUCAGCUUAAACUGUCCAUGCUUAGGGGGCUCCCAGGCAACAUGGAUUUGAACUUUAUUUUCUCCUAUAGUGCGAUUAGAAGAUGACUUAAUCCACUCUUGGGCUGCCCCGCAGAUAACUUGUCUUGGACUGAAGGGAACAGUAUCCUCAUUCUGAAAAACAUGCUUAUUUCUCCAACACCAUAACUGCCAGCAAGUGAACACAAAGACAGUACUCUAAGGAACAUCACUAUUCCAUUUCGCCUUGGAGAGCAUGUUAACCUUCAUCCACGGCUGAGCAUCUAAGCGGAAAAAAUUAUGGGCAAAGGCAGGGAGAAUAGCAUUCCAAGUAGUUCGAGCUCGCUCACAAUCACGAAGGAUAUGAAGAACUGUUUCAGUAGGCCAAGAACAAAAACCACAUGAAGAGUCAGAAGCCAACUGCCUUCUAACAUGCUGAUCGUUAGACAAAAUUUUGCCUUGAGAAGCCAGCCACAUAAAGUAUUGGAGCUUAGGAGGAACAUUUAAACUCCACAAGGAUUUCCAGCAGGAGUCAGGAGUAGAACAGCCUUCAAAAAAUAAGCUAUAAGCAGAUUUAACUGAAAAGUCGCCAUUAGCACUACCCUUCCAAACCUGAGUAUCAGGUAAAGAACCCAAAAACCCCACAGGAACACUAAUGAUCUGUUGGAAAAGGUCUUCACAAACCACACCUCUCAACUUGUCAAUAUCCCACCAGCCAUUCAUAGAGAAACUUGAGACAGAACAUUUGCUAUCAUGGGCGGUGAGAACUCCAGCCUGCUGCAAUAAAGGGACAUCAGUAACCCACUAAUCCUCCCAGAAAUUUACACUAUCUCCCCGACCAACUCUCCAACACAUCCCUUGCUUAAGCAACUGAAUACCAUGUAAGAUACUCCUCCAAGUAGUGGAACAGACCUGCCUUGCUCCAAGAGAAUUAUCAAAAAUAGAAGUCCCUUUAAGAUACUUAGCCUCAUAAAUUUUUGCCCAUAAACCAUUGUCCCUAGAAUGCAAUCUCCAUCCAAUCUUAGCAAGCAGGGCCUGGUUCAUACUAGCAGUCGUUUUAAACCCCAAACCUCCUUUACCUUUAGGCCUACAAGCCAAAUCCCAUUGACAAAGAUGGAUCUUAUAAUUCUUCUCACUGCUGCCCCAGAAGAAAUUACGGUUAAGUUUGUCUAGAUCAUUACAGACACUAACAGGAAGUUUAGUAGUUUGCAUAGCAUAAACAGGGAUAGAAGCUGUAACUGCUUGAAUUAAAGUAGCUCUUCCAGCUAAAGAUAGGAGCUUACUCUUCCAAGAUGCCAGCCGGUUAUGCACCUUAUCAACUAAAGAACUAUAAGUGUGCUUUCCGAUUUUGGAAUGCAAAAGAGGCAUUCCUAGAUACUUCCCCAGGUCAUUAGUGAGAGGAGAGCCACAGAUCAAACUUAUCUCCUUAGAAACUUCUUUACAAGUGUUAGGAGAGCAAAAGACAGCAGACUUAUCAAAGUUGACUACUUGUCCAGAAGCAGCACAAAAUAAAUCCAGACAGCUCUUCAUAAUUUUAGCUUGGUUAGCAUUAGCCUCCGCAAACAACACCAGAUCAUCAGCAAAAAACAGAUGGGAGAUCGCAGGACCAGACUGAGAAGGUUUCACAGGCCGCCACUUCUUCUUGCUCACAGCAUCACAUAUGAUAUGAGAGAGUUUCUCAAUACAGAGAACAAAUAGGUAGGGCGAUAAGGGGUCUCCCUGUCUAAUACCAUUCAUUGGCCUAAAAGGAGAAGUCAAUUCCCCAUUCACAUUAAUCUGAUAUCUCACAGACUGUACACAGUUCAUUAUCAACUUAACAACCGGAGCAGGCAGCUUCAACUCAAUGAGCACAUACUCAACAAAAUGUCAAUUCAACCUGUCAUAGGCCUUAGAGAGGUCUAUCUUCCAAGCAACAAACCCUUUUUUCCCUUUAGACAACUUAAAUUUAUGCAUUAACUCCUGUGCAAUCAGAAUAUUAUCUGUAAUAUGACGUCCAGGGACAAAACUAACUUGGUUGGGGCUUAUAAGAUCAGGAAGAAUAGGCCUUAGGCGAGCCACAAUGAUUUUAGAAAUAACCUUGUACAGAGUCGAGCAUAAGCUUAUAGGCCUAAACUGGAUCAUAGAUUGGGGGCUUUGCACUUUAGGCACCAAAGUUAUUAAAGUGUAAUUCAGCUUGUCAGGGAUGCAACACUUCUUGAAAGCUUGGGUCACCAUUGCAAAAAUAUCAGCAGCACAUUUAUUCCAUUGAGCUUGAUAGAAACAAGCUGGAAACCCAUCAACACCAAGAGCUUUCAAACCUCCAAUCCCAAACAAACUCCACUUAAUCUCAGCCAUGUCAAUUUCCUUCUCCAGCAAAUCCAAAUCAGCCGAGUCAAUAACAGGGAACAGAUUGGGUAAGAUCAACUCUCUAUGCUCCAUAAUCUUUUGAGAAAACAACUGCUCAAAAUACGCCAUAGCCAAACCCUUAAUGUCUUGAGCUUGCUCAACCCAAACCCCCUCAUUAUUUUUUAAUCUCUCGAUUUUAUUCCUCCGCCGCCUAAUAAUCGUAGUAAGAUGAAAGAAUUUAGUGUUUCGAUCACCUUCCUGAAGCCACUGCAAUCUGGACUUUUGUUUCCAGAACAUAGCCUCUUGUUCCAACACACCAUUAUACUCCUCAAUCAAAGAAAUUUCCAAGUUACUCAGAAAAAUAUUUGAGCUCCUGCACAACGCUUUUUGAAUACCAUUAAGACGAGCCAACAAACAGGCCUUUCGCUUCUUAAUAUGUCCAAAAACAUUGACAUUCCAAUCUUUUAGGGGCUGAAUCAACUGAUAAGUUUUAUCCAAGGCUGAGCCAGCAGCUUGUCCCCAAACAUCAGAAAUAAACUCAUUGAAAUGCUCAUGUUGCAUCCACAUAGCUUCAAACCUAAAAUGCCUUAAGUGUGGAGAAGCAGCAAAACGGGAGCUCAACUUAAUCUUAAUUGGAUUAUGAUCAGAAGUAGUCCUAGGCAAAUGUUGAACAUUAGCCUCAGGGAAUAACAUUCUCCAUUGCAUAUUACAAAUAGCUCGAUCUAACCUUGCAUAAACUCUCUUAUUAUUCCAUGUAAAUUUAGGUCCAGAAUAACCCAAAUCAAUCAUCUCAUUUCCAGCAACCCAGUUCCUAAAAUCUUUAGAUUUGCACUCUAAAACUCCACCAAACUUCUCAUCAGCAGUAAGUAACUCAUUAAAAUCCCCAUCAAUCAACCAAGGCAAGUUAUGACUUGCAGCAACAAAUGAAAGAUAGUCCCACAAUUUUGCUCUCUUAAUAGCGUUAGGACUAGCAUAAACACCAGUAAACAGCCAGGGUUCUUGACCACUGCGAGUCACACAAGCAGAAAUCGUUUGAUCAGAGGUGCCAACAACUUCUACAUGAACUCUAGAAUCAUCCCAUAACAGCCACAAACCACCAAAGAACCCCACAGCAUCAACAAUUUCAAAGCAAGGGAAGCCGAGAGACUUAACUACAGCAAUAGCCUUUGCUCCACUAAUACGAGGCUCACAAAGGAACAGCAUAUCCAGGCGAUGAGUGCGAAUCAAAUCAAGCACAUUAGACUUAAAUUUGGAGCUUGUUGCUCCCCUAACAUUCCAGCAACAAAUAUCCAUGAAAAAACCCAUCAAAGACAGAGUAACCUUAAGGGCUAAAACCCUUUUAUUAAGCCUCAAAAGUCAUACCUUCACCAGGAGUGAAAGUACUACUUGCCAAGCGUCCACCAUGUGAACUAAAGUGACCUUCCGAGAAGUCCAUUUUCUCUGCAGGCUCCAAACCCUCACUAUCAGAAGGGAUUAACACUUCAUCAUCACUGUCAGAACCAGAAUUGGCAUCCCUACAAGUAGCCACCUCCCCAAUAUUAGGUGGCUGAUGCCCAAAUAUAUACAGCCCUUUCCUCUGAUGAACUGGUUGUCCACUGCCCCAGCACUCAAAUUGCUCGGGUAGAGAACCAAUGGUAACACUCUUUUUGCCUUGAGAUCCCAUGCUUCCUACAAAACCAGAUACCCCAGCAGCCUGGCGACGUCCAGAGGUAUUUUUAAUUGCCCCACCAGUAUUCUGCCAAUUUUCCUUCACACAAUUCUUCACAGGCAAGCCCUUGUUUGAAAUGUCCUCCAGAACCUGCCUAGCAACAGACUUUUUACCCUUAGACUUUGUCCAAACCUUAUUGCCCGUAUUCAAAUCAGCCGAGAAAGAUUGCACUGGUCUGCUGCCAGUCUGAUCAAAAAACUCACCAACAUUCCCUUGAUCCUUCCCAAAAUUCUCACCAACUUGCCUAAGAGCAUCAAACCUUGAGCCCUUAAAUUUAACCCCAGGAUCCUUGCCUCCCACUCCCUUAGAAUUAGGCUGAGGCCUACGCCUAGGGGGAACAUUCAUCCAUGGUCCUUUCAAGCUCUGGUCAGACUCAUAGUGAGCCCUAUUAAUUCCCUCUGAACUACUCCCUUCCAUAACAGUACUCCUGGUAGUAGUAGUCUCACCAUUAACGGUUUCAACAUCCUUCACAUUCAAUUCACACUUCUCUCGUUUAUGGCCAUACCUCCCACAUAGGUAGCAAAUAUCUGGCAGCCCCUCAUACUCAAUGUUAUACCAGUUCUGAUUUAUUUGGACGAAGGCAUCUAACGGCUUAGUGAGAUCUAAUUCCACGCACAACCGAGCAAACUUGCCCCUAUUUUGAGCAGUGGUAAGAGAAUCAAUCUUUAACAAUUUCCCCAAUAAAUUCCCAACUCGUUUCAACGACCAAACAUCAAAACACUCAAGCUGGAUAGCAGAGACACGAAGCCAAACCGCCAUUCGAGUAAUCUGUGCAGUAGCUGGACAAAAGCCAGGCCUCCAUUUUUGCAUAACUAAAUAUUGACCAGCUAUUAUCCAAGGGCCACCAGUGAGAACAAAAUUUAGGUCCUCCUCAAGCUCAAAUUUUACCACAUAAUAAUCAUUCACCAAAUCUAUCAAUUUCCACUCCCCUCUCAGACUCCAUUUCUGAUUUAAUCGAUCACGUAGAUAGUUAUAGGUAUGAGACCUGCCCAAUAGCUUGAUAAUCAGGGCAUUCUUCCAAGGCCGGCAUAACCUAUCCAUUGCCUUAUCAGAAAAUUGAAUACUAGGGCCGCGAUCACCCCGAGAAAUAACCACAUCCUCAUCAUCAUUGAGAUCCUCAUAAGCAUCAUCCAGACAAUUAACAUCUAUACCCACAUUCUUAGCCAAAUUCACCUUAUUCAUAAGCUUAUCACGAAAACUAUCAGCACCAAGUUGAAAGCGAGAUACCUGCUCAGAGCCAACAAUAGGUGUAUGUUCCUGCAUCAGGUGUGGAUUAGAAUCAGCAUCCAUGUCACACUCAGGUUCAGCAUUCUCAGAGGCUCGACUUCGCUUAGGCAAGCAAUGAGGAUUCGAAAAAAUUCCAGGUGAGCCUUCCGCCAUGACCAACAGUAGACCAAAGGGAAUCAGCCAAAACCGAAGGAGAAAGCUGCCUGGAAACCACCGCACUCGGCAGCUUCCAGCAAGAGGCGCUCGGAAACGAGCGAGAUCUGAAAAACCAGAAAAAAUCUCUCGCGCGUGGGGCGCGUACAAAAAAGCCCAAAAAACUUGUCGGUUUCUAUGGUGAUAACCCCAUGGUAUCUUGAUUGUGUGUAUGAGAUAAACACUCAUAUUCUAUAGUUUAGAUUAUCGUUUGUACUAUAAAAAAAAAACCUUAAUAAAUUGCGAAAUAAAGGAAGUUAUUUGGAAAACCAUGCUUUCUAUAUAACACUAAAAAGUACUUUUAUAACUCAUAAUAAACGAAUUUUCUUUUGGCAAAAACACAACUAUUUCAUUUUGAAGGCACAAAUACGUAAAAUAAUAGUCUAUAAAAAUACAAAUUACUAAAAAGAAAAAAGGAAAUAAGAGUUCAUGUCCAAUAUAAAAAUUCUCUAUAGAUAAGUAUAAACAACAAAAGAAAAUAUAUUGAAGGUUUUAUCCUUUCAAGUUUUUUUUUUUAUAUGCAUAGUGAAAUAUUAAAGGUUUAAUACGAAGGAAUUGUAUUAAAAUAAGUCAAUACUUUGAUCCCUUUCCAAUGUUACAAAAAGAAAGUAUUAUUCUUGGCUCUUUUUUUUCCCCUUUAGAUAUGAAUAAAUAUUCGGUAUAUUGCGGAAUUUUUAUGUUCAAAUGAUUGGGAUUCCAUUCCAACCUUUGUUUAUAUUUUGUUAUUUCUCACCAAGAAGAAAACAAAACAAAAAGAAAUGGUAUUAAAAGUGGACACACAAAUGAUAAUGAUGGUCACAUGUCUAACAACCCCAAUCACUGCGGCGACUUCAGCUUUCAAACUCACUGCUACAUUUGUCCCGUUUCUGCCUUCUUCAUGUUUCUUGGUACAAUACUAAAUUAUACAUAGUUCAGGGUCGGCAUAAAAAUUUUAAGAGUUUUAUGCGAAAUUUAAAUUGAGACUCUCAUAAUAACAUGAAAAUACUAUAUAAAAAGAAAUAUAGGAUUUGAACUCACAUGUCCAAUGAAAUUAGAAGGGCCGCAAAUCAAUUUUAUUAGGGUUGAUUAUGUAAAUAUGUUGCGCAUUCAUAUAUAUUAUAUAUAUACAUAAAAAAGUAAAUAAAAAAAUUUGGACGUCAUGUGUAGUAGCACCACUUGCACCAUGUCAGGUUGGUUUUGAUAGAGUUAUUUAUAUUGGAGCAAAAUAAAGAAAGAAAAAAAAAACUUGUUUAACAAAUUUUUCAAGGGUAAAUUUCAUUUCAUGCUAAAAUGAAUUUUCUACUUCAGAAAUGACGAAACCUCAUAUGCCCAACAAACCACAGCAAAUAGACCCCAUGGCCAUCCUUUCAAACGACACUCGGUGAGGCAUGCGGAGCCCCUCACCUCCUGUCCCAAUCAAAAGACAUUCAUGCCGAUUGCCCAUGAGGCCCAUUUUUGUUCAAGCAAAUAAUUCAAUUAUUCACAAACAUGUGUCGUCACCUCGUGCCUUGUUUGAAGUCCCACACCAAAAUAUUACAAAAAGUCUAAUUACAUUUCAUCCCAUUCUAAAUUUGGGUUAAGCUUGAGUGACCCUAAAUUUUUUUAUCGGGUUGGGCUGAAGCCUAUACAACAUAUUUUGCUAGAUUUAGUUUGAUUUGUUUAAAAAAGGUAUAUGAGUUCGGAUUCGGGUUAAUUCUGGCGGGCAAGACGUCAACUCAAUCCUAAUUCAAAAGUGAUCCAAUCGGCCCAGUCGGGUUAACACCACAACGGGUUGGGUUUGGGCAUAUCAAGUUGACCCGACCGGACUUGCACACCCCCCCAAUACACACGACAGAAACGAAGCCGUUUUAGUCCUUACAAACUCGUCUCCCUCUCUCCCAGUGAUCUCGCUCCUAAAAACACAGAGCAAGGCUGUAAGAAAAUGGAGGUGAAGGAGGAGCAGAGCACGAAGAGGAAGAAGCAGAAGCAGGGAAGGUUCUGGACAUGGGUUGCAGCGUCAGUGUUGUUCAGGCUCAUUCUCAUCUACUUCCCCAAAAAUCUCAACCUCUCUUCUCGCCCCGAAGUCUCCACCCCUCUCACCAGCCUCCGUCGCCGUAAUUUAUCUCUCAAGCUUGGUCAGAACCAUACCUUCUCAAGUUUCGGCUUCUAUAAUUCAUUGUUGUUUUUUUUUUUCAGUGGCUGAGGGUUACUGGUUGAAGCAGUCGUCAAUGUCUCCCUAUGCAGGUUUCUCAUUGCUGGUUGUCUAUCUUAUAUAAUUCAUGUUUAAUUUUUCAAAGAUUGUAAUUUUUUUUGUUCUUUGCUGGUUUUGCAGGAUCUAUGUACCACGGAUCUCCUUUGUUACUCUCACUUCUUGGGCCACUCACAGUUAAAAGGUACCGCUUCAGCUUAAGCUUUUUCCUUUUUCAGUUUUGUUCCCAUUAGCAUCAUUCUAUGUGAUUUAUUUUGAGCCAUGUUUGGUUUCGUUAGUUGUUCUAAGACUCUAAGUUUUGGAAUUGGAGGCCCAACUGCCAGUUCCAGUUUUAAUUCUCUUCCAUUUUCAUUGUUUGAUAAAUCAUUUUUUUUAGUUCAAGAAAAAAAUUGGUUCAAUGAAUGCCCCAAUUAAGGAAAUGUUAAAAUCUGGUGCUGGAUUUUGUUUUUUCCUUUUUCAGUUGGUAAUUUGCUGAACAUUUUAAUUGGUGCUGCAGAAUUGAAGGGCAACCCAGUCAUCUUCUAUGCAGGUAAGAAUUGUCUUUUACCAUUUUCUAAGUUCUCUCUCUGUAGCUCAGUACUGCCUUUCAAUAAGUUCAUUUUUAUGUUGUAUAAGUGUGUCAUAUUUCAUGUUCCAAUAAUUUAGAAUUCCCUUAAUUUUCUUCUUUCAUUGGUUGACUUAUUCCGAAUAUGUAGUCAGGCAGUUGAUAUCGACACAUUCUUGGGUACAGUUUGGUUUUUGUGGUUGCAGAUAUAUUGAAUGCAAUGGUUAUUCGUGCUACUGGUCAGACUCUUCAGGUUGCAUAUAGGCAGAGUUUGAAAUCACUAGAUCUUGAUACGAUAUCAGAAAGCAUGGGUAAUUCUAACAUUUAAAGAUCAAUAUACUUCUCUUUAGUCCUGUUUAUGGAUGGUCAUAUUUGAUUGUAUGAAUUUCCCUAAUGAAGUCUAAAUUGUUAUGCAACAAAGCAACUAGAUAUCGAUAGAUGCAGCUAGUAUAGCUGGUUGUCAUGUUGAGACACAGUUGUGAUAGAUCUAAAAAUUUGGAAUCUUAACAGACUGGCUUUGCCUGAAUAGCUAUAUGAAAUCAUUAUAAUUGACUUAUAGUUACGGGCAUAUGCCACUUUGUUGAAAAGCUUAACUUUUGAUCUCAUUUAUGUGCAUCAUUUGUGCAAUUACAUUAAAAUGCAAAGCUUUGCCUUCCGCAUGCCAUUCACAGGCUGAUGCAUGGCUUAUAUUUGUUGUUUUCAGAGGUCCUCUCUUCAGGAGAUAUUGCUGCUCUUGUGUACCUAUGGAAUCCUUUCACAAUAGUUGCAUGUGUGGGUUUGUCAACAUCUCCAAUUGAAAAUCUGGCCAUCAUAUUGGCCCUCUAUGGAGCAUGUAAACGUAAGUUAACUACAGUCCUUGUGAUUUGGCAAUUUAAAUGUUUCUUUUAGGUUUUUUUAAGACUCUUUAAGUAUUCUUCUUUCAAAACUUGUUUUGUCAUUUUGUUCAUGAGAAUGAUUACUUCCUUAAAAGGAUCAUAUAAUACACUCCACUUGGGUUACAAGAUUCCUGGUUUCUGGUUUAGAUUGUAUAGGCACUCAUGUGAUGGACAUUCUCCAUAUAAGUCCUUGCCUGUAUAUUGUUGUGAGUUGUGACAGAUUAUAAUCUAUUACAGAAACUAACAAGUUUUGGAUGUUUAAAAUUUCCUUGUAAUUCUAGUUUUAGCAGUAUCACUGGAUGUGCCUACUUAAGUGGUAAUAAUACAAUGCAAGUUCAGUCAUAUGACAUCAGCACUCCAUUUCAUGGUAGAAUAAUAUUCUGAUUCUGUGUGCAUGCUGACACUUUCUCAAGGAAGACAUUCUUUCUAAUUCCGUUUGACAAUAUUUGUUUGUCCAUAAUCAGUAUGUUUUGAAGUGAGAUAUUAGCAUUUGAUUUAGGGAUGGAUGAAGGCACGUGGGGAACUGUUUUUUGGCUUAUGCUCUUCUUUUUAACGUUAAUUUCCUUUCUGAUGUUGUUCUUCUGAUGAACUGUAGGAAUGGUUCCCUUGGCUGCUUUUGGAUGGGUCAUGGCAACACAUCUGUCUCUUUAUCCUAUGAUUCUCAUAAUUCCAGUAUGCCCCUAUUUUCAUUGACUUAUCAUGUUUGAUGUAAUUAAUAAAAAAUUUGUGCAAUUCUUCAAUGAAAUUAUGUUUCUUAUCAAAAAAAUAAAAAAAUUAAAAGAAUUUUCAUGCAACAUUUGAAAUCUAUUUUGUGUGUUUUCUUUCUCACUCAUGCAUAUUGACAAAUAUUUAAUCUUGUUCCAGAUAAUUCUUUUAUUAGGAUAUGGUCCAGAUACUCCUCGGAAAUUAUUGCUGAUGAGGAGAUGUGGUAAAGUUGAAGAUAACUCGUCAAGCGAUAGUUGUCAACAACAGGAGAAAGUUAUUAAUCAAUCAGACCUACCCAAAGUUUUCGCUUGGGGACCUCCCAUGCUUUUCUUAUUGUGGGCUAUUAUGUGGUCAGUCUAUGUGUUACUCCUGUGUGGCAUAUCUGUUAAACAGUAUGGUGGUCUCUGGGAGAUGUUUGAAAGGUAUCAACAGCUCAUUGUACGUGUAUGCAUUUCCUUAUGCUCAAAUAUUCUAGAUGUUUGUGCAAAAGAAGAUAUAUAAGAAAAUUCUGUUGAAGAGGAGAGUUCUCAUUUCUUAGGCCUAGUAACAGAGUGGACUGAUCAAGCAUUACGACUUAUCAAAGUUCUGAAUGUGGUUUAUUAAGAUAUCACUAAAAAAUUUCAGUUCUAUUUAAGAAGUUGUUGUACAGUUCUUAAAGGUCAUCCAGUCCACAUAUGAAAGUUGGAAUAAGUAAACACUGAGUCAAUAGAAUUCCAUAUGAAAAUAAACUGAGAAGAAAACAAACUAAAGAUAGCACAGUUUUCAAAGCUAAUCCAAUUUCCUGAAAAGUUUGGUCAAAUUAGUAUCCGGCCAAGAUCAGCUGCGUAUAGACUAGAGCUCUGCACAGGAUGUCUUGGUGUUCGCUAUGGUCGGUGCUACUAUAAUUGAUUCAGAGCACUUGUAGCCUAUAAUUAGGUGAAUGGCUCACAGGGUAACCAAAUGGGUAUUAGCAUUAAUUGUUGUACUUCCUCUAGUGCAAAGGGUUGCUCCUAGUAAUUUUUAUCUUAUUGUUAAAUCAGUAGUCUAAGUUGUUGCUAAACAUUGUGGCUGGUUUUUGCAGAAUGUAUGGUUUCAUUCUUACUGUGCAAGAUUUGUCUCCGAAUAUAGGUGUUUUAUGGUGAGCCCCAAAUUACCUAUACUGAAAGUGGAUUGUGCAGUAGUCAAAGUUUACUUCUGAGGCGUGGCAUGAAUUUGAUCACUCAUUUAAUAUUUUGAUGCAGGUAUUUCUUUGCAGAGGUCUUCGAUUUUUUCAGAAAUUUCUUCCUGAUUGUUUUCCAUAUGAAUAUUCUCUUUAUGAUAUUUCCAUUGGCCAUACGGCUCAAGCACCGUCCCUGCUUUCUUGCUUUUGUCUACAUCACCAUCUCAUCAAUGCUUAAGUCUUAUCCUUCUGUAAGUUCUUGUUUUUCUUCAGAAGUCUUCUAUAUUUUCUGGUGCUGAAGCUAAAGUCUUCGAUGCAUGUUUCUGAAGUUAUGUGAUAGGCAGCCUGAUUUUUUUUGUUCUUCCAUUGUAUUACAAUUUUGUUUAGGUUGGGGAUUCAGCUCUGUACUUUGGUUUGUUGGGCUGGUUUGUUAAUGAACUGUCAGGCAAGUCAGUUGGUUCUCUUUCUAUUCCCUUUAUGCAUUUGACAUGGUUUGGCAUCUUAAACAUUAUAUUUUUAUGAUAUGCAGAAAUGCAAUUCUCGUUCUGCCUCUUCAGUGUUUAUGUUGGGGUUUCCCUCCUUAGCCCUGUGAUGCACAACCUAUGGAUAUGGAGGGUAUGGCUCUCUCUACAGUUGUUCUGAACUUUAAAAUGGUUAUAUAAGUGUUUCUUAUAAUUAAGGACUUUUUCAAACUUGCAGGGCACUGGCAAUGCAAAUUUCUACUUUGCUACUGCAAUUACUUAUGCUUGUUUGCAGGUUUGUGAACUCUUAUCAGUUAUUUCUUUGCAUCAAAUGAUUCAUAUAUGAGUUUCAAAGGGAGAAAAAUGUAGCUUCCUUAUUGUAUAGUUGAUUCACAGGAUGAUUUCUGUGAAAUAAAACCAUGACAGAGUCAUCACCCCGCUAUAUCCACUUUGACACUUAUGUGAAUCUUGUUAGCCUGAUCAACCAAUGGCUGAUUCGCAACUCAAUGAAUCUGUUAAUUUAUGGUAUUUGAGCGUAACCCUCUCUACUAAUGUGUGCUCUGGACCAUGCAGAUGGUGCUGGUGGUUGAAAGUGUUAGUGCAAUGCUCAAUCAUGACCGGAAGCUAAAAAAGUUAACUAAUGCAAAGCUUCAAAAUGGAAAAUCUUAAUCAGUUCUUAGAAAUGAAGUUUGUCUCUGAUCAUUCAGCUUCUCAGUAUACUCCUUGCAUCACCAAGAAUAGCAUCAGCGCUCAGCAGCGAUUCAUCUGUUAACUGCUUGCUUGCAAGAGUUCAAGGUUGUAUUUAUCAUGGAUAGAAGAUCAUCACUUCUUUUGGAACACAUGUUUUCAUCAGCAAAUCUAUACGGGGUUUUUAUAUCUUCUUUUCCAUUUUAGUUUAAGGUGGGGUUUUUUGUUAACGGGGAGGAUUUGUACAAUCGGAUACAAUAUUUCACACAUUUUUUUACCAUACUCCUGAUGCGUAUACACAGAGAGAUUAUUGUCUUCUUUCUCUUGUGCUUAGAUUUCAAGUUGUGCAAAAAUGAUUAAGGGUGGUAAUUGAGUCAUCGUGUUGUGUUCAACACAUCCAGUUUCUGAACAUGGUUGAGUUUGCAGUCGCAGUUCUUCAACGGAUUGUUACGGCCAGGACCAAACUAACUUAAAAGGAGAGCAGUUUCCACUAACAUGUUUAUGCCACUUGAAUUUCAUUGUAAAAACAAACCCUGCUAUCCUUCAUCUAAUAAAUGUUAAUGUUUGAUUAGAGUAACAGCAUGCCGCUUACUUCACUCUGUUCAUUUUCAGUCUUUUAGUUGGUUUAUUCUUUUGCUCAACCGCGGUGUUACGGUCACACUCAAAAUUUAUCUUCUCUGGUAUUAAAUGACAAUUUUGGAAGAAAGAAUCCUAGCUGAAAGAGACUGAGAUUGCCUUUGUGUCUUUGCCUCAUAUUCUGUUCUUUAUUUCUUUCUCCAUGAUACUUCGUUGGUGAGCUGUGAAGAACAAAAUCUAAAUAAAAUGAAGCCGGAGAUUUUCCCAAGCGCAGGCCACCAUAAACCCUGGGCUUUCUUUCAUCCUAUUGAAGAUGGGUCGUCAAGUGCAUGGCAUAAAUGGUCACAUGGGUGCCAGUCGUUGUCAAUUAUACCAUGUUGGAUUGUUGGCUGACAAAUUUCCAAAAUUUGGCCGCCAAAAGAGGAGGGCUCUAAUUCAUCACUGCUGACACCAUGAAUCCUAGCUUUACUAUAUUUGUAAAUCACAAUUUAUAUACCAUAUGAUAUGGCAGCUAAUAUUUACAUACCACAUAAGUUAAUUAAUGUAAUUAAUAUUUUUUGUUUAUUUGUUAAAAUAUAUUUUAUUAAUUUAAUUAAUGUGACAUAUGAUAUGGACAUACCACAUCAUAUCAUAUAAAAAUGUAAGAUAAAAAUGUGAUAAGGAUAGCAUUAUUCGCAUAGUAAACCUUUCCAUAAUUAGUUAGUCUGAACUCUUUGACAUUGGUUAGUGGGUCAUCACAUUUGAAAAAGAUUGGAUCCAAGCCCAUUUUAGUUUUUUUAGUAUAAGCAAUUGGAAUUGGGGAAAGGGCUUUAUACAAAUAUUCAUUGAGUGCCUAGGGUUUCGAACUUCUGCCUAUAUGAAUAGAAGUGAAAGAACUCAAUCAACUAAGUUAUAUACCUAACAGCCCAUUUCAUUUUCUAGAAAUACACUUUUGUAUAAAGUAUUAAGAUACACUCCAAGUUCCAACCAAAACAAAUAAUAUUAAGAUGGCACCAGAAAAUAAAGAGAUGCCAAUCAUUCAAGACUUUAUGAAUGAGGGAAGAUAAUAAAAAGGAAAAUAACUAUUUUUUUCCAUCCUAUUUUCAAUAAUAAAUGGGCAUGCAUGGUGUGACAAUCUUAGCUCAAAGUGCAAAAUAAUAUGUGCUUAUAUGAUUUUGGGGGCCCAUUUGUUUUUUUAAAGGAAUUUCUGAAGUCUUUUUCAUAUAUGAAUAAUAAUAUUGUCCAAUCAUGGGUUUUGGUCCAUGUUGUAGAACAUACAAAUAGUCUGCUUUGACAACUUGGAAAUGGGACCAUAGUGAAAGAGCAAAGUUUGCGUGAGGUUCACGGAACAAGUAUAAUUAAAAAUUAACAUGUUUUCAAAAAAUAAAAAACUUAUUAUCAAAUUUAAACACAUGCUAUUUGUUAAUUACACAGUUCUGCCAUCCUAAAUUACAAGGCAUGAAUAACCUCACAAAAGUUUUUCAUUCUCGUGAAUGUUUCACAUUUUAUCAUUGCAAAUUAUAUAUAUUCGAACAUAUUCUUUUAUAAGAUUGAUUGACAACUUAAUGACGGACUGUGAAUUUAGACUAUUGAUCGAGUUAAAUAUAUGAUUCAAAAUACCAUGAGCUUACUAUGUGGGUUGAAUUUGGUCCACCUAGUCCCUUAAUAUGCAAAUAUAUAUAUAUAUAUAUAUAUAUAAUAUGGUAAAAGGUCAGGGUUAAGCAAAAGCUAACUCUAUCUGAUCAUAUAUCCCGUGUCAAGGAACAUGUGCCCUUCAUUGUAGCUGAAUCAAGAAACCGUUGAAUACAUGAACUUGAACCACUAAAAGAAAAGCCAAUAGCGACCAACGAAUGGGAAUUGGAUUGUUUCACAAGGCAAAAGCUUGUAUAUUUUCAAACCCUACGAGCUGGUCAUGUUUCUUAGGCCCUUGAAUUUUGAUAGAUCAAGUCAUAAGUGAUGAUUAUUUAUAUUCAGCUUGCUUAGCUCAGCACCUUCAACCAGUAGAGUGAAAUGAAGGUUAUUUGAGGCGAUGUUUGCUUUGGGACCUUUUGAUGCAAGAAAUUAAGAAAUGAGAGUCAAAUAUUAUGGUUUGUGUAUGCAUGUGAGGAUGAAACAUAGGAAUAUUUGAGUUAAGAGAUUGUGCUUGAUAUAUAUAUAAGAAAUGAGAUAUUCAUACUUCCUGCAAAUCACAAUUUGAUACAUAUGCAAAAAUAAUUCAUCAAAAAUAUCAAAAGAAAAAUCUAUACACAUAUGUUAACCUAUGAUUGACAUGAACCUACUUUCAGGAGAAUGAAGCAAGUAUUUUUCAUUGAGAAAAUUGAAACUAUACAUCCUCGAGUGGAAAAUUAGACAAAUUACGGGAACUACAAUGUAAUGAGGCCUUAUACAUAUUUGUGUGUGUGUGUGAGAGAAGAGACUUACACUUUAAGCCAUGCUGAGCUUCUGAGACUGAGAAUGCUGUAGAACAUCACAAUUAUCGAGUGAUAUUGUAUGGUCAAGGUGGGUCUUAUUGAUUAAAUAUCUAAACACAUGGAUUAGAUUAAUUGUCUGAUUACCCCACUCCCGUUAUAUGGGAGUAGUAGACCCAUAGAGCACUUGGUGUUUUAUAAUCUCCUGAUUAUUGGUUGAUAUGGAAAAAUUAAUGGAAAUCUGUCAUUGAUUAACGCCAGAUUAUUUAUUAAUACAUGAUUAAGGAAUUUUCACUUAUUAGUUUAUAAUAAUUAAUGUACACACGCAUGUACGCGAUACGAUCAUUCGCUAGCCAUGUGUAUACACGUGCAAGCAUAUAUGCAUUAAUCCUCACUUACCAAACAAAGAAGCUAUCAUCAGAUCCCUUCAAUCUCAUUUUAUUCUUAGUUAAUUAGCUCUUCUGACAAUUAAUUGAAUUGUAAAACAUAAUCCAACUGGGUUUCUUGCUUAAUUACAUGUCAUCUAAUCAUAAUUAACACAUGAUACAUGCUGGUGUACAUGGCAACUUGAGGGCACAAGUGGGUGUGAAUCAUAGAGACACAAAAUCUAACUGGUUUUAUUGCUUAAUUACAUGUCAUCGAAUCAUAGUUAACACACAUAUGUAUCUGCCCUGUUUGGGACUGCUUAUAGAAGAGUUAAAAGCGAUUUCUAACAAAAUUGGGCAAAAAAAAAAAAACUUUAAAAUGUUUAUAGGUCAUAAAAGUGCUUUUUAGAGGAGCACGUAGUGUGUACUUUUUCAAGAAGCACUUUCAAGUUGUUUUCAAGAAGCACUUGAAUAUUUAAUAAAUAUUUCAAGUAACUUCAACUAAAAGCGCUCCUUGCAAAAGCACUAAUGGGAAGAGAAGAAGUGCUCCUUACAGAAGUAUUUAUAAACGGGCUCCAAAUUUAUUGCUUAAUAAUACCAUUUUUUAAGAAGUACAAAUAUAUACCCCAAACUUCAAAUAUAUACAACAUCUGAAUGUGGCACAUCAAUGUUAUAUAGAUUCAAAUUCUUACAUGAUUUUCAUAAAUAAAAAAACCUUAAUUUAUGGAAGAAUAUGAUAGCUAGGCUUGGCUUUUAAUCCGUCAUUUUAUUUCCUCAUGCAAUUUGGGGUAAAAAGGCAGUUUCAUAAUUUUGACUCCUACUAUUCUUUGCUGUUGCUUCAUAAUGCAUUCCCAAUGCGCACGGUAGAGACAAAAACAACAACUUUCUCCUCAAUCCUCUCCUUCUCGAGUAACUCAAAACCCAAACAUCAAGUAACAAAUAAUUUUGCUCUUUAAACUCUUUUUGGCCUUUGAGAGAGUAAGGUUAUAUAUAUUGUUAGACUCUUAAUAUUGAAAUCAUACGUGAUUAAUGAUUCAGAUUAAUAAUUGGAUAAUGAAAGAUAUCAUACUAUGUGAAAUUGACAAUUCUCGUUCUUUAAAGAGAUGCUUAAAUUUAGAAUAAUAUCGAAAUUAUCUGAACUUGUUAUGUUGUCACAACAUCGAUCCAAAUUAAGCAUUCAGAUAUGAUUCUAUAUAUUGAGUAAUUUUAGUUACACGUCCACCAAUAGCAUAAGAGAACACUAAUACUUAAAUUUGGCGAAUCAGAUUUAAGUUCAUGAAUAUAUUGUGACGUUUUCUAGAGUUGAAGUUAGAGAUGCUUGUAUAUAGGUUUGACCAGUCUUGAUUGUUUCUUCCAAUUAACCCCAAAGAAGACCAAAAGAAAAAACUUGAUGUCCAAUCACAGCACACAGACACAGACCUACAGUUUUAGUGCCAGUGUGCCACCCUGUAAUUAUAAACAAACCAUAUGGAUCAUCUUACACCGUUCAAUUGGUAGACAAAAUGAGGGCGGGCUGUGAGGUCAAUAGAGAUAAUUGAAACUAAACAUAGGAGAUCUCUGGAUGUGGACCCUUUGGAUUGGGUUCCCACCAGCACAUCCUUGCCGUUGUAGAAUCAAGACAGGUAGGACCCCCAAACUCCCAAGUCCCCCACCAAACAUGAGAUCAUUUUCCAUGUUAAACAAAACAACAAAUUGAAAACCCUUUAGUUUUUUAAGAGAAGUGAUAUUGCGAUGAAUGAAUCCAACAAAGAAUCUCAAGUGCAAUGGAAAAUACUCGUAACUUUCUAAAGUUUUUAAGUUGAAAUUUUUUAAUUUAAAGAUCUAAGAUCACAUGCCAACGAGAUCUAAUCUAGUAGAAAAAAUCAUUAACUUACAUACCAACAAUCUCAGGUUCGAAAUCUCAUGACAUCUUGAAAGUGUGUGUGAGAAAAACCUCACUCACCCUUAUAGUUUAGACUAUCGCUUGUAUUAUAAAAUAAAAUAUAUAAAAAAUCUAAGAUAACAUAAAUCUUGAACUCAUAGCUAGCAAGCCCUUUUAUACAAGGCCGUGCUAAGUAGUUGAGUAAUCUGUGUCAUGCUAUCUUGUAUUGUCUGCAAAUCUGAAAUUUUGUCAGCAGAAGGGUUGAGAGAUGGUUGAUUAAUGUGUUUACCGAGUCAAAAGAAAAACAAGAAAACCUGGAGACAAGGUUGGAGGAUCUCCAUACUUAUGUUUUCUAGCCCUAAGCAUAGCCUAAUAAGCUCCAUUAAUUGAUGUAUUUACAUGUGAAAUUUCCCUCCUAUACUAUGGUGACAUAUUGGAUUAAACAUAUAUUUUAUAAUGUAAUUUGCAUAUAAUUGUGAUCAUGCUCCACAGUGACCUACACCUGCAUUUGUGGUUGUAGUUGUUGCAUCCCAUUUUAGUCCGUGGCUCAAUGGGGCGGUGCUCUAUGUGUCCAAAUGGGUCAAUCUCAUCAGCUAGCUUAGCACACCUACUCUUGAAAAUUCUCAUUAUGAAUUCAUGGUUGUUUACCAUCGAUUAGAUGUGAGUCGAACUUAAGACCUCCUGAAUGUAUUUUGGAUGUAGCACAAUAUUAGUCGAACCCAAAAUCUGCUGAACUUUUAAUAGAGACUUAGUCGAACCCGAGAUCUGCUGCACGUUGAAUAUAACACAAAGUCAUCAAGUUAGAAAAGGAUUAUGAUACGAAUUUCAUACAAAAGAAUAAUCGAAAGCAUAAAUGGUAGUUGCAUUAAACAUAUAGGACACUCUAUUUGAGAUCAGAAUUGAUGUAGGCAUUAAGAUUCAGUCCAUUUGAGAUCACUAUUGAUGUAGGCAUUAAGAUUGAGAGUUUGACAUUUCUAGUAUUAGACUAAAGCAAAUAUCUAGGAAAAGAUCUUAUUCUAACAAACAAAGAAAUAAAGAAAAUGAAACUGAAACUGCAACAUCAUACAUAGAUACUCUGGUAUUUAGCCUAGAUAUUGAUAAGAUUUCAGAUGUUGGUAAAACCCAAUAAGGUUUUGACAUUUCCAACAUGAAGUUGGUUUCAGAUGCUUAAGCUUAUAGUUAGGCAUAUACUGUGAACCUCAAUCUACUCAAAAAUCUAGGGAAGUGUCCUGUUCCUGCAAAAUCUCCUUAAAAAAGGCCAGAAUUCUGCCCUAUCAAAAACCACAAAUCAUUCAGCAAGAGAGAGAGAGAGAGAGAGAGAGGAAGCAUCCUGUGAGGUUCAUAGUCAUGCAAGGCUCUCUCUUUAAUCCAAUUUUAUAGAGGGCGUUGACAAAGGGUAAUAAGUGUCCCUCUAGACAGAAUUAAUCUAAAAUAAUUUAUUCUAUCUCCAACUAAUAUAUCAUUUUGCAACAACCAACUUCACAAAACAAAGAGAAUAGCUGAAAUUUAUUAUUAUUAUUCUGACAAGUUGUAAGUUUUGGCCAGUCUAUUUAAGAAGAUCUCCUAAUGGAUGCUCAGAUACAUGCCAGCACUUCCUUCUCCUCUCUGUCCAUUCUUUCCAUUCAACAUCUUCUCAUUUCAAGUAAUCUCAAGCUGUCCCUUGUUUUCUUUUUCUGUCAAAAAACCGAGUGCAGCAUAUUUAUAUAUAUAUAUUUGUUGUGAUCUUUCAGUUCAGCUAAUCUCCUCUUGGAAGUUGAAGUGCUGAUAGUUUGGCAAAGAUGUGGGCUUUGUGCCUUGCAGCAUUGCUUAUUAUAAGCAUUACGCAUUGGGUUUAUAGGUGGAGAAAUCCUAGGUGCCAUGGAAAACUUCCACCAGGUUCAAUGGGAUUGCCGCUACUUGGAGAGACCUUACAGUUCUUCACUCCCAACACCUCUUCUGAUAUUCCUCCCUUCAUCAAGAAAAGAAUGAAAAGGUGAUAUUUCUGAUAAUUAAACAGCUGCUUCUUCCUUGCCAUCUUCUAAUUCCUCUUUUUGGUUCUUGUUUUCUCAUCUUCUUUACAUGUGUUCUGCAUUUUGGACUUUGCAGAUAUGGACCAAUUUUCAGGACUAAUUUGGUGGGAAGACCAGUUAUAAUAUCGACAGACCCGGAUCUCAAUUACUUUGUCUUCCAACAAGAGGGAAAUUUGUUUCAAAGUUGGUACCCAGAUACCUUCACAGAGAUUUUUGGCAAGCAAAAUGUUGGUUCCUUGCAUGGGGUUAUGUACAAAUAUCUCAAGAACAUGGUGCUGCAUCUCUUUGGACCCGAAAACCUUAAAAAGAUGAUCCCUGAAGUUGAACAAGCAGCUCUCAGCAGAUUACAACAAUGGUCAUAUCAGGACAUUACAGAACUAAAAGAUGCAACUGCAAGUGUAAUUUUCAGCCUAACCUUUCUUCUCUUUGAUAAAAUUUCACUAAAAGUUAAUAUCUUGUUUUAAGUCUGAUCAAUUUGUCUUUGCAGAUGAUAUUUGAUCUCACUGCAAAAAAACUUAUCAGUUAUGAUUCAAAUAAGUCCUCGGAGAAUUUAAGGGAAAACUUUGUUGCAUUCAUACAAGGAUUGAUCUCCUUUCCUUUGGACAUCCCUGGAACAGCUUAUCACAAAUGUUUACAGGUAAUUGCGUGAGUAUCAUUCACAACACUUGUUUCGUGCUUUCACAAGGCCAAUCAAAGCAAAAAGUUCCAUUUUGAAAACAAUCAAGUAUGUUCUCUUGUUCUUGACCUUCAACAAUUUCUCAGGGUAGGAAAAACGCAAUGAGAAUGCUGAAGAACAUGCUGCAGGAAAGACGAGCAGAGUCCCGGAAGCAACCGGUUGAUUUUUUUGAUUAUGUUCUUGAAGAACUUAAGAAAGAGGGAACAAUCCUGACAGAGGGAAUUGCUUUGGACUUAAUGUUUGUGCUGCUUUUUGCAAGCUUCGAAACAACUUCUCUAGCUAUAACAUUAGCCAUGAAGUUUCUUUCAGACCAUCCUCUUGUGCUAAAGCAAUUAACGGUACGAAAACAUUUCAAACCAUGCUAUUGAUUUCAACAUCCUCAUUGUCGCCCCUCCUAACAAGUUCUUAACAUUUACAUCUUAUGUCAGGAAGAGCAUGAGAUGAUUAUAAAGCAAAGGGAAAUUGCUGAUUCUGGACUUACAUGGAAAGAAUACAAGUCAAUGACAUUCACAUUUCAGGUGAGUCUCACUCUUUACACUUCCAAUGCUUAAAAGCAAAAUGUUGACCACAAAAAAAAAAAAAAGAAAAAAAAAAAAAGAGAUGCAAAUUAUACAAAAUCUGUUCAUACCUCUGUUGAACAAAGUAAAAAACUGAUAAAUUUUGACUUGCAGUUCAUCAACGAAACGGUUAGGCUGGCAAAUAUAGUUCCCGGUAUCUUUCGCAAAGCAGUGAGAGAAAUAAACUUUAAGGGUAAGUAGAAAUGACACAUAGUAUUGUUUUCAACUAUAAAAUAAGUUUCAACUAUGAACAUCAUCCUAAUUGGACUUGUCAUACCAAUUUUGUUGUGCAGGAUAUACCAUUCCAGCAGGUUGGGCAGUAAUGGUUUGUCCCCCAGCAGUACAUUUAAACCCAGCAAAAUAUGAAGACCCUGUGGCCUUCAAUCCAUGGAGAUGGGAGGUGAGUUUCAAUAUUAUAUCAGACUGCAUUGAUCUUGGCUUGAAAAUCUCCUAACCCUUUGUCCUUACACCUCAGUUGUUUGUACUAAAAAGUAAGUUUUAAUGCAGGGAGUAGAAGUAAGCAGUGCAUCAAAACAUUUCAUGGCUUUUGGUGGUGGCAUGAGAUUCUGUGUUGGGACAGAUUUUACUAAGGUGCAGAUGGCUGUGUUUCUUCAUUGCUUAGUUACAAAGUACAGGUAAGAAAGCCCAGAAAUCAAAGAGAGAGAACGGGAAAGAGAGAGGCAAGGAGACAGAGAGAGAGACUAAUAACAUUUUUUUGCAUCCAAAAUUUUUCAGGUGGGAAGCAAUCAAAGGAGGAGAUAUAGUUCGAACUCCGGGUUUACAAUUUCCAAAUGGUUUUCAUGUUAAGAUCAUGGAGAAGGAUACAAGGAACAGAAAACAGCAUUAUAUAGCUGCAGAUGCUUAAACCAGAAAUGUUAGUAGGCAAGUCAUUUGUAUGGCUAGAGAGAGAGAGAGAGAGAGAGAGAGAGAGAGAGAGAGAGAGAGGCACAGGAGAUUUUUUCCAGCUUGACAUAUUUUGCACCGGGAUUUUUAUUUCUCUCAAGCUGCAAAGAGGAUGACAGAUCAAGAACAUCACAUUUGGAAUAUGUACAGAGAAGAAAAGCAAUUAUAUCAUGUUCUCUCCACAAACAAAGACCAACCCAUAUUUUUGUUUGGGGUCACAUACAAAGUUUUAUGCUUCUACACCAAUUUUCUUCCUCCUUUUUUUUUUUUUUUUUCGAACAAUGUUUAGUUGUAUAAGGGUGGAAGCAGAAAAGAGAAAAAAGAACCGUUUAAAGACAAAUGUAGAAUCCAACAUAUAAUACAUUUUAUCAAAAUGAGGAUAUACUUGUAACUAGGGGUGGGCAUCAAUCCGGCCGAUCCGGUCAAUCCGGCCGAACCGAUUAUAUUGGAUUGGUUUGGUUUGGUUUUGACCAAAGAAAAAGUCAACAUUUUGAAAAACCGAACCGAACCGGUUUGGUUUGGUUCAGCUGUGGUUUGAGAGUUUUAAAAACUGUCCUAAACCGAACCGGACCGAUUAUAAAUCAAUUUAUUAUUUAUUUAAUUUAGUUUACAUGUGGCAAGGUUUGAGUGGUUAUUUAAGAGUGUACCAUGUACCCUGCAACACUUGAUUGGACUCCAAAACUACAACUCACGGACACAUCUAAGUUAUCUAACCAUUCUCUCUCCCUCAGAAGAGCCUCUCUCCUAUCUCCCUUCCUUCGUCUCUUAACCCUAGCUGAAACUCCCUCUCAUUAUUUCUCCAUCUCUCUUUGCUACAUCUCCCUCUCUCUGCUACAUCUCCCUCUCCCUCUCCCUCGACGCUAACUCAAGCCAACAUGAUUCGAACUCGGCGAAACCCACCCAUUUGUCCUCAGCGAAAUCCAUCUCUACAAAACCCAAGUUCCAUCAUCGACCACCAGGUUAUGCAAGGAUUGAUUAUGGGAAUAUUGUUGGUGGUGGAUCGUCAUCAUCAGCUGGGUUUGUAAAAUAUGCUAGUUCUGUCUACUACUUUAUUUUUUGUAUUGUCUCCAAUAACUGGUUAUACAUAAAAAGUUAGAGAGUUGAAAAAUAAAAUGGUAUUUUCUAUGAGGCCUAAUUUUUCAUUUUUAUGGUUGUAAAAUAUGCUAAUCUAUUUUAUUGUACAAAAAGACUGUAGCAUACCUUGCUUUGAUUUAGUUUUGUUCAUAGAAUAAUGUAUAUAAAAUGUUGCUUAUGUGAUAUUAAUGCUUGAUGCCUGUUCACAAGAGAAAAGAUCAAAUGUUGUGAACAACAGAAGAGACAUGCGUGGGGAGGAAACCAACAGAGGAAUCUCAUGCCUCCUUAGUGUUUUUAAUACCACACAAAAGCUGGUGCAGCACUUGGGAAGAUACAAGUGUGGAGAAUUGUCACCAAACCACCAGUCCUAUUUUUUCCUUUGUAAUAACUAUAUAAUUAAGCACAAUAAGAUUGUAUUUCUUUGAGAAUCAUGUUCUCUAAUAAUUAUUAUUGCUUGCAGCUUCUUUUAUUUGUAUGUUUUUUCUUUACCUCUUGUAUGAUUAGUGAAUGUUUUAUGCGUUUGAUAUUAGGGAACUUGAGAAUGAACAUGUUCGGUGACACAGAGAAAAUGAUGUUUUCUUUUAUGCUAAACCGGCCGAACCAAACCGUACCGAACCGGAUAUGAAUGGUUUGGUUUGGUUCGGUUUUCAUUUUAAUUUUAGCUCAACCGAACCACACCGAACCGUAAAAGUUUAAUUGGUUCAGCUGUGGUUUGAGGAUGAAACCGAACCAAACCGAACCGUGCCCACACUUACAAGUUGUAACAUUCUGUGUGAAAAUGCACCUGAAUCAUCAUCAUCACCAUCACCUUUUUCUUCGUCUUUAUUUUUAUUUUAUAAUUUCAAUAAAAACUAGACCCAAGCAUGCCAAAAGAGAAUAGUUCUACCUUUUAUAAUUCUUACCAAAUUCUUAGUUAGCCCAUGCUUGUGCCUGGCUUUAUGGGACAUUGUGAUGCUAAUAAUAAAAUAUUAUUAUUUAUACGCCUAAGUUGUUUGGGCCGCUCAACCCAAAUUUGUACAAUUUGGGCUAAUUUUUCUUGUUGUGGGCUAUGGGCUUUUCGGCCUAAAUAUGUGAUUUUUUAUGGCCGUUUAGGAUGUUGUCCCUCUUGUAGAAUUCUAUAGUGAGGGUCUUGUCUAAGAUCUUUAGGUGAUACCUUAUUUCUUAACUGUUAGAUCAAAUUAGUUAGUCGUUAGAUCAAAUUGAUUAGUUUGAUCCAACUGUUAAGAUAUAGGACCUCAUCUAAGGGUCUAAAAUGACUACAAGACCAAUAUUAGACAAAAACUUCAUAUGGUUUUGUCACAACAAUCACUUAACAUUGGUGCAUCAACUAUGAAAUAUUGCCUUGUCAAAGAAAAGGAAAAAUAUAAAUAUUCUAAAUAUUUUAACAUUUUAGCCACUCUAGCUAUAAUGCAUAAUAUAUAUAUACUAGUUUCUCGAUCCGCACUCACAGGAAUAUCAUGUCUUUUAUUUAUUUUUUAUUUAUUCUUAUCUAUAUAAAUUUUUGUUAGACAUAAAAAUAGUUCUUAAUGAUGACAAUUUUGAGUUACUUGAAAAUUUAACCAUAAGUCUAGAAGAUAAAACUUAUGAUUCCAUUUUGAUAAUACUAAUUUAUAUUUUUUUGUAUUUUCAUCAAUACUUCAUGUAUUUUAGAAAACUUGUAACAAACCAAAGCUUUCAAACUAUUACUUGAGCAUUUCUUUUUCUUCUUUAUUUUCUCGGGGUGUUUUCUGACUUUCUUGGUCCUUUCUAUAAAUUUGAAAUUCCAAAAAAAAAAAAAAAAAAUUAUGUGAAAAAUAUGAUGAUCUUGUGGCCCUCAAUCCAUGGAGAUGGGAUUUUGUUGUAGCUAAUAUUGGCAAGCAAACCCUCUUUACCAUUUUAUUCUGAGUCCUAAGCUGCACUGAAGGUUAAACCAAACCCAACAAGGAAAGGAAAUGAAACGUUUCCUGAUUAAAAAGUGUAGCAAUGUAUCCUUUUUCCUAACCCCAAACGGAUACAAUAAAAAGCCUUAACAUCUAAACCAAACCCAACAAGGAAAAGCAAGUUCCCAAUUGAAAAAGGAUGUUUCCAGAUCCCAAACUGAUAUGCUACAAAAACCUUAUAAAUACCCACACAUUCUUGCACUUCUUGGCAAUUUCAUUCCAAGCAGCAUCAAGCACAAAAACCCGUCUCUCCGUUUCUCCCCAACAACUAGAAUUCAUUAUUUGAUUGUUCUGUAGUUUGAUUUUCUUCUAUUAAUUUCAACAUUAACAAUGGAGGAAGAAAAUGAGCUCUCAGCACUCCUAGCCCUAAACCCUGGUCGUGCUAGUAGCAGUGCAAAUCCUUGUCCACUACCGGGCCAAGUUUCCACUGCCCUCACUUUGUGUGAUCCAACUUGGAAUUACAACACAAACCAGAGAAAAGCAGAGGAAUUCGACCCUGCUCCUCUCAGAUUUUCCGCAUUCCCUCCUAAUCUGAAACACAAGAAAAUAACGAAUAAUAUGAACAAGGAAUUAAAGAAGAAGAAAAGAAACCCAGUAGUGCCGGAAACUACGCUGAGUCCACAGCCUCAGGAUCACGGGCCUUGGAAAAUCAGGAAGAAGCUGACAGUAAGCGACCUUGGAAGCUGCUCAAGGCUACUAAUGCCGAAAAAACCGGUCAUCGACCAUGUUUUGCAUUACUUGGAUGACACGUUUGCCAAAAGGGUUAAGAGUGGAGAGGGCAUAGAAGUUAUAGUUGAAGACUGCGAUACAAACACCAGGCAUCACAUGACUUUCAAGCUUUGGGGGUCGGCCGAGAGCUACAUUCUCAAUGGAGAUUGGAGACUAGAGUUUGUGCAUAGGAGAGGCUUGGAGGAGAAUGAUAAAAUUGGGCUUUAUUGGGAUACCUCCAAAUCCAUGUUCAUGUUUUCUGUUCUUGAAAGGGCAAGGCAAUCCCAGUUACCUGCUUGAUCAAUUUAGUGGGUCUAGAUUGUUGAAUUUGAUUGAGAUUUCAUGAUUAAUUUCCUGAAUUUGCAAUUGUGAUCAGAAUUGUAACUAGCUAGAUAGUUUAGUUACCUUAUUAUUCCUCAAUUUGACACAUUAGUUGUAACAGACUUUUUUAAAUACAAACGAUUGUCUAAGCUACUGUAUAAGGGCGCAAGCAGACUACCUCGUGCAACUUGUUUAAACCAAGUAUGCUUAUUGUAAUAGAUUUGGUUUCACAAUGUUUAAGUUGUUUUAUUUUGGUUAUUCUAUGAAUCAAGAGCAGUAAUGUUCUUCCUCACUCACUCUAUUUACAUUUUUCCAUCUCUGUUUUUAUUUAUUCAUACUUUUACUUCCUGUUAUGAGUUUUCGUUACACGUAUAACAUUACUUCAUUCAGAUAAUACUUUCACCCAGUUUAUGAUAAUUCCCUAGGUGUUUUUUUUUUCCCUAUCGGAUGGCUUCCACAUUCAGAUACGGGUUCAAACCACUAUUAUGAAAUGUAUCAUGCAAUUUAAUAAAAACAAAAAAUAAAUAAAUGUGGGCAUACAAAGUUUCAUGCUCAAUCCUUAAUUAUCUCCAUGUAAAGGUGGAAGCUGAAAAAAGAGUACAUGUUAAGGGAAUGCAUAAAAUAUCCAACAUGUUGAACAAUAUAAAGUCCCACAUCAGAAACUUGACAAAAAUAUAUACAAUAUAUAAUGAGUGAUUCCACUACUUAUAUAAUUGAGGCUUUUUGUGAUAAAAGCCCCACACCUAUUGGGCUUAAAAUUUUGUGUGAAAAUGUUUCAGCAUCAUCUUUCUUUCUUUUUUUUUCUUUUUUUAAAAUGUUGCAAGCUAAGUAUUCCACUAACAUCAAAGAAAUGGAAAGAUCUUUACAUUCAGAAUGUGUUGUAAAUGAGAGCAACGUUUCUUAGAAGAGAUUGGAGGAUAUGGCAGAAUAGUUUUCUCCUUAUUAUGGAUGGCAACGGGUCGGAUAUGGGUCAGGUAUGACAAUACCAUCCCUGUCUCCGCUCUCCAUCUCCGCUCCCAUCCCCGUUUAAUAGGUUUCAAAGAAUCCCCGUACCCGUCCCCGUCGGGGGACUAUCCCCCAUACCCGCCCAGAAUCCCCGAUUUUUUUUUGCAAAUAAAAAAAUAAAAAAAUAAAAAUCAUACAUUUUAACAUUAAGUUUCAUAUUAAAUUAUCAAUCAACACAUCCAAAUUAACUAUAAAGUUCAAUUCAACUAUUCAAAAUCACAUCAAUUCAAUUUGACAAAACACACACACACACAUAUAUAUAUAUAUAUAUGUAUAUGUAUAUAUAUAUAUAAUCCAAAUCUUCAUCAUGAUCAUCUUACAAAUUUUGGAAUCUCACAAAAAUAAAUAAGUAUGAAAUUUAAUAAAAAGUAAGCACAAAUAUUAUAAUUACUAGCCACUUGGUAUAUGCUCACGCAUGUGCCAAUUAGUUUUAUUUUUUAUUUUUUAUUUUAUUUUUAGAAUUAAGAAAAGAUAACAUGGGUAGUUAGAGCAUCCACAGCAGAGGAUGUAUAAUGGGGUGUAUGUUAAAUAUACACCUUUUGUGAUCGGAAUCACCCACAAUGGGAAGGUGUAAACCAGUGUAAAUUUGCAUCACCACCCUGAUAUGCAAAUUUAGAUGUACAUGUACAUCAUUUUUUUACAUCUUUUGCAUGUGGGACCCAACUGAAAAAAGGUGAGAUAAAGUGGAGAAAAGUCAGCAAAAAAGUUGCUGAACCAAAAUUCAUAUGUGGGCCCAUUUUUUGGUUGCCAUCCCCCCCACCCUACAACGGUUACAUUGCUGGACCAACAGCUUUAAUUUUAAAAAACAGCUAGCUUUAAUUUAUUUUUGAUGAAAUCAUAUCUUCUCUGAGUUUAUAUAUUUUUAGGUCUAUUUGUUUGAAAAAAUAAAAUAAACCAAAUGCACAAAAAAUUAAUUUUAUAAAGUUAACACAAUAACGAAUUAAGCCAAAAAAAAAUCAAUUAUACAUCUUUCCCAUUGGAGCAAAAACUACAUUUACAACCUCCGGAGGUGUAAAAGGGAUGUAAAAGUGGCUUUACACCCUCGAAAAUACACCCCCGCAAUGUGGAUGCUCUUAUGUUCUAUAAAAGUAGGACCUAUUAUCUGAUUUUGUUUUAAUUUUUAAUUUUUAAAUAUGAAAAAUGUGAAUUUACCAUAUUAUCCUCAUUUAAUUAUCAUUUCAAUUCUUAAUAUUUGAAUUAACUAAUGGCAUUUUCUGGUAUUUUGAAUGUUUCACCAUUCUCUGCCUUUUGCUUUUUAUAUAAAGAUAAACAUAUAUUAUGAAGAAUUAGGAGAGGGAGGUUAACUUAGGGUUAAACAUAAAUAUUAUAAUUAUAUAUUUAUUUAUAAACAUUUAUAUUUUCGGGUCGGGUUCGAGGACUGGGAUGCCAAUACCAUCCCUGCCGUAAGGGAUUUUUCAAGUUUGGGGAUUCCCUUACCCGAUACUUGUUUUGCCUCGAAAUCUUCCCCCCAUUAAGAUCGGGGACCUGACAAGUACCUGUACCGGCAGAGAUUUGUGCCAUCCCUAAUCCUUACUUGGGUAAAAAAGUGAACUAUACUAAUUACAAUUAACAAACAGCUAAUUAAGGAAUUAGCGUAUUCUAGUUUUCACACCGACAUAGGUAAAUAGGAUCUAGAUCAAAAGAAGUUCAAUUAUCCCUCAAACUGGCUAAAGCAUUCGAAGUUCCCCUUUCCUUUUUCACCAACAGUGUGAAGUUUCUUUGGAUACACGUAAAAGAAUAUUAUAAUAUAUGCUUAAUUGCUUGUGAAAGAAAAUGUCUGAAUCAAACCGUUCACGAGUGGGUUGGUUUGGCUCGCCUAUGCACUAGUUUGAGUCACAAGCCAAACUAAUUUGAGCCAUGAUGUGACAUUAGUUUGGUCUGACCUGUCUAUUUAACCUCUUCUCGUCUUGUAAGUGUAAUAUAAUCUUCAGUAAAAGAUCUCCUCUGAACUUGGACUGAUACUUUGGCAAAAAUGUGGGCUCUGUGCAUGGCAGCAUUAGCUAUUAUAAGCAUCACACAUUGGGUUUACAGGUGGAGAAAUCCCAAAUGCCAUGGCAAGCUUCCACCGGGAUCAAUGGGAUUGCCACUGCUAGGCGAGACCUUACAGUUCUUCACUGCCAACACCUCUUCUGAUAUUCCUCCUUUCAUAAAAAAAAGGAUGGAAAAGUGAAGUUUCUGAUACCAUAUAUAACAGCUACUACUUUGUCAAUUUUUCAAGCAUAGUUGUUUUUAAUAUUCCUUACUAGUAUCUUGCAUUUUUGGACUUUGCAGAUAUGGACCAAUAUUCAGGACUAAUUUGGUGGGAAGACCGAUUAUUAUUUCGACAGACCCGGAUCUGAAUUACUUUGUGUUCCAACAAGAGGGAAAUUUGUUUCAAAGUUGGUACCCAGAUACCUUCACAGAGAUUUUUGGGAAGCAAAAUGUUAGUUCCUUGCAUGGGGUUAUGUACAAAUAUCUCAAGAACAUGGUGCUGCAUCUCUUUGGACCCGAAAGCCUUAAAAAGAUGAUCCCUGAUGUUGAACAAGCGGCUCUCAGCAGAUUACAACAAUGGUCAUGUCAGGACAUUACAGAACUAAAAGAUGCAACUGCAAGUGUAAUUUUCAGCCUAACCUUUCUUCUCUUUGAUAAAAUUUCACUAAAAGUUAAUAUCUUGUUUGAAGUCAGAUUAAUUUGGUCUUUGCAGAUGAUAUUUGAUCUCACUGCAAAGAAACUUAUCAGCUAUGAUUCGAGUAAGUCCUCGGAGAAUUUAAGGGACAACUUUGUUGCAUUCAUACAAGGAUUGAUCUCCUUUCCUUUGGACAUCCCUGGAACAGCUUAUCACAAAUGUUUGCAGGUAAACGUAAAUCAACGCUUGUCUCUUUCUUUCACAAGGUCAUAUUUCUCCAUGGAUAGGCAAAAGCUCAUAGAGGCAUUGAAUUAGAUCCUCAAAGCUGACUUUAAAACUAAAAAGUUCUGAGAAUGUAGUCUCUCCUCUUGGUCUCAAUCACUUUCAAAUUUUUAUGCAGGGAAGGAAUAGGGCGAUAGGAAUGCUGAAAGACAUGCUACGGGAAAGACGAGGAAAGUCCCAAGAUCAGCCAAACGACUUUUUCGAUUACGUGAUUGAAGAACUUGAGAAAGAGGGAACAAUCUUGACAGAGGAGAUUUCUCUGGACUUGAUGUUUGUGCUGCUUUUUGCGAGCUUUGAAACAACUUCAAUUGCUAUGACUUUAGCCAUCAAGUUUCUAUCAGACCAUCCUCUGGUGCUAAAGCAAUUAACGGUCUGAACUCUCAAAGUGUUACCAAACAGUUUAUAAUAUAUAUAUAUAUAUAUAUAUAUAUAUAUAACCUUAUAAACAUUUUCUAUCUUAUGCCAGGAAGAGCACGAAAUGAUUCUAAAACAAAGGAAAAAUGCUGAUUCGGGACUUACAUGGAAAGAAUAUAAAUCAAUGACUUUCACAUUUCAGGUGAAUCUUGACAUUUUCACUUUCAGUUCUUGAAGGGAAAUCCACUCUAUUCAGACCUCUGUUUUACAAACUGAAAUUUUCAACUUGCAGUUCAUCAACGAAACGGUUAGACUGGGAAACAUAGCUCCAUGCAUCUUUCGAAAAGCGCUGAAGGAAAUCAAUUUCAAGGGUAUGUAGGAAUGACAUAGAGUAUUGUUUUCCUGCUAUAGGAAAUCAUUCUAAUUUGACAUAUUAUUACCAUUUGGCGUGGGUGUAGGAUAUACAAUUCCAGCAGGUUGGGGAGUUAUGGUUAGUAACACAACGGUACACUUAAACCCAGAAAUAUAUGACGAUCCUGUGGCCUUCAAUCCAUGGAGAUGGGAGGUAGGUUGAAUAUCUGAGAAUGUAUUGUUCUAGCUAAUCUACCAUUUAUUCUCAGUCCUAAACUGCAAUGAAGUUGGUUUGAUUAAUUUAAAGGGAACGGAAACAAAUAGCGCAUCCAAAGAUUUCAUGGCUUUUGGCGGCGGACAGAGACUCUGCGUAGGAGCAGACUUUGCUAAAGUGGAGAUGGCUGUGUUUCUCCAUUGCUUAGUCACAAAGUACAGGUAAGAAAGAACUAAUGUCCUGUAAUGAGUGAGAGAGAGAGUGAGAGAAAGAGAGAGAGUAACAUGUUCUCAUCCAAAAUUUUCAGGUGGGAAGCAAUCAGAGGAGGAAAUAUAGUCCGAACUCCUGGGCUACAAUUUCCGGAAGGUUUCCACAUUCGUAUCCUGGAGAAAGAUAACAGGAAACAGCCUAUAAUUCCUGAUCCUUGAAGCAGAAAUGUCCGAGAGGGUAGAGCCACCAUAUGUUCUUUUAGAUUGUGAAGCAUGGACCAUUGAGCUUGCCAUUUCCUCAGUUUAAAUAUUUUCUAAAAUAAGAUUGGUUAGGAUUCGGAAUUUCUCUGAAUGUCCCGGGUUCAGACCACUAUUAUGAAAUGUACUCUGUAAUACAAUAAAGGCAAAGAAAAAAGAUUGGCAUGCUUCUACCUAGAUCUUUCUCAAUGUUUAAUGAUCUCCAUGUAACAGCCAUUCACUGAAGUUGUAGACAAAAAUACUUCAUGUGCAAUAAUAACAAUCAAAUUUAAGCAUUAACCCUGUCUCUAAGUUCAUUUGCAGCUUCAAUAACAAUCCAAACUGUCACAACAUCUAUAGUGAAUGGACCAACAGUUUUCCAUUUUAUAAAAAGAGCAUGUUAACUCUAGCAUCUUAAGUUGGACCAAAUCGACUGCUCUGCCCCUUCUCCAAACCUGUGCAUAAAGACACCCAGCUUAGUUGACAUGCACCUUAACAAGAACCAUCAAAGAACUAGUACCUAUCAAGAUAGUAACGUGAUAGCCCCCUUUGCCAAAGAUCUGAUAAAAACCAUAGCCAACACUAUGUAACUUACUUAAUUCAGCAAUUCAUAUCCCAAAAACCACCCAAAAAAACAAAAUCAUUUAUCAAGAACUACAACUAGACUUACAUGCCUGUUGGCGAGGAUCCAACUCAAUUGCCUUAUCAAAUUCUGCUACACACCCUGAAACAUCACCCUUAACAAAUAACAAAGUUGUAAACUUUUAAUGCCAAACUAUAAGAACAUGUCAAAUGUGCAGAGAAAUUUAGAAACCAGUAUUGAAUGAACAAGGAGCAGAUUUUACCCCCUAAAGAGUACCAUUCCACGUCGAAUUGCGGCAAUGGCUUCGCAAGCAUUGUUACCGCUAGCUAAGGCAUCCCAGAUGCCAGAAACUCAAGGGAGCGGUGGCUAGGUUCUGUAGUUGUGAAUUGUUGAAGUAAUUGUGCCAAAGAAGACGGAGCUGUUCUGGGUUUUGAAUAAAACUGAAGGCGAGGUUAGGAAUGGUGUCAUAUACGGUUUUUCUAUUUAAUUUUUUUCAAUAAAUAGGAUCGGCUAUACUAUUUUAAAUAUAAAAUAAAAUAAAAAGAGUCUAGCCACAUGGUUAUAUUAUUUAUCGAAAAAAAGGGACACACCUAGUGUCUAGAUGCCCACGUGUCAAAACAGGUAUAGCCGAGCUAUACUAUUUUUUUUUCUAAAUAAAUUACCGACGUCAAGCCGAGCGGCUAUACUAUUUUAAAUAAAAAAUAAAAAACCCCAUAUAGCCACGCGGCCAUACUAUUUAUAAAUAAAAAAAGGGAGACCCGCCUAGUGCCAAGUGCCCACGUGUCAAAACAAGUAUACAAUUUUUACAAUAAAUUACCGUAGUAAAGCCAGACGGCUAUACGAUUUUUUUAAAAAUUAAAAAAAAAAAUUGUCCUAUUAUAGCUGGGCGGCUAUACUAUUUUUAAUAAUAAAAAAUAUCCGUGUAUAGCAAGACGGCUAUACUAUUUAUAGAAAAAAAAAAAAAGGACCUACCUAGUGCCUAUAUGUGUCAAAAUCUGUAUAGCCGCGCAGCUACACUAUUUUUUAAAAAUAAAACAUCGGAGUAUUACCGCGCGGCUAUACUAUUUUAAAUAAAAAAUAAAAACCCCGAGUAUAGCCUCGCGGCUAUACGAUUUAUAGAAAAAAAAAAAGGGUACGUAUAACUGUGCGGCUAUACUAUUUACUAGGGCUUUUUAAAAAAAAAUAAUAAUUUUUUUCCCGGAUUUUCGUUUAUCAAUAAGAGUACUUUAGAGCAUUAUCCAUUACUACAAAGCCAUUACUCAAGUAUCUAUUGUCCCUUUUUUAUUUUUUACUUUAAUGAGUUAUUAUCCGUUUAAAAAUUUUAGCAUUUUCUAAUUUAAUAUUCAUAUUAUAUACAUACAUAUAUAUAUAUUUCAAUAGUUCUUCUUUUUUCCUUACACGUCUUUGUUUAAAAAGUGAAGAUUACGGUGGAUAAAUCCCAUUCAAGUUGGUGGUUCCCCAAGGAUGACACAUUGGGUUUACAGGUGGAUGAUUCCCAAAUGCCAUGGCAGACCUUACAGUUCAAUGGGAUUGCCACUGCUAGGGGAGACCUUACAGUUCUUCACUCCCAACACCUCUUCUGAUAUUCUUCCUUUCAUAAAUUUUUUAUAAAAAUUAAAAAAAAAAAAAAAAGGAUGGAAAAGUGAAGUUUCUGAUCCUGUGGUCUUCAAUCCGUGGAGAUGGGAGGUAGGAUGAAUAUGUGAGAAUGUAUUGUUCUAGCUAAUCUACCAUUUAUUCUCAGUCUUAAGCUGCACUGAAAGAUGGUUGAUUAAUUUACUGGAAACGAAAACAAAUAGUGCAUCCAAAGAUUUCAUGGCUUUUGGCGGCGGAUAGAGACUCCGUGUAGGAGCAGACUUUGCUAAAGUGGAGAUGGUUGUGUUUCUCCAUUGCUGAGUCACAAAGUACAGGUAAGAACUAAUGUCCUGUAAUCAGAGAGAGAGAGAGAGAGAGUAACAUGUUCACAUCCAAAAUUUUCAGGUGGGAAGCAAUCAGAGGAGGAAAUAUAGUCCUAACUCCUGGGCUACAAUUUCCGGAUGGUUACCACAUUUGUAUCCUGGAGAAAGACACAGGAAACAGGAAACAGCCAAUAACUCUGAUACUUGAACCAGAAAUGUCAUGUGCUUUUAUAUUGUGAAACAAGAAGCAUUGAGCUUGACAUUCCCUCAGUUUGAAUAUUUUCUAAAAUAAGAAGCAAUUUUCAUAUGGUUAGAUUGGUCAGGAUUCGGAAUUCCUCUGAAUGUCCCGGGUUCAAACCACUAUUAUGAAAUGAAUUAUGUAAUACAAUAAAGCCAAAGAAAAAAGAUUGGCAUGCUUCUACCUAGAUCCUUCUCAAUGUUAAAUUAUCGCCAUGUAAAGGUGGAAGCAGAGAAAAGAACCGGUUAAAGGAAUGCCAAGAUAUCCAACAUUUUAAAAAAAUUAUCUAACAAAGGCACUAGUAACAUUCUGUGUGAAAAAAGAUCUUUACAUUUGCAUUCUUCCACGACCCAAAGAAAAUAGAUAUAAACAGGAAAAUCAAUUCACUGAAAGAGUAUAAAACUGUAAGUGCCACUACUCUCUCUGUUUAGCAUGCAGAUUAAACUGAUUGUUAUCCAAAAGCCUUUUGUACAUACCAAAUUCACUCUUGCGUUCACUUGAUUGCGUCUGGUCUGGUCUGGUCACUAUGAAUAAUCUUUGGUUAGUCUCCUUUCAUUUUUAUGGCUGUGGUAUCCGGUAUUUUCAUCAACUUUCUGCAUAAUACUUGAAUGCUUUCUUCUCCCAUGCUUGGGCUUGUCUUUGUGGACGUGGUGGAGAUGGUAGUAAUAAUCGCUGCCUCUUUCAAACUGGUUACGCCUGUGAUCAUUGUGAAUGUUUCUUCGCUUAUGAUGAGAACCAUGCUUGUGGUUCCUUGCUUCAUGCCCAUGAUGUUUAUGAACAUGAGUGUGCAAGUGUUCUACGUCACUUCUGUGCUUCCGAAUAUCCUUGGUGUGCUGAUUAUUAUCCCAAAAAUGAUCUUCCCACCAAUCAUAUAAAGGAUCAAAAAGUCCCUUUUGAUGUAGAAGCCACAGUAGCACAACCACUGCACAUCCAUGCAUAAUAUUUUAUGUAUUCGUUGCAUCUCUGAAAUCAUCUGCUUAAAUGUAAAUUUUCUGGAAAAAGUAGGUUUACCUGUUGGAAAAAUUGCCAAAAGUAGACCAAACAUCACAAUCCAACUCAUACAUAUAUACUGUAUGUGGCACCGGAAGUCAAAGAACCUGGGGCAUUUCCUUCUGCCCACAAAAAGAUGCAAAGAGAAAUGGACCGGGUUUCAUACAAAUCAAAAGAGAUUUAAAAUGUGCAAAUUCAACUACAAUCCAACAUCAGAUGCAUCCACAAGAAGAAAAAGAAUAUAUAUGAUAGCUGAGCAUAAUAUCUGAUCGUGUGUGCAAGGCGUGGCGUGAUUAAGAAUUGUUAGAAUGCAACCAGCAUUUUGAACAGACAAAUCCACGUUAGAAUGGUUACCAAAGGACCACUGCCAUCAAAACCAUUACUAGAAAUGAAAAUUUAGAGCAUAAAAAAGUUUAAAGAAUAAAAAACUGAACCAGGCAAGUACCUGCAAGUUUUUCCAGUGACGAAAUCUACCAAAAUAUUCCACAGAUUGUUCCAAAUGCUUUCAACAGAGUCAAAGAAACCGGUUGUGCCUGUCUUUGGUGGAUUAAAAGGAUUACCCUGCAGCAAUUAAUGACUUCAGUAGUUCAUUCAUCACAUAAAUCAAUUUCCACAAGGUUAAUUUCAUUUCAAAGUAUCAUUUCUCAGUUGUUGUCUUUAAAACGGACUUAAAGAAAUCAUGCUGAUCUAAAGUGCCUCAUACAUUGGACUUCAAAGAACUUCUUAACUUUCUUCUGAAAGGAAUGAAGAUUUACAGGGUAAAACAUCGUUAUGACUAAACCUGUGAUCCAUUAUCAAGGACAGUAGAUGUUGUAGAAAAUUGGCACUCGGCUCUAUCUACUUCUUUAUAAUCAGAGUCCUUUAGUAUAGCUGCAUUCAAACUAAAAAAGUUAGUACUACCAAAAAUACUUUGGGCUACUUUAUCAUCUGUCUGAACCAUGUCUCAUCUUACCUGCACAAACAUAUUUUGCAGCUUGAUCAGUUGCUGGGUAAAGUUUGAAGGCUCGCGUUGUUGUUUCUUUUGGCUUCAUAAUAAGGAAUUGUUCCUGAAACACAGUAUCAUUUGUGUGAAUAUAAUCAUCAUGUUCAAAACUGAAUACAUGGGCAGUAGGGAAAAAGUACCUCCAUGAGGGUGACAUCACUAGAGCAAUCAAACUGCAAGAUGGGAAAAUUCAUCACAUCUGAAACUACAUAUUGCAACAGCCAUUCACUGAAGUUGUAGACAAAAAUGCUUCAUGUGCAAUAAUCACAAUCAAAUUUAAGCAUUAAAACCCUGUCUCCAAGUUCAUUUGCAGCUUCACUAACAAUCCCAACUGUCACAACAUCUAUAGUGAAUAGACCAGUUUUCCAUUUUAUAAAAAGAGCAUGUUAACUCUAGCAUCUUAAGUUGGACAAAUCCAAAAAUAAAAGGGAAAAAGAAAAGAGGAUAAUCCAUUUAAGUCUAUAUUAAAAUUUAAGAAUAGUCAAUAAGGUACCGUUAAACUAUAUGAUGCUUCCACUUCACCAGUAUUCGUUGUUGUGAUUGUCGCAGUUCCAAAUUGAGUAAGGGCCUCAAACAUUGGGACAUUGAUACUUAAGAUUUUCCCAGGACUCCUACAAAUGCAUAAAAAAAACCUUCGGCAAUAAGUGAAACUUAAUGAGGAUCAAAAAGUUAUAUGAAGCUUAAAAAUCUUGGUUAUUUGGAUUCUAGAUGUCCCAAGUGAAGACACAUUUUAAUUAUUAGAAAACUACUAAAUUCAAAAAGUUAAAGUUGUUAGAGAAUGGACCAACAAUACAUAUCAAUUGAAUACCCUCCCUCACAUCCAGCCCCAUCAUGUACGUGCGGAGGCAGCAAAGAGAUGGGGAUAAUAGAGACACAUAAAGGUGCCUCCCUCAGAACCUCUGGCAAACAGAGAUAAGAUACAAUGUUUAAAACUACUUAUUUCCAUCAAUUACAUGAGUGACUUGGCUUAACCGAAAAGAAAAGAACCUACACAGUUUUCAGCAUAUCAGUCAGGAGGACUUUAGCUAAUAAAAGUACAAAAAGGAGCAAUGGCAUCUUUGUUUUCCAAGUUCAUCUCAUCUUAACAAAUAAAUUCUUGAAAAUAAAAUUAGUAAGAGUGCUUAAGGAAAUAAUAAAAACCUUGAAAAUGAAUAGCCCAUACAUGAAACAAUUAUUUCAAAUACAAGCCAAUCAAGCAUACUCAUUAUAGGGAGUUGAUGUUCAUGCCUUUUAAUAAAUACAAAAUCCUUCUAAAAUAAGUCAAAUACAGUAGCCUGAAAAUACUAACCUUUGGUAGACAUAUUCUACGUCAUCAGCACUUAGUUCUAUCAAGAGAUUAGUAUUAAUAACUUCAGUGACUCCUAUGGAAAACGAAUGAGUUCCUGCAUUCUGCAUCCAAUCAGAAAUGAUAAAUAAAUCCCGAUGAUAGAAAUUGUUGUGAAUGUACUUCUAAAAUUGCUAAGACAUAACUGGAUGCUGGUUUAUCCUUUCAAACCUUCCUUCCACACCAUAAAGUGGCAACUGAUUCCUUUCAAUUCGGUUCUGGUCAGCCUGUCAGAAAGAAAAAACUUGUUCCUCGGUUUCCACAUCAGCUAUAAAAUAACCAUGUACCAAAUAUAAAACAGCCACAAUCCUCUGAAAUAUCUCAUUGUACAAACGGAGAAAGAGACUCCUGCCUUUCUGCCAACGAUAUAUGAUAGAACAUGAGAUUUCACUAUAGUUUAUGUAAAGAACUUGAAGCACUUAUGGAACUUUCAGUACCAAUGUCAGCAAUGCGAAACUAUAGCAAUACAUUCAACAAAAAUAAGACUGAAAUGAGAAGCAUACACUAGAGAAGAUACAACUUUCAGGCUGGAUAGACAAACCUAACCAAAAAGAGAAGCAUGCAAUAGAUAAGAUACAACUUUCAGGCUGGAUAUACAAACCUCCCAGAAAUUCCAUAAUUGAUUAUGCAAGCAACUCCAGAAUGGUGAAGAGCAAAAGUUUGGCUGCCCAUUGAAAGCCUCAUAACUGACACCAAUUUUAUUACAUUCAACACCAUCUAAAGAAAACCUUACUCUCUCUAGCAGCAUCCACAUAGAAAGGUUCCUCCCCAAGUUCUGGGGUUGACCAGGACCCCCCUUCCACAAAAGGAAAAUGAAACUCUCAGCAAUAGAAGAAAAUAACAAAUACUGCAUGGCUGUUUAUAAAGAAAAAUUAAUCAAUUAGCUUGAUCUUUUAUAGUAACUCUAAUAUUAUCAGUCUCAUAGCAGAUGCUUUCAAGAAUCACACUUAUUUAAAAUGCGAAUGCAAACCAAUGAGUGAUAUUGGAACCUCAGACCAACACUACCAUCCAAACAUAGUGCAAAUAUUGUAGUGAACUUUUGACCUAUUACAUUCUCUUUUACAAAACCAUUAACAUAAAGAAUAGCUGUACCUAGUUACUCCCGUAAGAAAUACAUACUUCAAAUAAAGCAUAUAUGCCAAUGGUACUAACGGAAAUUACAUUGGUGGAGCCUGCAUACCUGCCUCGGAAUUACAAGGUAGAAAUCCUCGAAUGAUGGUAUAUUUGUGUAUCCAACAAAAUCUCCAAUAAGAUUAACUCGUACAAAAUUAUCAUUGGAUAUCGCUGUUCUAUUCUCAGGACCAACAAGCACUUCCUGGUGGCAAAUAAAGUAUCCAUAAAUCUUUGUUAUGAAAUGAAAUUUAACAUUACUAAGAGCAAGAUAAGAGGAUGAAGUGCUGUAAAGUAAAAGGGAAAAGGGAGCUUCAUUCCACGGGGAAAGGAAAAUUGUAUAUAGUAGUUCAACAUGAAAUGAGCUCUAAUUUUCAGCAGAGGUCUAAUUUUUCGCCACAGGAAAAAGACACAAGAUUUUCAAACACAUGUUACAAGACUGAAUUAGAUUGUAAUGAGUAAUUGUCUAUAGCAGAAACAAGCACAAUACAUUACAAGCAAUGAAUAUAUAAAUGGUACACAUAUGUGGAGAAGCAACAUACCGAAACUUUAGAUCCUGUCUUCACCUGAACUAGAACACUGAAUCCCACUGACCGCUGUCCAAUACCAAAAACAUGGAACCUAAGUGGAUUUUAAAAUAAACAAAUAAAAAUUCACUUCUCGGAUAAUGGCCAAAGGGUAUGAAUAAACAAGAACAUCAAAAAGGAAAUAUAUUGGCCAUGUAGAAUUGUUUAUAGUUGUAGCCUCCAUCACUUAUAUUGUCAAACAUAAACAAUUAUUUCAAGCAAAACAAUAUUGGACUCUUAGUAAUCUUAGUUCAACCUUCGUAACUCCCCAGAAGAAAAGAAAAACCAAGCUUCUUCACAUAAUUUUAAAUUUGAUAAGAUUAUUUGACGGUAGAAAUGUAUCAUAUUUCACAAAUUCAUGAAAAUUUAUGAAUAUGAUCUCUAUAUGAAAACUUUAUUGAAAGUAAAACAAAAAGAAUAUGAGAAAAAGACAACUACUACCACGGAAAAUGACAUAGCCUCAUAAAUUUCUAUAAACCAGAGAGCUAUGGCAUGUCGGCUGGAACUUAUCAAAAAUCAAUUAUGAACCUUUCAAGAAAAACAUAAGCACAAUGAAGAACUUAGAACUUAAAGCAAGGACCUUACCAAUCACCCGGAAAACGGACACAAUGGGCAGUAUUCGCUUUUCCCUUCAUCAACUUAUCAACUAACAAAAGAAAAGUAUCAAAUUCAAUAGUCCAAGAUGGCAAGAGGCAUUGUACAAGUAAAAUUUAAGAAAAUGUAAACAACUAAAAUGCACUUACACACAUUUCCACAUGAUGAAGGUACCCGCCGCUGAGGCCCACAAGGACAGCAGAUUGGCUAUGCAGAACAUAACAGACAAAAUGGAAGAAAAGAAUACAUCACAAACUGCUUACAAAAAUCUAUGAUAAAUAAUAACUGUUAAGCAUCAAUAGACUACUGAACAUAUAACUUUGGACAUUUUUCAACAUCAAUUCAACAAGAGCAAUCUACUAAUAAAUUGCGAGUGACCUUAGAACGUAAGCUAAAUAGCAAUACAAGCAUAAAUAAUCAGAGAAAAUAACCAUAUGCAACCAAUAUUAUUAUGGGAUGUACUUAAAUAGUGUGACAACGUGGAGAAACAAUUAUUGUGGGAUGUCACAAGGCCUAAUAUGUAUACAUAUAAUGCUAUAGAACCCCUGAUCUAUAAGAAAGAAUAAAAAAAAUAAAAAAAAGGCAAAAUAAAAUGAUAACUUUGAAAGUACAUAUACUAAAGACUCAAAAGUACUACUUGCACAAAAAUAAAAUGAUAACUUUGAAAGUACAUAUACUAAAGAUUGUAGAAAUGGCACCUCAGUGUGCUCAAUAAUGUGAUCGUUUUCAUCCCGUAACCUACAGAACAUGCAACGGAAGUCCACUGGUCAUAUAUAUAAACAUGGUAAAGAAUAUGAUGUUUGUCUAUGAAGGCAACCACCCACCACCCUUCCCCCCCUUCUAAAUGAAUUUUUUUUUCCUCAGCAUGUUAGUUAACGAAACCAAAUUUAAAUAGAUAAAUAAAUUAAGGCUACUGUAGCUGCUUCUAGAAACACCACUAUCACUCACCACAAUAAGAUUAGGGUUAAAUUUAAGUGCCAUAAUAUCAAAAUUGAAGAGGUUUUUUCUUGCGUAUAUUGAACAUCACAAAUCUACCAAAUAUGAUGAAGGUCUUGAACCUUCCUUCACACUGAGUCCUCAUGUACUAAGUGUCCAACUAAGCAUUCAAAACUCUGAAGUGACCAAACAGAUAUUUUUUUAAUAAGUCUCUCUAUACAGAGUAAGUACAUUUCUAGUGAUCUUUUUGACAUCUAAGCCCCGUAAAACAAAUAUAAUGUCCUUUACUUGGUAACAUAAACAUAAGAAUCUACCUCAGAAUGAUAAUUUCUAAAACAACAUUUAAUGUAAAUCGGCAUCAAUAACGACUAGGACUAGCAAGAAGGUGUGUAAGCAAACUCAGACUUUUGAGGAGUAAAAGAAGUGAAGCAAACUCAUUUCACAUGGCAACCAAAGUAAACAUGGUUAAGCAGUCAUCGCCUUUAUAUUCUGUCUUCUUUUGCACCCAAGUUUUUGGUCCCAUAUUUUCACCCGACAAAUGGACACAAUCUACGAUCCUAACUGCAGCUUCCAAGUAACUCUUAAAAUGUAUAAUCCCAAAGGUAAAAUCCCUAUAUUGGCAUGAGACAAUAAACUAUAAGAACCCUUUAACUUGUACCAAUCAAAAGCUCAAUAAAAAUUAAAAACCAGUGAAGGAAACAACAAAAGGCUAAAAGAUUGUUUGCCUCUCACAUAUCUUCACAACUUUUGCAUCUGCAUCUCGCUCACAUUUGCGGGUCUUAACAUAGUACUCUUCCGGUUUAAAGGCAACAUCCUAUACAAAUGUUACAAGUACCAAUUAAAACAUAUAUGGAAAUCGAAAAGUACCAAGUAAGAAGUUAACAAGAAAGUUUCAGUUACCCUACUCGUAUGUACGUAAGCUCAUACAAUGCAUAAGCCGCGGACUUGUUGACGGUCAGAACAGGGGGAAUUCGAAAAUUUUGCAUCUUUUGGCUUGAAUUCUCUUCCACCUCUACGAUUUCGGCAACAAUUGAUGCCUCUCCGCCGCUCUGUAAUUUCAUCAAACAUCUCACAAUCAUUACCUGCAUUUAAUUUCAAGCAGUGAAAUUAGGGAUGGUGAGUUUGUCGUUUACCGUGCCACUAGGAAUGGCCAUGUUGAGGACGAUCUUCUUGGUGCAAUUCAAGUUUCCGGAAUCGGAAGUCUUCUCGCACUUCUCGAGCUUCGAUUUGGAAAGAAUCUGAACUGCGACGACGUCGUGUGGAGUGAGAAACCCGAUGAAGCACAGAAGGAAGAGGAGGGUCUUGUGCCCUAAUUUUGGCGUUUGGGUUCUCAUUUUCUUUUGCGAUUUCUGUGACUGAAAUCUGCCACCAACGGUUUGGUUUUGUAGAAGAGCAGUUGUUGGAGGCGCGGGUAGACGUUUGGUUUUGAAAAACUGCCACCAACGGUUUCCUUAUUCAAAUGACGGUUGGUUAUUCCAACGACGUCGUUUCUGUUGAUGAAGUCACGUGUGUGUAUAAUGCCCCUUCACGUGGGGCAGGGACACAUGGGAAAACCUGAUGAGAAAUUGAGUGUUGACUUUUUUUUGGGUUACAAAAAAGCACAUGCGGAGGAUUUAACUUGGAACCUCAUUAAGGAGUCCAAUCGUAUUCGCCCAACAUAUGUAAUGUAGCCCGUUCAAUUUUUCACGAGACCAAACCCACUUAGGUUGAGUGUUGACUUUGAAAUGUGUUAACAUGUGUAUGUGUGACAUUUACAUGCUGUACAUCAUAAUGCACCAUAUUGAGUCGGCAUGUAGUUACGAACACUCAUAAGUGAAUACAUAUUAAUUUCCACAAUCACAAUACUUUAUCAGGAUAUUAAAAUUUCCUUUUUAAUAUCAAAUACUAAUGCGUGCUAAAAUCGAAUGAACUCACUCUCUCAAGUCAUGGACAAGAUGCAUCCAACGGUUGGGCUUAAAUCAAGCCAUGAAACCAUUCGUUUGCUAGUGAUGGUGAUGGUGAGGAUAGAGAUGGACUACGUUGCAAAAACAAUUAAAUAAAGUCGUGAAUUAAGCAGCCAACCGCUCCCCGCUUCCCAAUUUGCUUUAAAGUUAAACUAGUGGCCACAAGCAAUACACAUCUCCGCACCUGAUUGCUCCCUCCGUUCGGUGGGGACACGUGGCGGGUCCCUGCUUCGUCCAGCGAUUCGUACACACAGAGAAUUAAAAUAAUAAUAUAAAAUAGAAAAUAUUACAACAGAGAGAGAGAGAGAGAGAGAGAGAGAGAACCAUUUCGAGAGCAGCUCUUCGUAAAGAAGAAAGCCAAAAGCUAUAUAGCAGCUACAGCUAUGCGCAUUGCGCACACCCCUUUCUUCUCCACUGCCGCGAGACCUAAGAGACGACGGCCAUGGCGGCCCACGACUCACCGGAGAGUCUGUACCGAGUUCUCUUCGAUCGGUGCCAGAGUCUGGAGGCGAGCUACGCCAGGCUCAGAGCAGAGCUUCAUGAGCUUCGGCACCACGGGAGGAAGAAGGAGGAGAAGCGAGAAGAAGACGAUGCGGUGCUGACGUCAGACUAUUCUGGUUCGAGCUUCCAUCUGCCCGGGUUCUUCCUCUCUGGCAGUCCGUACAAGGGCGUAUUGGACUCCAUGGGCCACGCCGUUCUUGUGUGCACAGCUUUCUCUGGAGAGAUCAAUUACUGGUACGUAAUUGCAAAACUGCGUCGUUUGAUUCGUUUUGUUGGUUUCUGAAGUUGUAUGUAUUUUGACUGUGUCAUUGUGAUAGGGUGGUGGUACUGUAUAUAUGAUAUUGAUGAAACAGUUGAUGAAUUUAUGAACUUCAGCAUUGCGCGAAUGUGUUUUGUUGACUCUUAAAAAUUUUCGAGGAUUUUUGGUAAAGAAUAGCUAGAUUCCUCCAAAAUUUGUGCGUGUUUAGCGUUUACCUCAACAAAUGUUGACAUGCUUUCAAUAUUACGUCACAUAUGAUCCGUUUGAGCUCAAGAAUUUGAGUUUAUGACAUAUGAAUGUAGGAAGAAGUGUUUUAUAUUGUUAGUUUUCUGUAAAUUUUUGUUGUCAUACUGGUUAUGCAUUAUUUAUAUCAAUGAACAUUUAUAUUGACUGAAUUGUGGUUAUGUUUGGUAUCCUAGAACUCAUGCAUGUUGGAUUGACCUCUGAAAUCCUACUAAAGACGCCGUCGUUGAUAGCUUGCAUGUGUUAGCUCAUGUGAAGUUAAAUUGCUUCAAAAAAUUGUGCCUUGUUUAUUGUUUAUCCCAGAAAAGAUUGACAUGUUUCGGCACUAUAUCAUAUAUUAUCAGUUUGAGCUCAAUAAUUUGAGUUUAAUACAGGAAUCGUUCUGCUGAGAAUCUCUAUGGAUGGAAGGACUAUGAAGUCCUUGGGCAAAGGGUUGCUGAGCUCCUCAUUGCUGAAGAUUACCAUGCACUUCUAAAGAGAAUCAUGGAAAGGUUGAGACUUGGGCUAACAUGGUCAGGUCAGUUCCCUUUUAAGAAGAGGUCUGGAGAAAUAUUUAUGGCGAUGGUGACCAAAAGCCCUUUAUAUGAAGAUGGUGAGCUUGUCGGUAUUAUCACAGUUUCAACUGAUGCGGCAUUGUGUAAUAGAAUAGAAUCAGAUCUGAGUGCAUUCAAGGAUCGUGCCAAUGCCAAACAUAGAGGAUGGCAGUUAAAGUACCCGCGACCACCAGUUGUACCAGUGCCACAGAUUGCAUCAUCUGUUUCUAAUCUGGUGCUUAUGCUACACAACCACAAUUCUUGUGAUUUCAUUCAGAUAGCUGAAAUUGUGUUUUACUCAUUAUACUGGUGAACCAAUCAGGCCUCAAAACUUCUAUCAAGAAAUGGAGAUGAUGUGUGCAAUUCAAGUGUGAUGGACGAGGUCAGGGAGGACUCUACAACAGCCACUGAAGAUGCUAACUUAGAGAAACCUGGUUCGCUGGUGAGUCUCCGUCAUAUUAAAUCAUGAUGUCUAUGUUUUUUUUUCUUCCUCUUCAUUACUCUUUAGAGUGUGUCUAAAUUAUUUGGUUGAGAUGGGUGCAGACAGUAAAGUUCUUGGCAAAGCUGCAAAUUAUAGGAACCAACAAAGAAGGGAAACAAGAGGAUCCUAAUUCCCCGAGAAAGUCAAAAGCAUCAAGUUCAUGCCACUUCUUUGUUGAUACAGACGGUAAGGAAGAAAGACCCAACAAAAUAAAUUCUUCUCUCGAAGAUAAGAGAACUCAUUCAAAUGCAUUUUGGCAAAAAAAUCCAAUUCCUUCAGGCAAGAAUUCUGUUUUAGCCUCUUCAAGGGAGUGCAACGAAUGUUUUAGGUUAUCCAGACCAGGUUAUCCGAAACCUGAAGAACACAACUUGAAUGCUUUAGAGAUACAAGAUGCAGUGCAUGAACAAAAUGGUAAACAAUUACCAAGUUCUGUGGAGAGCAUUGGCAACCAUGAUAGUUGUUCAAGCAAAGGGGUUAAUGACUCUAAUCCCAGGGAGGAUUGUGAGAUUCGCUGGGAUGACUUGCAUUUGGGAGAGGCAAUUGGACACGGUAAAGGGGGCUAUUUGUGCUUUAAAUCUAGUACCUAUUCAAAAUUAAAAAACCUUGAAUGCUUUGGGGGUUGGUAGAACCCACUAUCACUCUUGCAGCUUUGUUAGGACGUUCAAUAUAUAACUCUGCAGGAGAUUUGUUAGUUAUUCCAUGUUUGACAGUCUGUUAAUAUAAAUGAAAUUAGGUGAUGUUACCAAAGCUAUUUUUCGGAACUUUUUCUUUUCGGCCCUAAUAGCUAUCCUUACUUUAUGUGGUGGAAUUUCUUAAAAUGUGAAAUGAGUUUGGUGGUCUUUGGUUUCUAAACGUACAUGUUUGUUUGUUCUUGCCUCCCAGGUUCAUGUGCCAUUGUUUAUCGUGGAAUCUGGAAUGGAUCGGUACAUGUCUAAAUUUAAAGAGUUCCUUAAUAUCUUACUGAAACCAAAGUUAAAUCGAUAAUUUGAAAUUUUGACCCAAUAUUUUCUAUUCUUUUUUGUGUUUUUAGGAUGUUGCCAUUAAGAUGUACUUCAAAAAUGAAUACAGUGAGGGGAUUUUACAUGACUACAAAAAGGAGGUGAUAUAAAUUCUCAAUUGACUUUUAUUGUUUGUAAUUGUUGUUUGAGAAAGAAAGCAGCUGAUCCCAGGAUCUCUUUUGAAUUCUUUAGAUUGAUAUAAUGAAAAGAUUGCGGCAUCCUAAUGUUUUGUUGUUUAUGGGAGCAAUAUGUUCACAAGAACGGCUUGCCAUUGUCUCAGAGUACUUACCUAGGUAAUUGGAAGUAUACUACUUUUCAAUGAUUAGUCAACAAAUCAUAUUAAGAGUUGACGCAUUAGGUUACUAUUUCAUGUUAUGUUAAUUUUGAAUUAUACCAUGUUUAUGUCAGUUCGUAUUAUGCCUUUUUAUUUUGGGUCUGUUGGUACCGAUCUUAUGAAGGCUUAAUAAAUGCAAACCAUUUAAUACCGUUCUCCUCAUGAUAUGGCAAUUAUAGGCUAAUAUUACAUUGAUUCUGUUUGUGUGGUUAGGGGAAGUCUCUUUAAACAACUUCACAAGAACAAUCAGACAUUAGACAUCAGACGACGGCUAAUGAUGGCCCUUGAUGUUGUACGUCCCUCUCUCCUUCUCUCUCUGUGUAUUUGUGUCUGCGCACGGUUGCAUGUCUUCAUGUCUUCAUUACAACAAAAAUUAUGCUGUCACAGCAUUAGAUGCACAAAAUGUGCGCAAAUCCAACUUUGGCUAUUUACAGCAGGGUGUGACACUAUAUGCAAUUUGUGUAUGACUUUUGCAAAUUGCAUACAAAGUCAUGCGAGGAUCAGUUCUUUUAUUCUUAUUUUUACAUAAGAGUGUUUUUAAGCCUUUCAUCUGUCAAUAAGAUAACAAAUCUACUCUUAUAAUGCAGGCUAGAGGCAUGAAUUACUUGCAUCAUAGGAAUCCACCUAUAGUUCACAGAGACUUAAAAUCGUCUAACCUGCUGGUUGAUAAGAAUUGGACUGUGAAGGUAAUGUGAACUGGCCACUAGUUAUUCAAGCAGAAUAAGUAUAUACCCGUCACUCAGACAAGCGCUUUUUCUGUCAGGUUGGUGACUUUGGCUUGUCGAAGUUGAAGAAUGCAACCUUCUUGACAGCAAAAUCUGGAAGAGGAACGGUCAGGAUCUCUUUCUGAGGUCUUUUAGUUACGAACUGUGCUCACAGAUAGGCUAUAGAAGAUAUUGAAAAGUGAUUUAAGUGAUAAGCUUCGCUGUUGUAAUUUUUCUGAUUCAUGUGACUACCUUUAUUAAAUAAUCUUACUUCGACGUCUUUAUUUUUCUAAAUGCAGCCUCAGUGGAUGGCCCCUGAAGUCCUUCGAAAUGAACCUUCAAAUGAGAAGUAAUUUCUAAAAACUGACCUUUAAAAGUCAAUUAAAUAAACAGUGGCUAAACUUUCUGGGAAACUAUGUGUCUGCUGUAUACCUGUCGUUGCUCCCUUUUUUGUGCAAAUGUUUUUUUGCCAAUGCAUUGAGCUGCCUUCUCUUUAAACAGGUCUGAUGUGUUUGGCUUUGGUGUCAUCCUGUGGGAACUAAUGACCGAAUCGAUUCCAUGGAAUAACCUCAAUUCUUUACAGGUUCUCUCUCUUUUUCUGAGUGAGCACAUGUGCACAUAUAACCUUGAUGCUCUGUGGUUCUUAAAUCUCAUUGAAAAUUGUUUAUUUCUUUUGGAAGGUUGUUGGAGUUGUAGGGUUUAUGGAUAGAAGAUUAGACAUACCAGAAGGCCUCGACCCCCAAGUCGUGUUGGUCAUCGAAGACUGUUGGCGAAGGUACACUCAGCUAGCUCGUUUUUCUUUACAAAAACUUGGAACUUGCAAAUUGAACUAAAAUCAUUCUUGUCAAUAACAAGCAGUGACCCAGAACAGCGGCCAUCAUUUGAAGACAUAAUUCAGAGAAUGAAGGGUCUGGUCCACAAAGUUGCAGCACCAUCGGUAAGAAGGAGCUCAGAAGCUUAGCUAUUUAAUAUGGUUUAGGUUAGACAUGCACCUUUUUGCCAAUCGUUAAUAAACAGUUCAGAAUGUGCUAAUUUUUUUUGGACAAAAGAAUGUGCUAAUUUAGAUUAACUGCGUGAUGUAUAUAUAUCUAUAUAUAUAUAUAUAUAUAUAUAUCUAUAUAUAUAUAAAGAUUUUUUCUUUUUCUUUUCUACAAUUGUGUUUAUUUGUUUUACAAGUGGAACCUGAGGGAAAUAAAAAGGUGUCAGACCCCCAAUGUUGGGUAGUGUUGAAUUUUACAAUCUUUCUGUAGAAGAGGGAACUAAUGUCUUUUGGGAAGCCAAGUGUAUGGGAGCUAAGUUUGGUACCAGCUAUCUAUCUUCUAUUCGGCGCGCCACACAUGUAAUACCAGCACAAUCUAGGCACUUGUGUGGUAUUAGAAUACUGUCAUGUGAUGUUAUUAAUCGUAGUAUUUCAACAUUCCUUGCAAUGGUAUACGGAUUGGAUUGUAUCACUUGUGGCCUCCUUCCGGGCAAAUACACUAGUGAUCUUCCUGUUAUGUUCUCCAAAUUUUGAUCCAUUUUUAUAUUAAGUCAACAACAAUAGAUAAGUUGUUUAUACAAGGAGACGUAAUGUUUAAGCAUUGUAUAUUAUUGCAUGAUUCGCAUCUUGAUUGGGAUAUUUCAUUUCGUAAUUUAUACGAGAGACGUAAUGGUUUCUCUUGACCCUACCCUAUCUUCUGAUCCUGAGGAGAAUUUCAUAAUUGGCAUGUUUCAUGCACGAAACAUUUAUUUUCAUCCUCUGCCAAAAAAUAAAACAUUUUUCAUCUGAAAGACAUUGCAUUAUCAUGAAAAUUAUUUAUGAAAAUCAUCAAUUUUAGCUUGAGUUCAUGGCCUGAGUCCAAUAUGGAAUCAUCAAUUUUAGUUUGAGUUCAUAGCCUGAGUCCAUAUGGGCUCGGAUAAACAGGCAGAUAUGGACUCAUACCAAAUUUGACUUAUAUAUUGUAUUUUUUUGUAAUUUUUUUUAUUACUUCAUUUAAAUCUUUUUUUAUAAUUAUGUAUAUACUAAUAUUAUUUAUUAUUUAUUAUUUUAAAAAAAGUCAAUAACUUUAUUUAAAGUAUAUUUAAAUAAAAAAUGAUUAAAUUAUUAUUUGGGUUUUAAAAAUUAAAAUUUGAAAAAUAAAAUUAUUAUUUUAUAUAAAAAUAAAACAUUAAAUUUUAAUAUAUAUUUUUAGAGAAAAGAAAUACAUUUGAAUUUAAGAUAUAAAUGUAAUAAUAUUAUGAAUUUUUUUCUUUAAAACAAAGUAUAAUUGAAUAAAUGGACUUUAAACGAGUCAGUUCGUUGGAUUUCAAGCUGGCAUGGCCUGCUACGGGUCACGAGUUAGCCCGACUCAUUGAACUUAAUUAACUCAUCUUAAUAUGGUUUAAAAAUACGAACCGUAUCAUAUUAAAUCUUACUUAAACGGGCUAUAUUCGUGCCGUAUUCGUGCCGGCCCAAUCCAUUUGACACCUCACCCAAUCCAACUGCUCAAUAUAAAACUUAAAACAGAAUUCUCAACCAUACGAACCAAGUGCUCCAUUAGAUUUUUAAAAAAAAACAUUGACAACCAAGGUGGUUGGUGUGAGUGGUUCGGCAUUCUCAUUCCUUAAGAGAAGGUCAAGGGUUUAACCCCUGCUCUCGUAUGGAGUCACCACUUUGGCCAUCACUUUAUCCCUCAGGACUGAUCCGAUGUGAGCAGAGAUUAGUCUAGAUUGUGGUUAAGGCUUAAAGGUGCCACCCACAAUUAGGGCCCAUUCAGGACCACCUCGUGGUUCAGACCGAAAAACAAAAAAAAAACAAAAAAACAUUGACGGAGCAGCGAAAUUUGAAUUUGACUCGUCGUCAAACUUCGCACACUUUUGUACAGUGUAAUCCAAUCCACAUUGGUUGCCUCCAAACCAUGGUUUUCCUGACAUCUGGUGCACGUGGACAUAGUUGACCAAGUUUCAGGUUUGAUCCGGAUGCCUGUCGGCAGGCAGCUGGGUGUGAAGGGUAGAAAACUCGGUGAUUUGAGCAUUUUGUUGUUUCUCCACCGUCCAUCCAAACCACCCACUCUUUUUUUAUUUUCUUUUUGUCCAUAUUUAAUCAUUGCCGUAGUGUUUAGGGUAAGCUAGACCUAGUUUGCUAGUGAAUUUGUGAAAUGACAAUGCAUUAGGGAUAUGAUUGGACGUCAUAUAAUUCUAGGGUGCCCUAUAAAUCUAGGGUACAUACAACGUACAUACAUGUGAUCCUCCCCCCUUUCUUCAUCAUUUUCCUUUGCUUCUAUAAAUCUAUUUCUGUCUCUUUUCUGUCUCUCUGUGCCCAUAGAAGAUCUCUGAUUUCUGAUUUUUCUGGUUCAUAGAUAUGAUAUGAUCAUGCAGUCAUUUUUCCACAACUUUUCCAGUGAUGCCCUUGUGAUUAAAAUUCACUGGGUCCCCAGGUAAAGCCAUUGGUCCGAUGGGGAGGUAUCAUUAUCACCAAGAUUUUGCCCUCCCUCUGAUCUGAUCAAUCAAUGUGGUGGCCCACAUGUUAUUGUCUUAUAAAAGGUGGGUCCAAUGGCAUCUAAGCCAUUGGAAAGGCACAAAGAUUAUUUACCUAAGUUGGUGUGGGUUAAUAGAGCAGUGUCUUAUAGUUGUAGGGCAAUCUGUGUAUAUAUUCUAGUACGUGUUUUGAUCCACUGGUUUUUCUUGCAGACACAUAUGGAGACAAACAAUUCCACUUUCUCUUUUUGUGUUUUGUUUUGUUUUGUUUUCUAUUUUUCUGUGUUAUUUUGUUGUUGUUGUUCAUAUAAGAUGGUAUCUAAUCAAUUAUCAAUCUAAUCUCACUUGACUUAGAUUCGACGUACAACUAAUACAUGCCAAAAAGCCAUGGCCUCCCAUGCAUUAGUCAUAAACUUGUCACGGACGUUUUCGGCCGUGUCUCUCUAUCAAUCAAUUACUCUUUAGAAUCUAUCUUUUUAUCACUCAUGAUAUUUGGGAUUUAGGAAUUUAGGAAUUUUUUAAAUAACUUUAGUUGAGAUGAUGUGGGAGAGAAAGAAAAAGUACUGGAUUCAAAGGUCGAUUUUAAUCCAAAAUUAAUAUAUAAAUUGAUGGUACAUUUACUAGUCCGAUUAUAGAUUAUGAAGAAUUGAAUUGCGAAUGAAUUGGAUUGAAGAGGAGUUGAAUUGAGGAGAAUUAGAUUCCGGAUUCCUAUUGAAGUUGUUUACUAAACUAUAUAGAUUGAGGAAAAUUAGAUUCCGAAUUUUUAUUAAAGUUGUUUACUAAACCAUAUAGAGUUGGAGUUGGAGUGAUACUAAUUACUAAAAUGUUCUCGUUGUUGGGAUAAAGUAUAUGAUAAAUUUUGAAUUUUUAAAAUUGUGUGAGAAUAUAAUUGGUAAAAAUAAAUAAAUUCCUAAUAUGUUAAAUCUCUAGGAAUUAGAAUACUACAUCACACCUAAGAAUGGAAUUCCUCCAAAAUCAAGAAUUCAACUCCUAAUUUUGUGUGAGCUCCACUUACUUUUUAAUUUCUUGAUGUGAAGUAAGCACAUGAAUCCUUUAUAGUUGAAAUUCAAUUUCAAUUUCAAAUUCCAAUUCUUAAUUAGUAAACACACAAUAAGUUAAAUGUGCUAUACCAAAACACCAAAAUCUUGUGUCAUCCAAAUACUCUCAUUUGCUUAAGUCCCUCUUAUAGUCUAAACUCGUGCCAUUUGUUACCUACCUCUAAAUGUGUUUAAUGCUUAAUGAAAAUUGAGGUAAUGUGCUUAAUGAUGAUGCAUGUCAUUUAGAGAAAUUAUUGAGUGUGACCGUCAUAUCGUCAUAUGAUGUUAUCAAUCAACGUAUUAUAAUAUUAUUAGUAAGUUAUAUAGUUGAGAUGUCAUAUACUUUUUUUGUUGUUGAGAAAUUUUAGGAUUGCAUUCAUAAUUCAACCCAAAAAAAAAAAAGUCAAUAGUCACAAAGGACCAUUACAAUAAAAAAAAAAAAAUCGGUCUAACAUCAAAAUUAAGACAAUCUGGUACACAUCUACUAACGAUCACACAAAUUGAAGAAACUUUGACAUAGACAUUCCAACUGAUAUUGCAAAUUCAGAAUAAUCAAAAAGAUAUAUAAUUGUGGAUCCAAAAGAAUCAUGAGUUAGUUAGAACAAGGAAGAUAAAUGUAGAACAAAUUCAUUUUUAUCUGGUGGUAGUUGGUAGUAGUUACCACUAAGUUGAAGUAAGUCACAAAUUUGACUUAGGUAGAUAGGAAUCUAAUGCCGAUUAAUUUAUCAUAACAAAGACAGGAAACAUAUUCUUUUCUUUUUUUCCUAUUGUAAAAAAGAAAACAAAAAUAAAUUAGAAAAUCAACUGAAAAUGAGGAUAAUAUGUGCACAAUUACCAUAGUGCUACGAAUAAGAAAAGUUUUUUUUUUUUUUUCUUCAGUAUAACGUAGAAUUAGCUUUAACAUUAACUCGUGACAAGAAGUUGUCAAGAACUUCUCAUAUUUUCUCACUCUUGUCCUUGUGAAGCAAGAUCCUCUUCUUUAUUUUUUCUUCCCUAGAAUUUUCUUUACUAUUUUAAACACAUAAUUAGACAAAUCUAGAUCAUUUCUUUGUCUUGGCAAUCCAUAGUUUUAUGCAUAUGUAUAGGUUCUAGUUUGUAAGAACAAUUCAAUACAUCACAACUAAAAAUAGGAUGUUCAUCACGCGACUGCAUGUGCAUGUGACAAAAGUUAUGAACAAGAGAAAACACAAAGCUAGAUGAUUAGUCUUUUUAUAUCUUUUAUUUAUCUUGUUCUUUUUAAAAUAAACACUAAAAACCAAAACGGCAUCAGUGAUCCCAAUUUAUUCCAAUCUUUUUGUUCUUAUUCCAAUUUGUAAUUUCCAAAAAACUAGAAAAAUCCAACAACAAAAAAGAGAGCAAACGACGACCAAUGUAAUGAACCAAACGCGCCAUGCAGAGCAUGGAGUUUCACUUCCCUACUAGCAUGUGUUUAAUCAACUCCCCAUCAAUGUCCCCUCCUUUGACAAUCUCCGCCAUAUAAAUAAAUUCCCUCUUUUUCUUUCUUUCUUUGCUCCCAAGUCCCAACCUUUUAUCUCUCACUCUCUCCCUCUCUCUCUCUCUCUCUCUCUCUCUCUCUCUCUUCUGCAACUGCAAAUGCAACUCCAUAACCAAACCCACUUCCUCAAACCACUCCCAUCACAUCACCCUUAGCCUCUGAGACACUUCUCCGAACAACCCAAAAAAUGGGCAAAGCCUCCAAAUGGUUCCGCUCCAUCCUGGGCCUCAAAAAGCCCGACCCGACCCACCAAACCUCCACCUCCUCCCCAAAACCACCCACCAAAGACAAACGCCGCUGGAGCUUCGUCAAGUCCUACAGAGAAAAAAACCACCACCGCCAUCAAAACGACACCCCGCCGCUUCCUUCCGACUCCUCAAACGACGCCGUGGUCGAUCCCAACAAACACGCCAUCGCAGUCGCAGCCGCGACCGCCGCCGUGGCCGAAGCCGCAGUCGCCGCCGCGCAAGCUGCCGCCGCCGUGGUCCGCCUGACGAGCAGCGGACGGUGCCCCAGCAACCCCGCGGCGCACGUUAGCACGGCCCUAAUUGGGGUCCGCGAAGAAGAAUGGGCCGCUCUGAAGAUUCAAGCUGCUUUCCGAGGCUGUUUGGUUCGUAUCACCGCUGAAUUAUUAUUAUUAUUAAUUUUUUUUUUGUACAAGUUUUCUUAAUUGACCGUUAAUUUCUGAUUAAGUUACUGGAUUAGCAUUGGGUCGGGAAGCUGACACGUGUCCCUUCUUUCCCGUUAGGCUUCGUGCUUAGAAACUAGUGUUCCUUCUUCCAUUCUACCACUACACAGUGAAAACUGCUGCACGUUCUGUAACUGAAGGUCCCAUACGGCGUCGUUUUAGUCUUUGUAGAAUUCAUCUCAUACCCAGUUGGGCUACUUUGAGAGCUGUACAUUCCAUGUCGUUUUCUUUAAAACGGCAUUACGUGCAGCUUCUUUUGCACUGCCGUUUCUGGGUCAUCUCUCUGUCAAACACUGAAAGAGACCCGUCAACAUUUUUCGAGGAUGUGAAAUAGAUAAACCCGCUAAAAUACACAGGGAUGCGUACUAUACCACCUUCUUCCAAGAAAAACCCGUGUGGACCACUGGACCUCUCAAGGGUUUUUCUUACAGCACAUGGUCAUUUAAUUUUCAGAGGCCUUCCAUUUUGGUUGUGUUGCCGUUUUCACAGAAUGGGUGGGGCAGAAACUUUUCUCUUUGCUUUUCUAGAGUAAGUUGGUUUGGUUUGUCCAAUGACAUUUUUUUAAAUGUCAAAUUGUCAAUGUCUUGGUAUUCUUACUGUGGUUUUGGCAUUCUUUAAUUUCCUCACCUUACCUCUCACCUAACACUUGUUUAAUUGGAAGGUAAGGGACUUAAUUUCAAUUGGGUUUCUUAGUUCUUUUGCCCUUUUUGUUAGGGUUCUUUAAUUCCAACAGUGUUUGAUGUUUCCUCAUAGUAGAAACCAAAAGGCGAAGACUUGACUAAUUUAAUACGAUGGAGUCAUGUGGGGCUUUCUAAAAGAAACCAAGUUGUUUAAUUAACAGUCCCUUUGUAAUUGAUGCAUUUUAGAGGAGUGGAUGUAGAUGGCCAAAAGUUUCAACUCCAUGCGUGUUGACGUUUCUGACUGUUGGGUCCUGCACACUUAAAGUUUUGGUGGGUUCCUUAAAAAGAAUUUUCUAAUUGACUUUCUUAGGAAGAGAGGAGGGGGUGUGUAGGUUGGGUGCUUUAAUGCUGAAUUAAAAUGUAGACAGCACAGUACAGUCAAACAAUGGGAUGCCUUUUUGCAGGGGCUGGUAGUGAAACGUUCCUGUUUUCUUAUUUUUCAUGUCAGAGUUAUAGAUUCAUUUGGUACUGGCCUAAAAAUAAUUUCAUUUAGGCUCUUGUUCCAUUCGAAUUUCUGUGUAGGUCCGCGCACCUGCUCCUCAGCGCCAUAAUUUAAAAUGUCAUUUAAGUUUAGGCUAUUCAAUCAUUUGGUUGGUACUGAUAUGGUGUAUCCUGGUUUUGUUGUAGUUGACAUUUUGUGUUAUUACUUGGGUGGAGUUUUAGUAUUAUCUCGAAUGCGUUUUAAUUAGUUUUUCAUAAGUUAAGUUACUUUGUCAAAUGGAUAUUUUGAAGGCAAGGAGAGCAUUGCGAGCAUUAAAGGGAUUGGUGAGACUUCAGGCACUGGUAAGAGGUCAUAUUGCGAGGAAGAACAAUGCUGCGCGAUUGCAGCGGCUGCAAGCAAUCUUGCGUGCUCAGGCGAGAGCUCGAACAGGGCGGUCCCAAAUUUCUGAGCUCUCACAUUCAAGGACCAAGUCUUCUCAAUUUCACCAACCUGUAAGGAAAAUUUUCCUUUCCCUCCAAUAUGAGUUUUUUUCAAAUAGAUUUGAACUUCGAGUUGUGGGGACCAUUAUUUUUCAGAACAACUUAGUAGGCUUUUCUAUUCAUGCAUGUACUUUUCAGUACAGACACAUAUAAUGUUGUGAAGGAGGGUUGUUUGGUAGAAAAUUUAAAGAGCUCCAUGAUGCAUUGAUGUGUAAUUAUAUAUUAUAAGAAACUUCCAAACUUUUUUAGGUUCAUAUGGACAGUGGACGCUACUUUUGCUGUCAAAUAAAUGAGAAUGGCAGGUUGACAACUAGGAUAAUAGAUAUAUAACAGUUAAUGUCCAUAUCAAACUUGUAGACAGAUAACAUGUUAGAGGGGAAACGUUGAUGGUUAAAAAGCUUACUACUACACAGAUGUUGAGCCUUUUCUCAUUCACAAGUUUUGCCUCCUCAUCAGAAAAAUAAAGUUAGUUAUUGAUAUGAUUAACUGAGUUGUGAUUGACUAUCUGCUAAUUAGCCAUUAAUUAGCCAUUAUCAUCUGAGUUCUAAUUGACCAUCUGUAAUUGAUUUGUGUGUUUUAUGAAUCAGUGAUGACCUAAAUAUAUCAUCUGCAUUCACCAAAUGUUUGUUUACUCUUUAAACAAGAAAAAUUUCUUCUACAUGCAGGGUCCAGCAACCCCUGAAAAAUUUGAACAUCCCAUCCGAUCCAGGAGUACAAAACUCGAGCAAUUUUCAACACUCAGGGUAUGCUCAGAUCUUGUAUUUUAUCUGCAUUGUCAUGCUUUCUACUUAUAUGCAAUCCUCAUGCCUACUACUUCCUGCAGCGGAAUAUCUCCAGAUCAUAUGGCACUACAGAUGAUGAAAAGAAUGACAGGGUCCUUGAAAUCGAUACUGGGAAACCAUACAUCGCAACUAAACGGAGAAACCUUUUCCACUCUACUCAUCUUGCUCUGGCUUCAGACCAAUACAGCCAUAGCUUUACCACUUCAAAAGACUCUACAAGCCAUCAAACACUUCCAAGUCCAUCUUCUUGCGAGGUCCAAUCUUUAACUCCAUUGAAAUUCUCUCGAGAGGUUGAGGAAGACUCUUUCUGCACUGCCAACAGUAGUCCUCAGUUUUAUUCCACUUCAUCAAGGGGCGGUAAUUCAAAGAGAAGUCCCUUCACUCCCACAAGGAGCGAUGGCUCGAAAAGUUACCUAAGUGGCUACUCAGAUUACCCGAGCUACAUGGCAUGCACGGAAUCUUCAAAGGCGAAGUUAAGGUCUCUUAGUGCUCCAAAGCAGAGGCCUCAGUAUGAAAGAUCUGGCUCUGCAAAGAGGUACUCCAUUCAUGGCUUUGGCGAAUCGAAAUCAAGUGCUCAAAGGGCGUCCGCCUUGCACGCAAACUUUGCAAGCAAAGCCUACCCGGGAUCUGGUCGGUUGGACAAGCUUGGGAUGCCUGUGGGUUACAGAUACUAAUGGGGUGCCCUUUUGGGGUUUCAACCCCCUCCACUGUAAUUUUGAAUCUAAUCUGGCUAACUGAUGUACUAAACUACUUCAUUGUCCCUGUAAUGUUAAGAAUUCUAUUAGCGUAGGGGCGUACAUUUGUGGGUCUGAAUCAAAGGCUGCUUCCGGAAAAUGCCAUUACUUUCUGUGUCAGUUGUAAAAUUAAGUUGGCAGAAGGUGAAGUAAGUGUAUUGCAUGAAACUUUUAAGAAUGAAAAAUAUAUAGAAAUAUUAAGUGGUAUGGCAUUUGACCUUUGUGCUCUCAUUGAGGAAAAACUCUGGUUAUUGUUAAAGUCAUUGAAUCUGUUGACUUUUCAUUCAUUUUUCCCCCUUCGGAAUAUCACAUAGAUAAAGAAAUCUGGCCAUACAAGAGUGAGAGAGGAAAAUUAAAAAAGAGGAAAGAGAAAUUGGCUAAAGAACAUCACCUACGAACAUCACCUAUAGAAUUAACAAAACAUGAAACGUCAUUUACAAGUAUGUCUGAACGAACGCGUACGCAUGCAAAUGUGUAUCUAAAAUAAUAGUAAGGCACUUGUCUGUGUUCAAUGGAUUUCUGUUCUUUUUUCUAUAUACAAAUGCGAAGUCUUUCAUCUCCAAGGAAGAAAACUUCAAUGUGCAAAAUUCCAGCCAGCUGUACUGCCUGCAUGUCAACUUUAGAAUUAGGGACUGGAAAAUGGGUUGAAUUGAAUCAACCUUGCAUUGCACUAGGACCAAAUGAUUUUGGGUCUGCAGAUGGGUCAUUAGAUCAUAUGCCAAUUGGGCCACUUUUCAAAGCUUCUGCACACACAUAUUUUUUAAUUACACAAGCGAUAUUGAAAGAUAAGUGAAUCGAACCUAAGACCUCAAGUGCAGGGUACAUGUGGGCAUGAUAAGUUACAGUUAAACUGGAAACAAACAUAAUAAGAGUAACACAUGUGAUUUAGACCAGUUGACGAAAUCGAAGUCUGUCCCUUUACAUUGAGUUCAACUUCACAUAGAUUAGAGUAGUUUAAAAUAUCACCUAUCACAGACAUUGAUCAGCGCUUGUGAUAGCAUUACGCAUGCUAAUACUGUUGUAAACCUUGUCAGUAAACCUUAUCAAGUAACAAUCAUAAGUAGCUUGACUUUGUAAAUCUUAUCAAAUAACAAUUAAAGUAGCUCGACUUUGGCGUAGCAUAGCACCCACAUAAUAGAAUGUCAAAUGGAAGUCUCCUAUUGUGUAUAAGUCGGUAAACAUAGUUGGUUUUUGCAAGUCUUCCCCAUACUGAAUGGGCAGCAGCCUUAACUUAUGGUGAUAAAAGUUUGGCCAAAAGCUGCUCAGAACGGCAACACAAGUCCAACAGAACAAGGAGGAAAAUAUCCAUUUUGAAAGAAAAAAAUAACAUCUCAUGUAUAUAACGGAAAGACAUCCUCUGUACCAAAUAUACAUAUUACUACAUAUCUCCAUGUACCAAGCAAACUAGAAUAUAUCAUGUGUUCUAUGCAUGUACAUCAGCGAGGGUUCCCAACGAAACAUAUUAUAUAAAAGAAGAAAAGAAUCAGAGACAAGAUGAACAAGUCAAGGUAUGGAAGUUUGUAAAAAAGAGGAGGGCCAUCUCUCAGUUCCCACAUUUCCAUCUUGAGGUUGGCACACAGCUUAGGUAAUGGCACCAGCUGCAGUGCUUGUUUAAGUUCUCUCCUUUGAACAGCAACACCAAUCCAGUAGUUAAUCUGCAUUUAACAAGAAAAUUGAAAAUUACUCAUCUUGAAACAGUUUCAUAUGUGCUAAUGUGUAUACUUAAACUCAUCCAUGACAGUAGAAACGAAAAGGGAUGAAAAAAAGACUGACACUACGGUGAUGGUCUCCGAUUUGAACCAGAUUAAAAUGUAAUGGAUACUAAAUCAUGCAAAAUUCAAAUAAUAAAUUAGAAUUCCAGCAACAAGCUUACCCAGCAAUCAGUAAGGCAGAGGCAACCAACAAAAGAAUAUAUUGAUAAGGCUUGUGCUUAGAUUUGACACGAGUGUCAGCUGGAAGAUUCCGACUCUCCAUCCAUCCAAACUGAGGACGAAGGAGCAAAAUGAAACCAAGGAGAAACCCAGCCAAGAAUCCUCCGAUGUGGGCGAAGUUGUCAACAUGAGGAAGAAUUCCAACUGCUAAGUUAAUGGCGAUAAUGACUAUAAGCGUCAACAGAGCUGCAGCCUGGAAGGGCAAGAGAAAAGCAAGAGUUAAUGACAGUAAAACAUUCCGAUCUUAAUACGAAAUCAUGACACAAAUGCAAACAUCAAAUCCAUUUAAAGAAUAUCAACUUCACUUUAUAAAAUUGGAAAAUCGGUAGCAAACCUUGUUGGUGUAUAUACUCCAGUUAGUGAGAAGCUCCGAUAACAUAGCUCCCAGAAGUCCAAACAGAGCGCCAGAAGCACCAACAGAAAUAUUGCUCUGAAUAAAAAGGGCUGAUAAUAUGCUCCCACCAAGUCCUGACAACAGGUAGAUUAUUCCCACGCGCACUGCCAAAUCAUUCAAUCCAGAACUGAUGUUAGAAUGCAACAAAACCAUCAUAAAAAUAUGUCAAAAGAAAAAACACUAAUAAUGAAAUUGAACAAGGCUUAAAAUAUCUACACGGUUAUCAUCAGGAAACAAAACAAUUAUUUGAAUUGCCUUUAAUUCAAUUUGAAUGCACAAAUGCGUCCAGCACAGUAAAGUGAUGCUGGAGACUAUAAAUAAAAAAGGCCUCAUACAUAAUUUAGAAUAAAUUCAAAAGAGUUGAAUAUAGAAAAUUAAGAAUGUUCCCAUAUCCGCACUCUUCUAAAUGUAAAGAACAAAAGGCUCCCCUUUUAAUAUGCAUAAUCAUGGAAGUCCUAAAAUUGACCUCAUUUUACUUAAAACCUCAAUUCAAGGCAUGGUAAGAAAAAUGGCAUACCAAACCCAAAUUGCUGUUCUAGGCGUAUGCCGAUAAAGAUCAAGCUCAGCAUGUUUGCAAGCAAAUGAAUGACACCGGCAUGCAACCACAUACAAGUGACAAGUCUCCAUCCUUGAUGCCCAUGUACAACCUUGGACCACUUCAGAGCUCCCAAUUUUUCCAAUCUGCAAAAGCAGGAAAUAUUUCUCAGAUAAUAAAAACCAAAAAGCGAAAAGGAAAGAGAUAUUAUUUUCCCAUCCAGACACACCUGGAAACCACUUUCAUCCAAGUAUAAUAAGCAAAAAUAAAGGAAACUUAAAAAAUAAAGAAGCGAAAAAACAAUCCAGUCUUUGAACUAUGGCUUUUUAAUUUCCAGGAUUCGACAGAAUAACAAAACUUCCAAGCAGAAUAACACAAAUUGAAAAGGGUAAGAAAAAAAAAAAAACUAGUCCCACAAAUGCAAUUAGAAAAAAACUCACACUUAGGAUAUCAAUGAGUUAGAAUCUCAGACCAACCUAGCAUUAUGAAUUAGGAUUGGAAGUUUAAAAACCCAAAAAGAAUAAACAACACAGGAAGAAUCAGAAGAAAAUCAUGCACUUCAAACAAUUCUAUCAGCCUAAACUCAAGAGAGCAUGCCCAAUCAAAAACUGAAAAGGAAAAAAUAUCAAAACGAGAUAUUGAAGUAUAAUCAUACAGCAUUGGAAAAACAGUAAAUUCUCAAAUUGCACACAACCAAAUAAGCAAACCGUAUUUGCCCCAAAAUCAUAAACUUUACAAUUACAAAGCAAUCAAAUUUCUCAAACCCAAAUCCAAAAACCGAGAAAAAUCUCUAAAUUGAGAGAUGGGUAAGUCAGAGAACUCACGUGGAAGAAGAUGGGCCAAAUAGAGGGUUCUCCCGGAGAGGCUGAAAUGAAAGCCGACCAAGAAACUUGGCUACACACUUGCCAUCACUACCAGUAUUGUUCCUUGGACAGUUGUUGACAAACAUAGCCACAAUGAAGACAAUAAUAUUGGCCACCACAAACAUAGGAAUCAACCAGGAUGUCCAUUGAUGCUCCUGAGUUCCCACAUAGUACUGGUUUGGGUUGUAACUGCUGUUGGCUCUGGGUUUUUCUGUUCCUGCUCGUUCUAGAUCAGCCAUGGUUUGAUUUUCUUUUUCUCUCUCUGUUUGUCUCUCAAGUCUCAAACUUUUUCUCUGUACAAUGAGAAAGGCCAAUGUUUUUUGGGUUGGUGUUUAUAUUGUGGAAGAAAAAAAAUGGGAAGAGGGAUUGAGAAGUGACUUGGAAGCGAGUAGAAGACGUGUUUUUGGAUGAAGCAAAAGAAAAUAUGAGAGACUUGGAAGCAGAAGAGUUGGGUGGGCAAAGAAGGUUGUAGAUUUAACAGUCGAACAAGUAAUGUGAAUAAUGUUUAGGAGGAGAGAGUGUUUUGUAUUUCUCUCUCUCUCUCUCUCUCUCUCUCUCUAUUUCUUGUAUGUAGGAUAGAGAGUGCUUUGUGCUGACUUGGCUUGUCUGUCAUUUUAUAUAUUUAUAUUACGCGGUGCUGUUAAUAUUCCUUAAUUAAUAACGUUUAGCAGUUUCCGAAUCACAUUCACAUUUGGUUUUUGUGAAAUUACAUCGUUAUCCCUGCUUAAAUCCUUAUGCUUUAAAAAAAAAACCAGAGAGCAUUUUUCAACAGAAAAAAGAAGAGAGUUAGGGCACAUGGACCAGUUCUAUACUUCUAUGUGGAAGUUAUGAUCGGCUACUGUUUUUUUAUUUUUUUAUUAGACAUUUAUGUUUGCAAUUUCUUGUGAUGUGGUUUGUUUUAUGUAGUGUUGUUGAGGUUUUUUUUUUUUUUUUUUCCAGUUCGUUUUGUUGAAUAAUUAAAAAAGAAAAAUUAAUAUUAUUUGUGUUUUUUUAAGCCGGCCAUAUCGAGCAAGAUAAAUUAAUUCAACGCUUUAACUUCCUUUUUAAUUACACAAUCGAGCCAUUCUUUAAUUUGUUAAUGCAAUUCAGCCUAGUACAAUUAACCUAAAAUUAAAAUAAUCAAAUUCAGAUUAAUUUUUCAAUUCCAAACUUGUGAAGGGCAAAAAAAGCCAGCAGCCAAAGAGUAUAACAAAUUUGUCAUUUUAAUAUUUGAGGAAUUCUAGCAACCUUUUCUUUUGGACCUUCUCUCUUCUCUUCAUGACAUAUGACAUGUGUCACUUUCUUUCCACUUAAAACAAUGUCAUUAAUACAUUAGACAAUGUAUGUUUUGUUUCCCAAAAUUACCCUUGUUAAAUGCAUUGGACAAAUUAACUUUUAUUUCCACCUUGUUAAAAAAUUAAAAGAGAAUUUUAAAAUCUUCCACAAAAUUAACGUCAAUUUUUCUUUUUAUAAUAAAAAAAUUUCUGUUUGCUACUUUUUUUUUGUGAGGGAAGGAAGAAUGGGUUUUGGGGUAUGGAUUGAAAGAGGAGAGUGAGAAGUACAGUGCACGGUGGGUUUUGGAUUGGAAAGGAAUGGUGAUGAUUGGGUAAGGAUGGGGACUCUGAGAGAGAGAGGGAGAGGGGUAUGGAUUGAAGGAGGAGAGUGAGAAGCACAGUGCACGGUGGGUUUUGGAUGGGAAAGGAAUGGUGAUGAUUGGGUAAGGAUGGGGAGUCUCAGAGAGAGAGAGAGAGCGAGAGAGAGAGAGAGAGAGAGAUGCUGUAAUGGGUUUGGGUUUUCAAUUUUUUUUCUGUUUCUUUUUAUCUUUUAAUCAAUUAGAAUGUUCAUUAAUUUUAAAAAAUAUUUAUCUGUAUUUUUAAAAAAAGUUUUUUAGGGAAGUAUACAUAGUUUUUAUUUUCAAAUUGAACUUUUAAUGUUUAUUUUUUAAAUUUAAUUGUUUAUUUUUUAAUAAGGGUAAAUUUGGGAAUAAAAGAUAUAUUGUCUAAUACAUUAAUAUUAUUGUUUUAAGUGUAGAGAAAAUGACACAUGUCAUGAGAAAAAAUGAGAAUGUUCAAAAAAAAGAGUUUGAAAGAAGAUUAGUAAUAUUCCCCUUAAUAUUUUUUUAAAUUAAUUUCUCAUUAUCAUGCCACCAUCAAAAUAUUAAGUCCCAAAAACACGAGUGAAAGGAUCAUGCCUCCACGUGGCUUCAGAAGUAGAAAUGCAGCACAUCAAGAUCGCACAAUGGUUUGGGAGGACACAUGACAAUGACUCAGCACUUCUCCAAAAUAAAUAAAAUAAUGCUACUUUUAUAUCAGCUGAUGUGACAAAUGAAUUAGACAACAACAUUAAUUAAAAUUAUUUAAUAUUUUUUUAUUUUUAUGAUCUACAAUGAUAUUUUUAAUAUUUUAAAUGUUUCAUCAUUCUUUAUUUCUUACUUUAUAUAUAUAACUUAACACUUAAAAAAAAUUAUUAAUAAAACUUUUUUAUUUAUUAAAAAAUUCACUUCAUUUAAUUUAAUUGAUGUGGCAUAUGAAUAGACAUGCCACAUCAUAUUAUAUAGAAAUAUAAGAUAAAAAUAUAGUAAGUGUUGCAUUACUCAAAUAAAUAUAUCCGAAUAAUACCUCGAAUGGAUUUUACCAUUAAAGUAAAAUUACAACAGACAAAAUGAUUUAAAAGGAAAAUUUCAUAUACAAUUUGGGAUGAUGACCUUCUUUUUUAAUUAACCUUUUACUUGAUUGUAUUGUAGCUCUAAAUUUCAUCAUUUGGUUCUGCAAAUUUGAUUUGACUAAUCUUUCUUAAAAGGUAAUAAAGCAUAAGCUUCUUCAUGAUUCUCUAUAAAGGCCACAAAUUGGUGGGACUUUCUAAGCAUGAUUUAACAAAACCUGAGUUUUGCAUCCACCUGUCAUAUACCCAUAAAGCCAAAUUAGACUUAAAUACGAGUGAUCUAGUCACGUAAUCGUAUUAACCUAAGAAUUUUUCACAUAAGUCUGAUUUGCUGUGCCACGAAUAACAUAUAUUCCAAGACAACACCCACCAGAACUUAGCUUUGGGUACACUAGAAUCCUUCCUCAAUUUGGAAACUGAUAAUAUAUUCUUUGGUUCCAACACUCUUUGCAAAAUCCAAAGCUUUUGGUUUUUUUUAUGGUUUUCACUUUUGAAAAAACUGCUCGAAUGUAGAUAAAGUGGCUAUAAAGUAAAAACGCAUGCUUCUAAUUGCUUGUGCCAAGGAAAUCUUUGUAAUCCUAGAGAUUAUGUUCUCAAUUUUCAUAUGUACGGUAUAUAAUUCAAAUUAUUUUAAAUUACUCUUAUUUACAGGGAAAGAAAUUGAAUUCGAAUAUAAAUAGAUAAAUACAAUGUUUUGAAUAACUGUCUUAAUCCACAUCGGCUUGAGUAUUGUGUUGUAUUUAUAUUGUAAUAAAAGUCAACUAUACAAAAUACAAUUGUUCGGUUGUUGUCUUUUACUUUUAUACAUUACGUGAUAUGAAAAUAUUGAACAAAGACUCAUUCUGGUAUAUAUUAAAAUGAAAGGUUCACAAUUUCAAGGCCAAAUGACACUGCAUGCAUAAACGUUUGCUUCCUCUUUCUUUCGUUGUUUGGAGAACUUAGUCAACAUGACAACAACAUACCAUCAAAGUGAAGUAAGAACAACCAACCUACCUGCCCCACAGAAUGCGAUUAUAAAAUCAAAAUAAGCCAGCACUAAACAUAACUUCAACAAAUGGAUUCACAUCUUUAAUCAAUACACCCAACCCAAGUAACAAAAAUUGAGUUUUCCAUUUUAUUCGGUGCCGAGUUAUAUAAAUAAAAGAUAAAAAUAAAAACCGAAAAAUCUAAAAUGAAUCAAUCUUGAUUUAUUUAGAUUUGUAUUUUUUAUUAAGUUUUUUAGCGUCGAUUUUGUGUUUACGUCUAAAAUUACGUGGUUUGAACUAUUUGGGUAAUUUGGUGAGAAGUAGGCACGAAGUUUAGGUUGAGGUGGUGGACAAUGCAUGAGCAAAGCUUACGCGUAUGUAUGAUCCCUUUUGACACAAACAAGACAAAAGCUGGCAACACACAGCAUGGUGUGACAUUCUGGUUGUUGGGCUUCAAAGAGUUGAAGGUAGAGACAGUUGCUUAGAAGCUACAUGCUCUCCUUUUUUGUCGCUGUUUUUUUUCUUUUGCCAUCUGUGCAUGCCAUUCUUGUGUGUUUGUUCAGCUUGGCAAGUUAUUAUAAUGAUGUAUUUAAUUAAAUAAUUUAAAAUACUUAAUGGAGGAGGAGUAUCAAAAGACUGCAUGCUUAAUUGAUUUAAUUAGUAUUUUACAGAAUAAGAAUGGUUCUUCCAUGAGCCAAACAUGAGAUUUUUGAAGAUGACCCUAUUGGCCUAUUUCAAGCUGCUAGCCUUUUGCUUCCAUGGAAAUUUAAACCUUAAGUUUGCUUUUCACCUAAGCUAAGGUUGUUGGCUCUGUUUAACCAACAAAAUGACUUUCAUUACAUUGACAAUCCUCUAUACCCGCGUAAACAACUAGAAGAAAGAGCUAAAUCACUCACUCACGAGAACGAUUAUGUUUAGCAAACUUGGUUUCCACAAAAACUUCAAACGGAAAAAAGUUUUUAACUUUCUGUGUGCAACUAAGCAAACCAAACCAAACCACUAUUAGUAUUUCUGCCAAAGGGUUGACCUUUAUUGCAUUUGUGUUUUGCCCCCUUUUGCUGAUACUGCAAGAUAUAGCCGUUGCUUGCUGAUAUCAAAUAAUCAAAUACUAUUUGCCCUCCCACCAAGUAUUUACAGCUUGCGCAAUAAAAUAAAAGCACGAAGAAAAACAAACAGCUCAUAUGAGGGCUUUUAAAUGCUCUAAAAUUUCCUUUGACGUUCUCUCACAUACUCUCCUCCUCUCUACUGGUACAAGUCCAGAAUGACAAGUGUGUAACUAUUUCUCUACAGUUUUGGGGGGCAUAUUUUAAUUUGUUCAUGCUAAGUAAUAGUUUAACAUUUUCUGAAACUUGAUCACACGAGCAACAAGAUUUGAGUGUCAUUAAGCAACAGGAUCCUUGUUCAUGUGACGCAGAGAUACGGGGUCAAUUAAAGAAACCGCUUUGUAUAACACUCAGCCUCGUUUGGUUCUUAAGAUUAGAUUGGAUAAGUCACUAAAUCUAGUAUAAAUUUUUUUGCAUCUAAUAUACAGGACUACAUCAAUUACUCAUACACACGUAAGACACGCACCUUUAUUGCAGGAAACUUUGUAUCUCUUUAGUAAUGUGACAAACAAAUACAUGAGAUUAUCGGUCUUCACCGAUCUAUGAACUUUAAACUAGAAGUCGAUUGUGGCAUCCGAAGUUACAAGCAUAAGUUUAUGCGUACAAUCUGGAUGAAACCUUAUUUGAGACUGCUUGUCGAAAGACUAAAAGCGACUUUACGACAAGUUCAGAAAAUCCUAGAAGUGCUUCAAAGUCUUGAAAGCGCACUUGAUUUCAAUUAAAAAUACGGGACCUUAAACUGAUUUGCUUCCAUCUCAUACGAAAUAAACAAUAUUUAGCAAAAUAAUCAGGUGAAAAAUACCAGCUCUCUGUACAAAACCUUGGAUUUGUAUUGCCCAAAUUUCGAGAGAAACAUAACUCAUUUCACCUAUUGGUCAAUGGUCAUGCUUGGUGUCCAAUCCAACUUAAUCCCAACCUUGGGUCUAAUCCAUGUUUUUAGACUACCAAACAUCCCACCAUCCUUGACCAAAAAAAACAAAACAUCCCACCAUAAAAUCCAAACCCACCAGACAAGUCCAUUAUCAAGUCAUACUCAGAGGGUUUGUACAUACAAAUUACCAAAACGAAUGUCUAAAACGACUCAACUUUUCCAGGUUGACAAAACAAGUUUAUCAGCUGUGAAUAAAAGAUAUCUUUUUUCUGAACUCAAGGGCAUUAAAAUAUAAACGAUAAACUUUCACUAAUGCAACAAUAUCCAAAAUUGGAGUGGCCAACAAUGCCAAUUAAUCCAUACAUCAAAUCGAAACAAAAAAUGUCGAUCGUCUAGGCAAAAUGGUAAGGAGAAUAAAUAUUGAGGAUGGGGGGAAGAAGAAAACUUAUCGCUUUCCACCACCACCUCCAAGCUUAGGGGCUUUUGGGGCAGCAGCCUUGGGCACAUUGCCCUUGGACUGACCCUUUGACUUGGACACCAAUUCAGCCUUCUUUGCCUUCUUCUCAUCCUUAGUCUUCUUAAUCCUCUCCUUGAUUUCACUGACAAACACGCAUAAACACACAUCCAUCAUUGAUUUUAUACAAUACAAAAUUGAGUUUAUCAAAUAACACAAAGUUGAGUUCGUGAAGUUGAUCAAAUACCCAAAAUUGAUUUUAUCACGUUGAUCAAAUACCCCAAAUUUGAUGUUAUCAAGUUGAUCAAACAACCCAAUCUACAUUUUAUCAUUGUUGAUCAAAUAACUCAAUAUAGAUUUUAUCACUGUUGAUCAAAUAAACAGCAGAGCAUUACCGGAGAGCGGCCUCACGGGCGGCGUCGCGGACCUCGGGCUUCUCGGUCCUUCGCUUCUGAAUAACUUCCAAUGUGGCACCAACAAUGGACCUCGAAUAAGGCUUUUUGUUUGAGCGUCGCUUCUUCUUCACAGCCUCAGCAGCAAUGUCCUGAAAUCACAAACACACACAAGAGCUUAGAAUAUUCAAUCGAUUCGAAACGAAACGCAUCGUUUCGUGAAUGUGUGUUUUGUGUAGGUACCUUCUUGUGCUGCUUACGGUACAUGGCGGUCCAGGUGAGCUUGGAGGGCUUGAGGCGGUUGUGGAAGUACCUCUUGCAUUUGGAGUUGGCGAAGAGGAAGACCUGAGAAUCAGAGCGGAUGAAUCUGAUUCCCUUUCCGGGGUAAAUCUUGGCGCCACUGAAACGACAGAGCUCGGUCUUCAGAACCAUGGCUGCUCUGCUAUGUGGUGGUCGAAGCUUCAAGCUCUGAUGUCGCCGCCGCCGCCGCUGCUGCUCUGCAAAAUCCCCGAGCCCUGUCCAGAGUCUAAAACCCUAAUGCUUCGGCUACCAAUUUAACUUCAACUGACUGACCAAAGGUCGCGCCUUUCUCUGGGCCAGAAAAUGGCAACUAAAGAUUGAGCGGGCUUUGGUUAUUACAACUCUUAUCGAUUUCAAGCCCUAAAAGUGAAAUUUUAGGUUUGGGCCUCAUCGGUAAAUCUAUCUAGAGUUGUACGCAUCCAUGUUGUUAGCCCCGAGAAAAUUUUGUAAUCUUAGAAAAAUGUUUUUGGAUUUAUUUUAAUUUAUUGGAAGUGCUAGAAAAAUGUUUGGAAUUUUUUUUAAAGGUUAUUCGGAGAAAUGGAGGUUAAAAAUAGUACAAGCCCCAUAGAAUUUUUCGGGGAAUUUUUUACCAAUGAUAAUGAUAUUGACAAAAUGCUAUUUAUUUGUAUGAUAAAAUUGGAUUUUACUUUUUUAGGCUUGAUUAUUAUAAAUAUAAAUUGCUUUUGUUUUACUUUCUAUAAUAGUUUGAUUUUGUCUCAAAUGCAAGCUAGGGUGUAGAUCCUUUAAUAAUAAAUACAUAAAAUGAUAAAUAAACAAAAAAAAAUCCUUCACACAAGACAUAAUGUUAAAAUGGUCGAGUUCCUCUAGAAUUGGACAAAUCGGUCCAGUCAAUGUUCGAUAAUGACAUGAAAUAACUCUUUAUGCCACUGUUGGAUAGUGACUCAACCAAUUUAUCUAAUUUUUAUGGGGUUGGACUAUUUUGUCUUGGUGCCCUCCUAUUUGUCCUUAUAUAGUAAAAUCCCUAAUAAAUAUUGGUUAAAAUUUAAUAAUGUACAACAAAAAGAAAAGAGAAAAUAAAGAAUGAAAGCUUCGCAAAUUGGUUAUUUAUUCAUUAAUGAAAGCUUCGAAAAUUAAUUAUUUAUUCAUUUAUAUACAAAAAGAUAUUGAAAAAGGGAGAAUCAAAUCCAUGGUCACUGUAAGCAAGUUUAUGCGAUCACUAUGUUAUUUAUAUGUUGUAUUCACUAAAAAGUUUACGACGAAUCACAUAUUGUUGUAUUCAGAAGCUAAUUUUGUUUUUUUGGCAAAUUGUAUUCAAAAGUUAAUUAAAUUAUUGGAAAUUAUUUAUCCACCGUACAGCGAAGCAUUUAAGCGGUAAAUCUCAACCGCCGAGUUGGCUUCCACUGAAUCGACUCCACUCGCAUCCCAAACCGCAAACAAAUAUUACCGCUGUUAACUGUAAUUACCGAACGAACCGUGUACGGUAUGGUCAAAUCAAUUUACCUAGCCCUGGUCAAAGGAAUCAAAUUUAUUAAGAAAAGAAAAGAAAGAAAAAAAGUAAUUCCAAUUCCAAAGCCUUGUCUGUAUUCGAACGACAUUAUCGUCAUCGUCGGCGUUGUCUUAUCCAACCUUUUCCAUGUUCUCACCGCCACAAAACCUCCGCCCAUUUGACCACAGGUUCCGCCAAUACGCACCGUUUUGAAGAUCUCUGCAUGGGCUCACCGAGUUAAGGCAUUCAAUUCCACAAUCUCGCUGAAAAAUAAAAAUUCCAAUACGAAAUUCCCGAAAUGGCCUCACCCAACCGAUCCGUGGACGACAUCGUCGAUACGACGCCGUUGCUCAGCAACUCGGGCGGGUCGUCCGACGAGUCCAACUCGGGGCGCCACCGAAUUGUGCGCCCCCAGAGCCUGCGCGACGCCGCGCGGUUUCUACGCCAAGCCAGCAGCCGUCGGCUCAUGCGCGAGCCGUCGAUGCUGGUUCGCGAGACGGCGGCGGAGCAGUUGGAGGAGAGGCAGAGCGAUUGGGCGUAUUCGAAGCCCGUGGUGGUUCUCGACAUCAUCUGGAACUUCGCAUUCGUCGUCGUCGCGGCAACGGUCCUGGUUCUAAGCCGAUACGAAUUGCCGAAUAUGCCCCUGAGGCUCUGGAUCAUGGGGUACGCUUUGCAGUGCGUGGUUCAUAUGGUUUGUGUUUGUGUCGAGUUUCGGAGAAGGCAGUGCCGACAGAGAAGCCGGGUUUUGGGGGUGAAUUCGACGGAGGAAGGAGUAGGGAGUGUUGGGAACUUGAGUUCUGGGUCGAGAGAGGAGGAUUUGUCAUCGCAGUACGUGUCUUUGGCUGAUCAUAUGAAUGAGGAGGGUACCAGGUAACAAAUGACUUUUUGCUAUGUAAUGCAAUUGAAAUGUUCAUGCUUCUAUUUGAUGUUUGUUGAUGGGUUGUUGUUAGUUGCCGCAAUUUAUGAACUUCUUGUGACAAUUCUCGAGUGUUUGCUUAAAAUGCUGGCAUUUGAUUUGGAGCAAAAUAAAAAAACUUUUAGCAGAAUAAGAUUUUAUGUGUACGUUAACCCAUUAUGUUGUUUAACAUGAAUUGCGGAUAUAGGAUAUAUCUGCAGAAUCUAUCAUGCAGAGUAGAGCAGAGGAUUAGUUUUAUGAUUCUUCUUGGCUUUUUAAGGCUUGUUGAUGACUGAUGACUUUGGUUUUCAUUCGAUUAAUACUUUCUAAAAUCCCUAGUUAUGUGUAAUAUUGACUAUAUGUAUGCAUAUUAAACUCUGUUGUUGAUUACUGAACUGGUUUUCCACUGGAAAGGGAAGGAUGCUUGUUUAUUUGCAGCUGGUACUGUGUGAGAAAUUGGAUGAUUUAUUUUGGACUAUUUCGUUUACGUGCUCAAUGUUUUUGCUUUAAUCUCUCAGCAGCGUUGCAAAGCAUUUGGAAUCUGCAAAUACAAUGUUUUCAUUCAUCUGGUGGAUCAUUGGGUUCUACUGGGUAUCAGCAGGUGGUCAAGCUUUAGCGCAUACCUCCCCUCAGCUUUACUGGUUUGUGCUCUCUCUCUCUCUCUCUCUCUUCCAUUUAUUUGAAAAUCAAGACAUUAACAAAAUCUUAACUAUGGCUAUGUGGCUUUUUCUGCAGGCUAUGUAUAAUUUUCCUGGGUUUUGACGUGUUUUUUGUCGUUUUCUGUGUUGCACUGGCAUGUAUCAUUGGUAUCGCUGUUUGUUGCUGUCUUCCAUGUAUUAUUGCACUUUUAUACGCCGUGGCAGACCAGGUAGUUCUUGUGUAUUCUUACCUCUUUUCUGUGUGUUGAGUUCCAUGUUCAUAACUAUCAGUGUCUUCUAUCGUUACCACUCUGUAGGUUAUGUGAAAUUAAUGCAAUACUGUUUGAGAAGUAUGAUAUUUGUAUGAUGUAAAUGGUUACAAAUUGAAACCAGAAACUGAAUCAUUCUCUGUUGUUCUAUGGAAGGAAACAAUAUGUACCUAAUAAUUAAGUAUUAUAAAAAUUAAUCGGGUUUUGUUAGUUUGAAUGGAGAUAUGAACAUAUUAAGAUCCUUGGUUGCAGGAUUUUGGACUCUUUAAUCAAACUUAACUAUGAUGGGAUUGGUUCCAAUUUAGCAUAAAUAACUCUAUCUGGGGUGGGGGUGCAAAGUCCGGCACAAAUGUUUUGUAUAGUUGAAUGAAAGAAAGUUGAUUGAGUUGAUUGCCUUCAUGAUUUCAAUGAAACAAGCAAGUUCCCGUUGUGGUAAAAUAAUGUGCACUGAGUUAAACCAAUGUCUGCUUUCGUCUGGUAUAUUUAUCUUACAUUUUGAUACUCAUCUUAGACAGUUGCAUUUCACGGUCUCUCCACAGAGCACCUAUGCAACCAUUAUGAUUGAGAGCUGUUAUUGGCACUCCAAAAUAGUCAUCAUGCACUCUUCUCUAAUGAAAAAAAUAAGGACAGAGUGUAGAAUGACUAUUACAAUGGCUAUUUUGGAGUGCUAAUAAUAGUUUUCAAAUGGUUUUAUAUCUUUCUCCUUCUGUUGGUGUACAAGAGUUUGAAAACUUGAUGUAUAGUAGUUGGCCUUGAAGCACUUGGGGACAAUAGAAUUAUUUAUGUUUUAUCAAUUCUUUUCGUUUGAUCCAAGUUUGCUGACUCUGUUUUAAUUGUUUCAACUUUGAAGGGGUUGGGCAUGAUUUUUUGUUGUUGGAAGUAUAGUUUACCUGAUCUGUAAAUUUACUGUUGUGUAGUUUUAAGAAUCUUAUAUUAAAUUUUAAUGGCUUUCUUGUCCUCUCUAUUGUGUUUCUAUGACCUGUUAUUGAAGCAGGAUGGAGCAUCCAAGGAAGACGUUGAACAGUUGUCAAAAUUCAAAUUCAGAAAAGUUGGCAAUGAGAAAGUUGCAGGUGAUACACAAGGUGGAGGAGUAAUGACUGAAUGUGGAACAGAUUCACCCAUUGAACAUGUUCUUUCGCAGGACGAUGCGGUGAGUGGGCCCUUUUUUUGGAUAACUAAUCUUCUUCGCUUUCUGAGUUGUGUUUGCAAAAGAGGAUGUUGUCUACGUGACCUGUUAUGUACUUGGUUUCCUUUUAUAUUCAUAUAACAAAUCCCAGUUAAUUAGUGGACUAACAAAAUCUUUUUGGACUGCUCAAAAGAUUCUUGUCACAUCUAAGUGAUGAUCAUUGUGAUUUAUAGGAGUGUUGCAUCUGCCUUUCUUCUUACGAUGAUGGAGUGGAGCUAAGGCAACUUCCUUGUGGCCAUCAUUUUCACUGUUCCUGCAUUGAUAAGUGGCUUUAUAUCAAUGCUACCUGUCCUCUCUGCAAGUACAAUAUAUUGAAGAGUACCAGCCAUGAUCAAGUGGAAGUGUAGAAUACUUCUAACUGAACAAUUGUGCCCGUGCAUGCUGGGGGUUUACAUACAAUUCUUGCUUGAGUGUAAUCCAACGCCAAGCUUCGCACUUGACUCACUGCAGGUUUUCUAUAUGGUCAUUGUCGAUGUUGUUUCUUGUUGUAGAGUAGGUGUAGCAAUUGUCAUCGAUCUUCUUGUUCCCGUAGUGAUGAUGACAGUGGCACUUCGUAUUUGUUGUUGCUCUGGCAUCUUUAGGUGCCUUUGUACAUGGGUAUUGCCAGGGUGUCUCCGCAGUAAUUCUAUAUCACAAAGACAGUUGUCUUGAGUUACAUUUCAAUGUGAAGGGCUCUUUGUUGCCAAUAUUUGCACUCGACGAAUGUUGACUUGAUACCUUAGAAAUGUUGUUAAAAGUUAAUAAGAUUCUUGUUCAUGAAACUUGUUAGAUUGUUGUAACAUAUAUGUGGACAGUCACACUGAUUGUAUCUGAUUUGUUGAAAGAGAGGAGCUUGUUAUGUGUUGAUUUGAACAAGCUAUUCCUUGGCACUUUCAAUUGGAUAAUUCGUGUUGUUAAUAAAGCUCUCCCAUCUAUGAUCCCUUUUUUUCCCUUCAAAUAUUGAAUCGAAAAUAAAGAAUGGUAUCCCCUUACUUUUCUGAGUAACCACGAAAAUAUUCACAACUCCUAGGAGUAUUUUUGUAAGACUCCAAGAAGUUUGUAGUUCAAGCGAUUAAGAGUAAAAGAUACAAAAAUUUUUAAGAAAAAGCCAUGCUAAGCUAACAACUCGAUCCUUUAUCAAAUAAAAAAAGUUAUUCCAUUAUCCAUACGGUUAUAUUAAGAGAUUGUUAGGGAAAAUUUUGAAUUCAAAUAUCAUAAUUAUUCAACUAUAAAAAAAAAAAAAAUCUUCAUGCUAUACCUCAUCGAGAGGUAUAUUUGAGUUGGAUUUUAAAAUUCAAAAGCAGGCAGCCAGAGAAAAAAAACAUAAACAAAGACAAGGGGUCAACAUAAAAAUUAUCAAAAGUCUGAGUCAAAAAGUAUAAUAAACCCAAAAAAAAAGACAAAAAGCAUCUGCCGAAAGCAAGAAAUGAAAAAACAACAUUGUGGGGUGGGCUUCGUGCUCCUUUUCGCGCUCCUCCUCCUCCUCCUCCGAAUGUCUGUCGUCUGAGCUGUCUCCUUCUCCCUUGGUUUGUUUCGUUGUUUGUCGUCACUGUCGCAAGUAGGAGGAGGUGUCUGCUAACGAUGGAGCACCAACCUCUUUUGCAGCGAUAUCGCCGUGAUCGUCGUAAGCUCUUAGAAUUUCUCUUGUCGUCGUCGGGUCUCGUCACGGAGCUCCGGACCCCGACCGGGUCCGCCGCCUCGCUUUCCCACAUCGAUUUUGAUACUCUCAGCGCCGAUUAUGUCCUCGACUGCGUCAAAUCCGGCAAUUCUUUUUUUCAUUUUCCCGACAAAGUUCAGCUAUAUAAGUAAAUAUAUUUUUGUCUAAUUUUGUUAUUGGAAUUUGUUUAGGUGGAGUUUUGGAUAUAUCUGAAGCAACCAAGAAGUACUUCCAUGAAUCUUCUUACCCUCUAAUGGUGAGCAUGAACACUCUGACACUCUUUUAGCUAUUUCUUGAGCAUACAUACAUAGGCACAGAUAGUUGUGAAAUUUUGAUUCUUGUUAUGGUUUGAAGUUUUGGUUUUGGUGGUGGUUCUGCUUUUGUUCAAGAACUGGGCCAAAUGUGAGUGUUUUGAAAAUGCUAUGUUUAAGAGAGAUUAAACAUCUUCAGAAGAUUUUCAGAAGCUGUUUGGCUGACAUAAAAGUGUGAUAAGAAGUAAAGCAAACUGACCCAAAACUCAUAGAAGCUUGAAAUGAAUCUCCAAGUUUUUAUUUUUCUUUACUGCUGCUAGCUCAAGUAGGUUAUGUUUCUUCUGAAAAAACCAUAGAAUUCAUUUUCGUUUCAUAAUGCUCUAACUUUUCGACAGAUUCAUUCCCAAUUAGGCAAUUCCUUUUUUCUACUUUCUGAUCCAGAAUUAUCUGGAUCACCUCCUCGGCGUGUGCCUUCUCCCAUAAAUGUGAACCGAACCUCCGAGAAUGCAUCAAGUUCAUCCACCCAGAUGGAUUCUUUGAAUGUUGAGGACAUUGCAAAGGCUGGUGAUUACUAUGGUUUUAAAGAUAGAGCCAUGCUGAGUGCACCUCCGAAGCCUGUUAAAGAUGUUACGAACAUGUCAUUGGGAUUGCCUCAUCUGAACACAGGUAUGGGUUGCUUUGAUUAUAAAAUAAUGGCCCCUGCUAUUUGGUAUGGUCAUUUCUGAAAGAAUGUAAUGAAAUCAGCGUGUCCUCAAAUGAUAGUCAGACUCUUCUUUUUUAGUGAUGAAAUUAUCUCUGUUCCACAACAUCAUAUGGUUUUUUUUUUCUUUUUGCAAAAGAUGUAUAUAUUUGUAUCCUGAAGCUCCGGCCUUUCACAUUUUAAGUAAAACUGUAACGUAGCUUCAGAAUUUUUGAAGGAUUGUCGGAUGAUGACUUGCGGGAGUCGGCCUAUGAAAUAUUGCUUGCAUCUAUGGCAACUUCUGGGUAAUCUCACUUUUCUCUUUCUAUGUGUGAGGGUGGUGAAACCCCUGUUUCUUGCAUUCAACAUAUUUACUACUUUUCAGUUAUGGCAUUUUGAGAUCUUGGUUCGAUUUAGAAUCAGUCUUUUACUCUCUAGUGCUCUCUUGUUGUCUUACUCUUUGUCUUCAUGGAACAGGAUUGUAAUAUGUUCAAUUGAGGACAGAAAGAAGCAAAGGAGUUCCAAAUUGCUGUCCCGAUUGAAGAGUAGAAAGGAUACAGCAAAUGUGCAGUCUCAGCCUCUUGAAAGACAUUUACAGCUCCUCAACACCAUCCGUGUGCAAAUGCAGGUAACUAUUAUUUUCUCCUCUUCACUUCUGAGCUGUACUUUUAUGUGCUCAGUAAAGAGUGUCAGACUUUAAGGAAAGAUGCAGAAAGCUUUCCAAUUUGAUGUAUAUUGUGGAUAUAUCGCAGAAUCCAUGCCUGGAAAGUUGUUUAUAUAUAUGACGUCGAAAACUGAAUGCACUCAUAAUCAUCUUUUAACUAAAUGCUUCACUUGAAGUCGUCAAUUAAUCUCUGACUUUGAAUUUGAAGCAGUGUACUUUGACAUGUCAGAUAUCAGUAGGAGUGUGGCUGGUUUAUUUCAUAUACCAGAAAAGAUAUACGAUGGAUGUCUUACUCUUAAAAUAGUUGGGUGGUAGACGUCGAAAAGUACUUUCUAAUAAGUUGAUGUGAGAGAGUAUGGAUACAUUAAUACGAGAGUCUAGCUUAAACCAGUUUGAUUUGAAGUUAUUCUUUCAUAAUUCUACCGCUUAAAUAAAGUGUUUCUAGAAAGAAGGGGUAAAGAAAAGCUUAUGCAAAUAUUUUUGCAUUUCUGUUUGUGUUAAUAAUUUUCCAUGACAUGGCCCUGGUAGGGAUGACAAACACCAACGUAGACAAGAAGGAUAUUUCUGUUUCUCACUCAGUUUUCCUUUCUUUCUUAGUAGUUCGACUAUUCCAUCUCAGACGCAAUUAUUUCUUCUUUUGUAGAUUUCAGAAGCGAUGGAUGAGAGCACUAGGCAAAAGUUGAUGCUGUUAGCGUCAGGGAGAACACGGGUGCAAAUCGAUGUUCCUCAAGUUUUGUUGGGGCUUUUAAAUGGAACUUUUAAGUCUGAUUUUCCAAAUGAAAAAUCUUAUUUGCAAUGGAAGAAUAGACAGGUAUGGUCAACUUUGGAAUAUUUUAAAAAUGAAUCCUUUUAAUAUCAAAACUGGCUAGAACAAAUAGCUGGACUUGGUAAACUGUCAUAUUAGUCAGACACCUUUCACAUGCUGUAGUUUGGCACAAAAUUAUUGACUAGGACACAUUCUGAGUGAGACUGAUAUAAUCCAUGUACUUUCAAGGACAUGCUGUAAACCUUUUACCUACCAGGCUCUGGAGAAUGUGAUACUGGUUGGGCUUGUGAUUCCAUGAAUCUUAAUACUCAAAGCAUUAGCCCUGAUAGUAGGGUAGACAAGUUGCCAAACUUAGUGUAAACAUGCUGGCCUUACCAUGGCUGUUCUCAGUUUGGGCCUUAGGUUGGUUGUUGGUCAAGAAUAUUAGAGCUGCCCUGAUGUUAAAGGUCGAUAUAUCACCAUUUGGCAUUGUCAUAGCAACUUUAGCAGUAAUGGAAGUUGUUUUUGUGGGAUCUAGGCAAUGUGUAAUGGGUCCUGCCAGAAUCUGUUCAGCUGGUUAAUUGUUUAAUCCAAAAUACAGGGUAAAUUUGAGAGGUUGAGGAAUUUGAUAAUUGGUAAGAUAUCGACGUAGUUCUUGUCAUGUUUGUGUUGUACUAAAGGACUUUGUUACCUUGUUAAAUAUAGAAAGGAUCGUUUUACGCUUUGACUUAACAGAAUGAUUUUGUACUAAUUUUGUAGGCAAGUAUCUUAGAAGAGCUUCUCUGUUUUUCUGCUAAUCUUGUAGCACACGAUCAACAAGCUAUUAAGCGCUCUCUAGCUGUGGUCAGAAAUUCGAAGGUGUGUCCUUGCGAGUUUGCAGCAGUAUAGCAACAGUUAAUUUGACUACUUAUUGGGAUGCUUAUUAUUAAUUUUCUUAGCUGUUUCCACAGUUUGAUUAUGGCCCUGAUUGGUCUUGAUGUUGCAGGAAUGGGACUUUAUGUCUCUAUCUGAACGGGCAGAGGUUCUAUCAGUUAUCAAACAGGUGGCCUUGAAGUUUUCAUCUCUUCCAGGACACUUCGGUAUCCAAAGUGAGACCUAUUAUUGGACUUCUGGGUAUCACCUGAAUAUUAGACUUUAUGAAAAACUACUUCUUGGAGUGUUUGAUGUUCUUGAUGAAGGCCAGCUGAUAGAGGUAGAUAUAUCCUUGUAUUAAUUUCAGUUAAAGAUCUUCUGUUUUUGUACUUAUAGUUUUACUUUUGGUUGAAGCUCAACUCUGCUGCUUUCGUUCUUUUAGGAAGCUGAUGAGUUCCUGAUGCUUAUAAAGAUGGCAUGGCCUACUUUAGGCAUUACUCAAAAAAUCCAUGAUGCACUAUAUGGGUGGGUUCUUUUCCAACAGGUAUACAUAUUAUCUUUUAUGUUUAACAUCUGUGGAGCAUGUUUUGUGAUGCAACUUUAUAGAUGCAUUCUUCAAUCAUGAUAAAAUUAUAGUAAUCAUUUACCCUUCUCUAAAUCUAUGUGUACUUGAUCAUGAAUGUUAAUUUUAUAGUGCACGGGGUAAAUUUAAGUAAAAGAAGCAGUAAUCUAUAGUAUUGUAACUGAGCAAAUGUCCUCAACAGUCCUGAAUUCCAUAUAUUGCAUUUUGAUGGCAUCAAACCUUUUCUAAUUUUUGGAAUAGUAGAUUGAAAGAAUAUUGCACCAUUGUUGUUUAGGUUACCUAUACCAUUGCCUUUCACUUGCCAUGUCAAUACUAAGUACCAUCCCUAAGCAGUUAUCUGAGGCAAAUUUCUGUGCUGAAGUUUGUUGCGACAGAUGAGCCUGUGCUGUUGGAAUAUGCAACACUAGAGUUGCAGAAAAUUAUAUCAGCUGAAGAUGAUGAUGAGAAGUUGAGGCUAUAUAUGACUAGCCUGUUAUGUUCAAGGCAAUGCAAUGGCAGUGAGAUAAAGCUUAGUUUGGUAGAGGCUGUCUUCUACUUGAUAAGCAUCUGGUCCGAGAGUAAAUUGGAAGAUUAUCAUCUGCAUUUUAGUCAGGUUAAUUUCUAUUCUUUAACAGUGUUGUUAUAUUAUAUACCAUUUGCGUUUAGGUUUUACUUUUACGAAGAGACAACUUGUUAUAUCUUGCAGCAUUGUCUACAAGAUGAUCAUAAUCUUUAUCAUUGUUACUCAAAUAUACAAAUGAAAUGAUAAUAAUCUAAACUUUGUAACUUCUUGUUAAAUAAUGUUGACUUAUUUCAUUUUUCUUUUGCAUCCUUGGAUGUCGUGUGCAAGUGAAAUUUACAUAUUGAAAAAGGCUUGUAGAAUGGUUUUGCAUUUCCCGAUAUUUUCCUUCUAAUUUUGAAAUUUUUAUUUCAGCAACCUUGUCACUUAAAGAAGGUAUGGAGCUUAGUGUCAGUAGUUGGCAUUCAUACUUUCCGUGAUGGUGGUGAUAUGAAGGUUAGCUUAUUGUCAGGAGUUGGCAUUGAUACUGCUUCAAUGGUCUAAUAUGGUUCUGCUUGUUGCUUGAUUAAAUAUUUAACUACACACAUUAGUUUUUGGAUAAAGAAGCUUGGUGGUUGGAUCUCAGUUGAAUUUUGAACGGACAAAUAAUCUUAUGAAAACUUUCAUACUUGCAGUUGAGCAGGUUGAAUAUUCUCGAUGAGGAUCCUUCUACAAUAUUUGAAUCUUAUGUGAAAAGGUCCAUUGAAGCUGCAUACAGACGGGUGAGAGAUGUUUGAUUUCAAGUUUGUAUAAGAUUUAGUUGGCCUUUCAGUUUUGGAUGACAGUUAUUUGUUUAUACUUUUAGGUAGCAAGUAACGUAGAUCAUUUAUCCAAAGUGGAAAAGAAACAUCCCUUAAAUGUGCUUGCAAAUGAACUGAGGUUGAUUUCUGAGAGAGAGUUCAAUGUGUUCUACCCGAAGCUAUGUAAAUUGUGUCCUCAAUCUGUGAUGAUCGUGGCUAUGCAAUUGCACCGGGUUUAUUGGGAAAGACUGGUCUGCUUUUGCACCUCUAUAAAUGAAUUAUCAAUUUUCUUGCAGCCUGUAGGCUGUGAACUUGUAAUUAAUUUGUUGUAUUAAUGUGCAGAAAUCAUUUAUUGAUGGAGUAUCAUCUCUUUCUGAAGAUGUUAUAUCAGUGCUUCCAGCUGCUCAUUUAUUGGAUCAAGGCCUAACUCAGCUAUAUAAUAUUGGUAAUGGAGCAAACAGCGGAGAUCUGCACCAUUAUCCGGUUAGUUUAUGGUUAAUGUAUUUAUUUUUUAAAGUUUUUAAUGUGAGGAUAUUGUAUAUUUGUUUUUUUAAUUGCAUCUCAUAAAUACUGUCGUAAAUAUACCGGAAACCAGAAAAAAUAUGCAGAUGUUCAGUUCCAUUCUUGUCUCUUUUUUUCUUUUGGGCAAGAAUGCUGUUAUUGUCACGUUUUCUGUUUGAAAUGUAUUUGGAUUAGCAAAUCUACUAGCUUAAGUUGUCACUUAGGUCUGUUAACUGAGUUUCUGAAUUUCAAUUGCGGUCGAUGCUCAGUUUUAUUAAAAAAAUUAUUUUGCUUUAUUCUGUGAUCUUCCUUAUCUUUUUCUGAUUUGUUUUCUGCUUGCAUAUAAUUUUGUUGUACUGCUGAUGAUAUAAUCAUUCUGUUCUGGGAUUAACGCACAUUGAGUUCUUUUAUUCUCUAUACAUAUUAAUGACUUAAUGGCUAGGUGAUCAUUGUGGUCUGUAGACUUCAGGAGCCUUAUAGCAUUCAAUUCAAUUUCUGCUGUUCAUUUUGUUUGGUGAUGGGUCCAACGUAAGAAGAAACUCAAGAACUGACAAUGUCAGUUUUGAAAAGAUUUGCAUCAUGCAUGCAUUUUAGAGCUUAUGAUUGUGAUUGAAUUUUUCUUUGUUAUGUAGUUUACAAUGUACCGGAUUUGUUCUUGCGUUCUUCAGCUUUAGGUUUUGUUUUUUCUUAAAUAAUUUCUUCGGCUUUAAUUAGAUGAGAUGUCAAAGAAUGAUCUGUUUGGCCUUUCUAUUUUGGGCAGAUUGGCGAGGUUGCUAAACCUAUCAUUCUUGAUUGGGUGAUUGCUCAGCAUGCACGUAUAUUGGAAUGGACUGGACGCGCGUUUGAUCUUGAGGUUGGCUCUACGUGGACUUGGAUGGUGUUGUUUAAAAAUGCAAAUUUAGUUUUUUCCUUCCCGUCUGACUAAACAGAUGCACUAAGUUAACAAGGAAAUAUAACAAGGAAAUAGUAUAUAGCUUAUCAAACAAACUGAUAGUGUGAUUCUAGGCAACCAGUGGGUACAAGAAAGUAGAUACAUUGCUGCUUGAUGAUGUGUACAAAUGCAUUUGUCAGAAAAUAAUGUAUUUACUUUUGAUCAGUUGUCAUGCUGAUCAGCCUAUAAGACACUUUAGCAUGGACCUUCACAUGUGCUUGUGCAUGUGAGAAGAGAGCAGAUGAUGAAGGCAAGGGAUAACUUGUUGAAUUUUGUCUUUUAUAUAUUUCCUCUCUUAUUUUCCAUGAUUUAGCCUGUCCUAUUCCUUGUGAAGUGUAACAUCAACAAUCCUAAUUAGUUGGGAUCUAGGAUUAGUUGGGUUGCGCCAUAUAAUUUUAGCAAUAUGUAAUUAUGUCAGCGCACAAAUGAAUGAAAAUGUGCCUCCAAGUUUGAAUCUGUUGGUAAAUUUUUCUUUUUCUUCUUUCCCAGUUGUAGAUAAGUUUGAUAUCUGAUGUAUUUGUUGACCAUCUACUUGGUAACCACCUAACGUGUUUUCAAGUUUGGAUAUGCUUUAAGAAGAGGACGUCUUCUCUUUAAUGCUUGGUACUUUAUGUUUUAAUUUUUUGGAAUGUGCAGGAAUGGGAACCAUUGUCAUCUCAGCAAAGGCAGGCACCAUCAAUAAUUGAAGUAUUUAGGAUUAUAGAGGAGGUACUUAUAGCCAAAACAUGAUUUGUUGCAUUUUAUUGAACUGAGAUCCAACUGUUUGCAAUGUUUUCAUGAUAUUGUGAUAGAGGUUCACUGAACUGUCUUGACAGACAAAUAGGUGGGAAGUUCAGAGAAUGGAAGUUGUUUGAUUCAGCUCUUUGCAUUCUUUUUCUUUCUUCUUCCACUUAGAAAUCUCCUUCAAGUUUCCUGUGAUCGUUAUAUUGUCCCAAUCCAGAUUACUGUUCUAAUUGUUUCUCUAAAAGUAUAUCUUAUACCAGGUUUGAUAUUUGCUUCAUUCCAUUGUUUGUAAAUCCAAAUUGCAGACUGUGGAUCAAUUUUUUGGUUUCAAUCUCCCUAUGGACAUCACACAUUUGCAAGGUCUGUUAUCUGUUGUCUUCCACGCCCUGGAUGCCUAUUUGCUGAAAUUGCUCGACGAGUUAGGUAUUACACAUCUCUGCAUACUAGUAUAAUUAAUGGAUUCAUUUAUUACCUUAUAUGCUUCCUUGACUUUCACUUGAAAAAAAUCAAUCUUAACAUAACUUCACUAUGGAAUUUGAUUUUGGUGUUUUGACUUAUUUUCUUUUGUGGUUGGGGCAUGUGUGAAGGCCUGGAUGCUUGUUACUAGAGAAUGAUAUAGUUUUAUCUUUUUAUCUCUCCGUUGACAUGUUUUAAAGCAUAAUGUUGAUACUAGAAAAAUACCUUACAAAAACUUUCUGAAUUAUCUAUCAAGUUUCUAUAUGGACAUGACUUAUCAGAAAAAGAUUUUUAAAAAAAGCAAAAGUUUUGCUUAUGGACACUGUUUGUGUAGCUGUAACUAUAAUGAGACGAUUCUUCUGCCUGAUCAGGCAAAACAAGAGAGUUGUACAAGAUGUAUUGAAUCAACUCCAUUCAUUUGUGCCGAAUUACGUGAGGCUUUUGAGAACUUGACAACUAAAACUUUUUGCUAAUGAUACCAGGUGUCAAUAUAUAUGUGUGUGUGUGUGUGUGGCUUGAUGAUACACAGUAUAUUUUAGUAAGUUUUGAGUCUGCAUUGAGUGGACAGAUAAUUUACUGUUAGUCAUUACAGGGAGAUCUAGUUUCUUGUAUUAACAGUCACAGUGCCUCCAUGCAGUUGAGAAGAAUCAUUUAUAUCCAUCACCUCCUCCAUUGACUCGUUACAAGGAGACGACGAUUCCUGUGAUGAAGAAAAAGUUGCUGGAGUGUGUGCCUCUGGAUGAUAAUGUGUAUGACAAGUUGAAUAGUUUGACAAUACCCAAACUCUGCAUCAGACUGAAUACUUUAAAAGUAAGUGAAUGUUGUGAUUUAUAAAUACUUAAAUAAUCAGUUUAUUUUUUGCAAUUUGUAUAAAUAAUUUUGCAGGAACAAUUGAAUCUUUUUCUCUGAUGCUAUAGUGUUUUUUCCUUUUAUCUGAUGCUUGUAAUUUUCAAAAUGGAUCAUGUAAUUAUGUCAUCAUUCAUAUCAAAAUAUUGAAGAUUUGGAUAGUUAGAGAAAGAUUAAUAUCAAAGUUGAGUAGUAAGCAUCAUUCAUAAGUCUACUUUAAUGAAGUUUAUUGGCCAAAAAGAGACAUUUCCAGUUUAUAUUCGAACGCCUGGAGACAACAAUUAUUUGGGACAUUUGAGUCCUUUGAACACAACGGAAGACUACAAGCCCAAUUUUGAUAAUAAGACUGCAACCUGUAAGAGUGUGAAAAUCUAGAAAUAUAUUGGAAUGAUGAAGGUUAAAGUAGAGUCGUAAUCCCCCCAAAUUUAGUGUGCUGAUGUUGCAUGCAUAGUAUAAAUACUGAUUACAAGACAUGGAUGCAAGGGAGAACUGAUAUGAGGAUUAUGGGGGUGAUGACAGACAAUGAUUUAACUCAGAAGCUCUAUAUUUUGAUACUUUUUUGCCUUAUAAUAUCGGCAGUUAUUAUUGUAUUAUAUACCAUCUUACCAAAUCUGGUAAACUAAUUUAAAUGCCUGUGAAAUAUUUUAUGUAGUAAGCUCAAGUCAAGGUCUUUAGAGGGAUCAUUUGUUACUCCCAUAUCCUCGGUUCUGAUGAUAGAACCUCAACUUUGGUAUUUGGUAUUGCAGUAUAAGUUCUUGAGCCCAUCUUGAAAAUUGUUUGCAUUUCAUUCUUUCUCCCUUUUCCUUUAGAUGGUGCUACUUUUGUUAAUUAUUUGAAAGAAUACAAUAUACUGAUAUAUGUUUGUUCCUGCAGUAUAUUCAGAAACAAAUAGACAUACUAGAAGAGGGGAUCAGAAAAUCUUGGGCACUUGUCAGACAUUCUUCUGAUAAAAAAUGGGGUAUGCUACUUUGUAUAUUGAUACUCAGUGAUGCCCUUUGUAUCUAUUGCAGUUAAGUUGUAGGUUUCGUGCUAGGUAUAAAAGUUUCCUCAUAAGGACAAAACUAGAAUUUUGGCAUUACAAGGGAAGUACUUACUAUUAUUGUGGUACUCUUUUUCCUUUUACUACUGUGCAUAAUAGCCAUGGUGCUGACCUUGCCUAGUCUUUAAUUAGGACAAUGCUUUGCAAGAUGGACCAACCAAUCAACUGAUUCUGGUUGGUGCUGUCACAGAAAAAGGCAGAUCUUAAGACUUGAAUGUGUCAUGCUUUAUCUGAACUUCAUUCCUUUUUUUUCCACACAGAAGGUCCAAUUGCUUAGUUAAUGGAUAAUCAAGUUGAGGACAUUAUAAUCACAUGUAAUAUCAUUAACAAGAGUUAUGCCAUAGUUAAACAAAUGCUUUGUUUCCUUUAACUGGAAGAUGACAAGCAAAAUCAGAGUAAAAUGACAAUUUUCCCAAGUAGUACAACUGAAUUGAUUGAUAUUUGCACGCUUAUGGUAAUUUUUAUUUGAUCAGACAAGAAACAGUCUCUAGGAACCUCAACAUGUAAUGAGCAAGUUGAUGAGCUCUUUGCCACCACCUUUGAAAUUAUCAGGGAUACUGCAGCAAAUGCUAUCAGCAGACUUUGUGACUUUACUGGUGAGUUAGCUUUUUCUAUCAACUCACUAAACGUGCUAAUAAUAUGCUAUCUAAAUUUUGUAUGUCUCAUUUCAUCCAUAACAUUAUCAUUCUUGUAAUGGAGAUAUUUGUCUGCAUAAUUUGAAAGUCAGGUCCCCUCAUUUGUAAUUGUCCUUCUUCUGCUUGAUUUGUGAAACAUCACCGUGAAGCUAUAUCUACAGUUGGUUUUACUGAUGACCAGGCAAUGGAUAAACCCUCUUACAGAAAUGUGGCUACAUUGAAGUUUGUUAUACAAUGACCAAAUAUGUGGCUUUCCUAUACACAUCUAGCAAUAGGCUUUUAUGCUUAGCUUCACUUGAAAUUUUGAAUAGAGUGUAUGUGAAUGUUAAGUUUCAUGCUUCAAGGGAGGGGGUGAUACUUGAUGGUCUAAUAUAACUUGUUUGCCUAACCUGCUCUUGCUCACCAUUCUGUAUUAUUAUAAUAUUAUUAUUAUUAUAUUUCUGUGAACUUAUCUCAUUGUCGCUUGGUGAAAUUAAGGAACCUACUUAGUUUUCUCCAUUAAAAUAAAUUUAAAUGAUAUAAGUGUGCGGGUGUGCAUGAUGAUAGAAGACAAUUAUGCUCAAUCAUGUUUGUUAAAAUUCAAUUUCUAGGUGCAAGAGUCGUGUUCUUGGAUCUCAAGCAUGCAUUCCUUUUCGGUUUAUACUGUGGUAAUGUUGAAGGUGCUCGUUUGGAUGGUGUUCUCACACAUAUUGAUACUGUAAGAUAUUAAUUUCUCUCUCUCUCUGUGUAUAAGUUUGUGGUUAUGGUUUCAUCAAAUAUUGUCAAGUGGAUUCUCUUCAUCUUAGAGGCAUUUUUGUAGGUCCUUGGUCAUCUAUGUGGUUUAAUUGAUGAUUCUCUUAGAGAUGUCGUGGUUUUAAGCAUCUUUCGGGCAUCACUGGUAUGUCUCAUUAUUAGAAACUAAUCUUCUGUGGCCCGUUUCUUGUGGUGGUUUUAAUCUUGCAUCAUAUGUGGUUUAGGAAGGCUUUGUAUGGGUGCUGCUUGAUGGAGGGCCUUCUCGUGCAUUUUGUGAUUCAGAUAUUUUACUGAUGGAGGAUGACCUUGCCACACUAAAGGUAUGGUGCUCUGUCUCUGUCUGUCUGUCUGUCUGUCUGUCUGUCUCUGUGUAUCUCCAACUAGCAUUGAGACAAAAUCACUCUUAAUUCUUAGAUGCUUAGGUAAACUUGUUCAGAAAGAAAUGGUCAAAUGUGUUGCCACUGACAUUAAUAUCAAAUUUCUUUCAAACUCAAUGACCUAAGAGAAGAAUUUCCAAAACUCUGGAAGUUGCACCUGUUUAUGUCUCUCAUGCUUGCGUGCUUAAACUUGAGCUCAUAAACAAAUACCACUUGAUGUACAUCCCUAACUUAUGGAGAUAGCUUGGGUCUGUAAGUACCGGGGGAUGGUUUACACUCAUACAUACUCAUUACUUUUUGUCAAAAUACAUAACCAUAUAUUGGUUGCUAAUGGAGCUAUGCUGCUAAACUUCCUAGGAAUUUUUUGUAGCUGAUGGAGAAGGCCUUCCUCGAUCGCUAGUGGAGCAGGAAACAAAAUUUGCUGAGCAGAUACUGAACGUGUAUUCUUUUCAGGUUUGGUCUCUUGUAAUGAGAAUUGUAUACCCUCUCUGUUGAACUUGAAAGGCUGAAACUGGAAGCAUGACACGACCUCUGUUUCUGUAGACUGAAAGUAUUAUCCAAAUGCUGAUGGCUGCAAGUGAACAAAUAUCAUCAGGCUUAGAUUCACAUGAUCACAAUCAUGUGCGCUUAAAUAAUGCCCACACUUUGGUACGGAUUUUAUGCCACAAGAAAGAUAGAGAGGCCUCCAAAUUCUUAAAAAGGCAAUAUCAGUUCCCCAUGUCUUCAGGUAAUUUUUCCUCUCCAUCUAUUUCAUUGCAUGAAAGAUAGGGUUCUAAUGCAAUAAUAUCUAUAUGCUAGUAGAGAAAGUGGGUUUUGGUAAUUAAAACAAAAAGUUGGAAAAAGUGGGGAUGGCGGUUUGCUCUAUGUUAUACUGGAACUCUGAGCCCGUCUUAGCAUACUAGAGAUUAACCUAAGAAGAUCUCCACGAAGAUUGUGUACAGGAGGAAGUUCUCCCGUUUAAAUCUUGGAGGAGGAGCAUGUUUACGUCAUUGAGCAGCAAAUAUAUUGUUAAAGCAUUUGACACAAUUGAUUCUGAAAUGAUUCUUUAUUUUUUAAAAGAAUGUGCUUCAAGAAUAAUAAUCAAACUAUUUUAUCUUCAGAAUCACAAGAAACAGAAAAACUUAGUGGAAACAUGGCUUGUAACUGUUCGCUUUUUAUUUAAAAUUUUUCUUUGAAGACAUUAUAUUUCCAACUAACAUCAAUGUGAUGAUGUUUCUCUAUUAUGGUUUUCUAUUUCUGGUUUAAUAAUUGAAAAAAAAAGGUAGGUUCCAUAAUUCUUGCUUCUGAUAUUUUAUGGUCUAACCUGCAGCUUUACAACCGAAUUUCUCUGGCUAGAAAUAGUCAGUUUAUAUUAAACUCAUGUCAGCAUUUCUCUUUGCUUUUCUUUUUCCCUUUUUUCAAUUGCAGAGUAUGAUGACACUCCGUCAAAGGAUCCAACUUCCCGGUCACCUCUCAGAUCAGAUCUUACGAAUCGAAGCACGUCGUUUCAUUGGAACAAGAUGAGUCCUACUAGUUUUAAGACAUUUAAGAAGAAACUUCAAGAUGCAACAUCUGAAAUCAGGAACGUGGCGUGGUAGUGUGCAGCAAGAGAACGGGCUGUAAGGCAACUUGUUCUCAAAUAGAUGCCGAAAGGGCAUCGAGUUGGCUCUCCGGACCGGCAGAAGAAUGAGGCACCGAGAUUUGUGUGCAGCCAGCCAAUUUUUGUGUUCCGGUAUCCGUACAGCUUUAUUGGCAAACUACCACCUCCAUUAUGAUGCUAGCUAGUUUGUGCGUUAAUUUAUUCGUUGAACAUAGGGGGACAAAACAUAAAAUACCAAAAGACUAUCAGUUCUGUUAUUCUGCAGCGGCCCAAAAUUGGGAGAUUUUAGAAUAGUUUGUCCCUAUAUUGCGAGUAGAAUACAUUCCUAAAACCUUAAAUCAAGUAAUUUCGCACUAAAAUCCAAUUGCAUGUAGCAUCGAGGGAAAAUAUUCUCUUGUUAGACUGUAUGGCGACAUUCUAAAACCUCGAAUCGAGUAAUUUCCCACACUAUGGCAACAUAAUCAUCUUAUAUCUGUGAAUCUGAACAAGAUCAUGUUGAUAUUCCUAAUAUUAGGAUUAAAUGUACAAAUUGAGAAAAAUAGAGAGCAGUAUUUGUGUCAAUGUCAAUGACUCGAUGUGAUCUAAUUUUGCACCUAUGGCUACUUUCCAUCUUCCACAUGAUAUCAUAAUCAAUUACACCUUUAUGUUUUAAAAUCAGCACUCAUAAUUUAAAAUUAGAGUCCCGACAUACUGUCCAGGUCUUCGGUGCAAAAAACACGCAUCAUCUCCAACAAGAGAUCCACACUCAAGUACUACCUCAACUUUACUUUUUCUCUUACGUAAAAUAGACUCCAGUGAUAAAGACUUUAUAACUCCAAUGAUUAAGAGCAUUUAAACAAUCUCAAAUAUUCCAAGAUAUGAAAGAAUAUGAAGAGGGGGUGUGUAUUUUCGGAGGUGUAAAGCCACUUUUACUUCCUCUUCACAUCUCCGGAGGUUGUAAAUGUGGUUCUUGCAAAGGAUGUAAAAAAUGAUGCACAUGUGCAUCUAAAUUUGCAUCUCACAAUUGUGAUGCAAAUUUACAAUCGUUUACACCUUUCCAUUGCAGGUGAUUCCGAUUACAAAUGGUGUAUAUUUAACAUACACCUCAUUAUACAACCCUUCACUGGAGAUGCAAAUUUAUAAUAGACUUAAUAAUUUUCUCUUGCAUUCAAGAUUUUGUGUUGUAUUCUUUCAUUCCUCCGUCCGAUGGAAAAAAGAGAAUAUUUUUGCUUACCACUUUAACUCCAAGUAUACCGUCAUUACCUUUCUCAACACUUGACAUUUGUCUAUGGGUAUAAUCAUGAUUUCACAAAUACAAAAUAAAGAAUUAACUAUAGUUAUACCCACGGACAUAUGUCAAGUAUUGAAAAUAAUAAUGAUGUAUAUAUUGAGUUAAAAGUAGGAAGUAAAAAUAUUUCCCUAAACUCUAAAGAAAAAAGAAAAAAGGAAUCUACAUGAUUGAUGUGGAUCUCAUAUCAUGUGACAUGGAGGGGAUAAAACUUUGAGAAAAGACAAACACAAAUAUGGCCUCAUGUGGGCUCUUGAUUGCUUGAGUCACCAUGGUAGUUGUGAAUUAGAUAGCCCAUCACAUUCAGAGCACUUUGAUAAAAUCAUGGGAUUUGAAAUGGUUGUAGGUAAAGAUGAGCUUACAGUUGCCAUGGAUUUACACUUGGGAGGAAUGUGGAAGGAUGAUGCAUGAGUGGUGAUAGUUACCUAAUUGGAUUUUCAUGAGUAGCUUUACUCACUUUAUUUUCCAAUACUUGUACUUGACAAUCAGUGACAAUUAGUGCUAGUUUGCUUUUUUGGUCCCCUAAAUUAACACCUCUCUCCUUCUCUUUUUAUCUUUUUCCUCUUUUUUCUUCGUAAUGGUACUAAAAUAAACAGUGCUUAUAAUGAAAGAUAAAUAAUUUAAAUUUGCGACAUUUUUCAAUAUUUAAACGAGAAAUACUAAACCAAAAGCUAAGCUAAUUGGUACAUAAAACACGCAUUUUUUUAAAACUUGAUCCAACGUCAAUUAAUGGAGUGGUGAUACUCGCGCGUUGAGAUACUCUCUCAAUUUCUGGAAGGGUGCCCUUCAGAAUCACACGUGGCCCAUCUAUGUGCCUCUUUGCAACCAAAACCCACGUGAUCUAACUGCCCUUCACAAUUCACAGAGCACUCACCCAAAGGGGGCAGUAGAGCUGUCACCGGCGUACCAAUGACUGUGCCAGUGCCACACAUGCCAAAUGCUGGCGCAUUGACGGAGUUUGUUUGCCCAUGACCGCUGACCGGACCCAAAUUUUCCAACUUCACAGAAAGGUUCACAAUCCCAUUGGUCCUGGAACCGUCUCUAGCCCGUAGCCGGUAACUCAAGUACCGUGCUGAACCGGCCGGCGGAAACCCAAUAUCUUGAGCAGAGAUUUGGCACCAGCCCAACUGGGUCCGGCCCAUUAUGAGCCGCUUGCUGUAAAGCUGCAGAUAUAUGCAAGAGUACCUGUUUGUGAAGAAACUUGUGUCCACAGGGACAUGAAAUUUGUCACCCCAUGUAGGGUUGAUACCUCCUUCAUCAUCCACCCCUGUGCUGUACACGUGGCACUUGUGAUCACCGUUGGUGGUGGUGAGGGUAAUGAAGGUUCUGAUCUUGUUUGAGAACGUAGUAGGGGAGGUGGUUUUGAGGCCUUGGGCUGAUAUCACUGUGAUCUCCAUCUUCAUCAGUGGCUAGUGAUUGUACUCCUUCAACAUGAUGUUAUUGAACUUGGCUUGGAGUUGAUUGGUCUAAUUAUAUACAUAUAUAUAUAUAUAUGAGUUUGUAUAUAUAUACAUAUAUACAUAUAUAAUAUAUGUGAAAGUGUGUAGCAAUAAUAGGAAAUUAAAUAUGAGAGAGAGAGAGAGAGAGAGAGGGUUCUUGGGAGCUUCAAAGGGGGUUAAUUACAGUGCAGUUUCCUUGUGGAAUAAAAAUGGAGAAUUUUGGAAAUGGAAUUUUGAAAGGGUGGAUGAUGCAGCUUUAUAUGACUCAUACACUCAAAAAAGCAAUGGAAUUUUCCCGCUUGCCAAGUCAACUAGAUAGACGGUUUUUGUGUUUUGAUGUUUUUCCCCUACCCAUAUGCCCGUCAGUCACUAAACAAAGUGUGCCAAUCAUUUUUAAUGUUUCUCUCGAAAGCAAUAGAGCCUAAGCUUCGCCACUUCUUGAUGAUCCGGAUCGUCUGUUUGAAUUUUCCCACUCAUUAUAUGUUUGUCUUUUAUUCUCGAUUACAAAUGAUUGUAAAUAUUUAAAAGUAAUUUAUGAUUUGCGAUAAUUCAUUUUUAUAGGUUGUUUAUUGUUAAUUAUUUUGUUUUUCUAUCAAAAAUAAAAUUAUACUAAUAUUAAUUUCUUGUAUAGAUAGUUGCUCAAACCUUGCAUUUAAUGUGGGGUCCAAAUAGUUGUCAAGUAGCAAAAGCCAGCUUCUUUCCUUGAUUUAUUUUUCCACCAAGUUGUCAUGCAGCAUACUGCGGAUGCACAUGUCGUUUUGUUAUAAAAUUUUCUUUAAUUUGCAAAUUGCAAGUGCCGUCUUUGGUCGUCUGCAUGAAUAUUUUUCCAUGCAAAUUAAUUUGCAGAGCAAUUUCAUGGUAGAAGUCUGGCAAAUGCGUAAACACAUGGGCGUCAAGAGGAAUUGAAGUCAACCCAAUUUUGCUGAUCACAUGCAUACAAAUUCCACUAAGCUUUUCAUAAUAUUAAUAGGUCAUGUUAGUGGUCGGCACAAAUAUACGAAAAACAACAACUAGAUAUUGCCAAAAGCAAACAAGGCAAAAAACAGUUUUGCCACUUUACUUUAUAGAUUGGUCCCAGCCCAGCUGCAGCAAAGCAUGUGUAGCUGAGGUGAGGGUUCACAUUAACAUUAUGUUCUUGGCAGAUUGUGUCGACUUUAGGGACCGAAAGUGAAGCACUUGUUGACUCACCACAAGAUCGGGAUAUUCAUUUACUUCUCAAUUUUCCAAAUUUUUGUUCUUUUUUUGUGUGCGUAUAUAUAUGUAUAAAGAAAAACAAUUAAUUAGGGAAAAUUUAAAUAUAUUGCAGUCGAUCGACAAAUUUAAUACUUGUAUUUGGUUUAUUAAUUUUCCGUUGUCUUUUAUUUUUUUCAUAUUUUAAUAGCUUAUGUUAACAUUGAAUAUUGGGAUCCUUAGAGAAUCUUGCUUGUAAUUAUAUUUGUUGUAAGUCUAGAUUGACUCUCAAUAAUUUCAUAAGGACAUUGCAAUAGACAAAAUUCAUAGAAUAACGAGUCAAUUUGUUACGUAUCAAUGAACCAUGAGGAAAGUUGAGUGGUCACAUGGCAAACAGAAAAUGAAAUAUACAGUGAGAUUAUAUAACAAACUACAUUUAUCUGAAUAGAGAUGAUUGGUUUCGAGUUGUUUUAGUCUCUGUGUGGAGGAGCUUUGUUUUUGGUUGGGUGAUGGGCCUCUUUGGCUUUUAGAUGGUGUUGGGGAGGAUUGGUCUUGAGUGGUUUGAUUUACUUGUAGUAGGUAUUUCACUCUUCUGAUUAGUCAUUAGUAUGAGAAGUACUUUAUACUCUGGGAUUUUAUUCCAUGUAGUUUUUUCCAAGAAGAUUUUAACGAGGCCACCGUUAACAUGCUCAUUUUUAUCAUGUAAUGUUCGGUUUGAGUGGUCACAUUGAUAAACAGAAAACAAAAUUUACAGUGAGAUUAUAUAACACAAACUACAUUUAUCUGGACCCAAAACUCUCUGUUUCAAUCCAUAAAAGUAAAAUUUGAGAACUAGUAGUAGAAAGGGCAAGGACAUCCAACUCAUAAAUUCCAUUCAAUCCAAAACCUGGAGUUAGAGUGCUAAAAUUUAGGAGACAUUUUGUAAUGCUUGUCGAUAAAUUAUAUGCAAUUGGGCUUAUAUCCAAAGUAGUUCGAUGCCUCGACAGAGAAAGCUGCAGAAUCACUAUUCAAGAACAAAGUCCUAUUUCCCCAAGGUCCUUGGCUCUGAAUCCGACCAAUUGCCAUAACUUAAUGGCACCUCAAAAUAUCUAAACCUAGUUUUUGUCGUAAACCUGUUCUCUCGUUUACUCCAUGAACUAGACAAAAUGGAAGAAAUGUAAUUAAAAAAAAAGCUAAAAGCCUCGUUUGUGCGUGUUUAGGGUCUUCAAUGUCACAAACCAAAACAUUCCCUUUCAAGUCCAGGGCAUAAAAUUGUCCCAUUGAAUGUCACAUACCUUUUGACAACGUCGUUGUUGAUGGGGAUCAAAAGUAAGAAAAGCUACCAUGGAAACUUUCUUUUUUGUGGCCCAAAAGGCUAGAAGAACCCUUAGUCGGCCCAUUUCUGUAGGCAUGCAUGCAUGGUCCAUAAAUUUCAAUUGAUAAUUUGGGACCGCGAAUGUGGGUUUGAUGAGUUGUAUGUGUGCUUGCUCGCCCAUUUAUACCCGAGUUCAAUUCUCUUCCAUCUCUAGUGUCGAAUAAACAUAAACCCCGGGGGGGAUUGCCAGGCACACCAUGAACAGUGUUUAUAAGAGGUUUUAGAGACUGUUCCAACAGUAUUUCUUCUAGCCAUCAUCCAACUUGUGUGAGUUUCUUUAGAAUAAUAAUGAAUGUAACGCAUCCAAGUGGCUUAACAUGGCUGUUUACUAAGAUGAAAAAUUGCUCAAAAUCCCUUAACGGGUCUUUUGCAAUUUUAGGCCCAAACAAUUAUCCUUACGGAUAACGAACCUGACAUGAUAGGUCCAUUGUCAAUUCUCAAUCAACCAUGAGCAUAGACGAUGGAUGACUCAAAUUGCCAAGCGAGACCGAAUUACGUGAUUUUUUGUUUUACAAAGCGGCAUUCUAGAUUAUACAAAGAAGGGAUCGAACUCAGAUGCAAAGAACGGACAACACUGAUUGGACACUAGCAAAAUGAAAAUGAACGAAAUCAUGCUAAUCUUGAAAUUAGCUAAAUUAUCACUAACAUACAUUCACCACAUUAGUCAAAUGUGGCGUGUUUCUGUUUGUCCGUCUGCUUUUGAAACAACAAACAACAAUUCAUGGAUAAAAUUUUGAAGGAAUUAAUUUAUACAAGCGGGCUCACAAUUUUGACUGUUCCCGCCCAACUCUUCUGGCGCUUCAUGGAUCAAGGAAAAAUUUCAUCCGCGCCCAAACUACGACGCACGCACGGCGUCGUUUCGCAGUUUCCAGAACACACUAGAAAAUCUGAUCCUUUCUUUCCAUAAACGACGUGACGCUAUCAGUCAUUUGACUCGCACGUGCGCACUUUUCUCCUCGUGCGGUGCUGUCCACUCUUCCAUUAUCCGGAAAAACAAAUCAUAAUCACCAUCGUCAUCCAAUCAAGUCCGUCACUUUCCGAGCUCCAGCCACGUGGAGUCCUGAUCGCGCUUCGAACUCCCAUCUGACGGCUCUGAUUUCAUCGCCUCAGACCCUUCCCGAUGCUGCUCCUCUUCCUCCUCGUCUCUCCGCACGCGCUUCACCCCAAUGGACACCCCAAAUAGCCUCGGCCUCGUCUCCUCCUCCUCGUCUUCCUCUUCCUCCGCCGAAGCCUCCGCCUUAGACCCCUCGCGAACGACACCAUUUUCAGACGGCUCAGCCUCCUGCACCGGCGACAGCUCCAGAGGCUUACCCUCAUCCAUUACACUCCCACCGCCACCGCCGCCGCCCUCCAACUGACCAGAAGCGUAGUUCGUCAUCAAAGCCAAUAUAUUGUUGCACAAGCCGCGCAGCUGAGUCAGCUCGUGACUUAGCUGCAUGUUCUCUUUCCUGAGCCGCUCGUUCUCUUCCAGAACGUCCGACGUGGUGGUGCAGCUCCGGAUUCGGCUCAACAUCGUAGCCGGAGGCGCCACCGGCGACGAGUUCGACGAGAUCACUUGCUCGUCGCCGGAGUUCGACGGAGAUACCCCGGGAGCCACCACAGAUACCGUCGCCAACGUAGCGGUAAUCGCCGCAGGCGACGCCGACACCGACGGCGAGAUUUUCCGGCGCUGAAUCUCCCGUAGGAGGCCUUUCUCACCUCUUUUGAAGCAAUCGUUCGCGAACUCCCACCGAUCCGGCACAACUUUCCGAAAUCCCUGCAAGUACAAUAGAAAUCGAUUAGAAAAUAGAAUAUUUACGUGCUUAAGUUUGUUUGGCUGCCGAGAAAGAGGAGGAAAGUGAGGGAAACAGAGAGGGCUUACGUAAGUGUUGAGCUGGCGGACGAAGCUGGAGAAGUUGUUAUGCUUGAAAUACUUGGGGAGCAAAUCUCUGGCGAAUUCGGCGGGUCGCCAGACUAUGAAGGCCGAUCCGUCUUCGCUCCACGAGAUCAAAUCGUCGACGGACGGAUCGUCCACCAGCUGAUACGUUUUGGUCAAAAACGGCGUCGGAAGCGUCCUUUGUGAGUCUCCACCUCCUCCAGCGCCGUUAACCGGGCCGGAGUCGCCGUUCUGGUCGGCCUGCAACGACGCCAUGGCCUCUAGGCCUUCGGCUUCUCAGAUCCGAGCUCUAAUAGCAACUGAUUUAUCAAAUAAGUAACUGUUGUUCAAUAUAACAAAUAAAUUAAAAUUAUUUAACGUUUCAAUUGGUUGCAGAGAAACCGUGGAGCAAUUAAAAAUAAAUAAAAAUUGAAGAAAGGAAAAUUCUGGAGGAAUUAAUUGAUUUAAUUUCAUGUAUGAAAUGUCUAGCAGCUUCAGAAAAAAAAAUUUUAAUUAAUUAAAUUAAAGGAAACGUAUGUACCUGGAAAGUGAGGCUUUGGGAUGAACAAAGUGUAGGGAUUUUCCCACCAACCAAACGGAAAACUGGAAAAGAAAGUUCGUUUCCUACACGAAAGCUAACUCUAUCUAGAACAGUGCUUGGGCUGUUGCACCAAGGCUUAACCAGAAGAAGCCGCAGCAGCUCCGAGAGAGAGAGAGAGAGGCGGGGAGAACUUCCCUGCUCUUUUUGUUGUUUCUAGAAGGUUCUGGGGUGCGUGGAGUAAAUGAUAGGAGCAAGACGGAAAAAGGGUAUUCGUGGGUUCGAGAAGGAAAGAGAGAAAGUAAUUGUUUUAUUUUUUUAAGGAAAAGGAGAUUGGAAAAGGGCAAAAACUGUGGGGGCCCACGGACAAGAGGGAGUGAUUAAACAACGGAUAGGAAGGCGCGAGAAGUAGGGGCUAAGAGAGAGAAUUAGUAGGUUUUUCUUCUAACGUCUUUUCCAGAAGCUUCUCCCAUUCUUUCAUUUUCUAUUAUUUUAUUAUUAUUUUUUGCCCAAUUUACGUUUUGUUCCCCGUAACUUGUUUAGUUUUUCAGGUUGGUCCCUGUUUUCUUUAUUUUGACAAUUUUCAUCCAUUGCUUUUGGAAGGUUGGCAAUUCUAGUCCAAAUUGACAAACCCAAAAACAAAGGACUUUUUAUUACAAACGAUACCUAAGAUUUACAAAAUUAUCAUAUUUUGUCCUUAUUGUUCUUUUGUAAUACUAAUGGUCCUUAAAGUUAGCUUUUGUACAACAAAAUGAUCCCUGUCGUUAAAUUCUGUUAAUUUUUUUGUUAAAUUGAUGACGUGGCAUAUGUGUGGAGUUCACACAUCCAAUGAUAUAAAGCCACGUAGCUUUAAAUAUAAUAUAAUAUAUUUUUAAAUAUUUUUAAAACUUAAAAUUCAUUUCACAAAAAUUAAAAGCAACUUAAAUUAUUUAUUUAUUUAUUUUUUUAAGUUUUAACAUAGAACUAAAAUAUCAAUUAACAUAAAUUUCCUAACUUAUCCUCAAUUCAAUUCCUUCUCAAUUAAUUCAUCCUCAUUCUCACUCGAUUACGAAUAAGUAAACAUGCCAUAAAUUCAACGUAUUAAUUAGCGUUAAAAAAAUCCUUCCAUUCUAUGGAGGCAAAACACUCUUUGGUUGUCGGCUGUUUUCUACCUAGUACUGCUCCUGGAGCUUUAAUGAAGUUAGGUUUGUGGAUGCCUUUGGAGGUAGGGAAUAUUAAUUUGUGAACCUAUUACAGUUUGAAAGGUUGAACUUUGUAUGUACAGUUAUAUAACACAUAGAACCAGUCAAGACAGAGGCAUGUAAAGUUGUUAUUGGACUUUGAUGAAUUGACAUGUAUUCAAAUAAGACUAAAACACCUUGUGACAGGUACAUUAUGAAGAUUGCAAUGGAAAAAUUUGUGAGGAAGGGGACCCAAAAUUAUUUUUUAUGGGUGUCUUUGUGCGACUUUUUGAAGUACAAAUAAUUCUAAGAGCAUUCACACAACACAAUCAAAGUAAUAUUAGAGAGGGGGAAUUCGAACAUAUGACCACAAAUGUAGGGCUAACUACUCUUGACCACUUGAGAUUGUGCAGAUUUAAAGGAGCUGGCUUUUGAGGGCAACUCUCACACGUGAUCUUCCUCUAUGUCUAUUUGUUUGCAGAAUCUCAAUCCUCAGCACGAUGAAUGUUGCAAAGAGUUUCAUAGUAACUAAACAACACAGAAAACAACAAAAGAGCUGAAACAAAUAAUCAAAAUGAAAAAAAAACAAUAAGUUCUAGAAGCUCCAUCUUGAUCCACAUCACCAGCCUUAUCUUCAACUGAUCCUCAUCUCCCAAGAUCAGCAGAAAGAUUUUGACUAGAAAUUACUUCAAUUUAAAGCAUUUCUUAGGGCUUCAGCAUGACCCAUGAGAGCAGCAUAACUAAUGCCUUCAAUAGAAUCCCCUAUAUCGUUAUUAUUGUGUUACUAAUUCACAUGUUAUGUUAUAUGUGAAUGCUACAUAUAUAAAAUCAUGAGUGGAAAUGAGUGGACGCGGUAUGACAUUCGAAAAUCUUCCCCCAUUUCACAUCCAACUUCCACUUAAUUUAAGUAGGACCAGUCCGAUGCUGCCACUGAAAUGCACAACAUAUUAGAGGUAUCGUCUCUUUUUUAUAUGGAAUUAUUCUGUACAAAUAUUCAUCUUAUUUAUUUAUUUAUUUAAAUGUUUUCCCUCUUUCAUUGAAAAUUAUUGCAGGUUGCCCGGUAAACUUCCUGUUGAAACUUUAUUAAUUCGUGGGUUCUUCUAGUAGCCCUUAGCCAGCUCUCUCUCUCUCUCUCUCUCUCUCUCUCUCUAGAUCAAAACGUUUUUAACAUUGCCCCCAUUGCUUAGCUGCUUAAAACUACAAACCCGCACGUCUCUGUGCUAAGAAAAUUAUCACAUCCUGAAACUGGUCAAAUUCCUCAGACAGUUUGGAUACAUUUAUUCUAAGAAAAUUCCAGACAUCCUAAUUCCAAGACCCAAGUAAACAUUUAUAGAAGCAAACGCAAGUUUAUGCUUCAAUUUGUUACCACACAACAUGCAUGGCAUAAUUCUUUUUCGAUAUUUAUAUAUACUUGCCAGAAAAGGAAUUUAUUCCCAUGAUGUGGCCCAAUUACAUUUCUUUUAAAUGGAAAAGAUAAAUAAAGGAAAAACACUAUAGUAGAUGAACAUAUCUAGCAGGACAUCAAAUAAUACAGUUUUAUUUCUCAAGGCAGUGGGAGGUAAGUCACUUAGACAAACUUCCGUGCGCUAAUGUACAAUUCCAUUCAAUACUUGGACUGGUAACCUCGUGGAUUGUUUACCGCCCACUUCCAUUGGUCCCUGCACAUAUCGUCUAUUCCGUAUUUUGCCCUGAAACCGAAGAUAUAAAAUUAGCGAAGAAGAAAAACUAUGCGGCGCCAGUCAUCAUCUUGAAGGAUCAAAAAGAAUGUUUUGCAUUUGCAUAAAAGAAGAGAUGAAAUCUACUUACUUCCACCCGAGUUCCCUUUCAGCUUUCUCUGUUGAAGCAUAAACAGCAGUAGCAUCUCCCGGCCUCCUUGGGCAUAGUUUGAUGGGGAUUUUCUGGGAUAUACACAAUUAAGACAAAGUUCCAUAAUGAAAAAUUGAUUGAGAAAAAGAAAGAGAUAGUGAUUUAAAGGAAUCGCACAAUCACCUUGCCAGAAGCCUUCUCGAAGCCAGCAACCAUUUGAAGCACUGACGUACCUUGUCCGGUUCCCAGGUUGUAGGCAACACAUCCUAAGACAUGAAAUUCUAUUUAGAACACCCAAAUGCCAAAGAACAUUACCACAAAUAUUUCUGACAUGAUAGAGUCAUUCAGAAACAUGACACUCAAGAUAAUAAGAACAAUCACCUAGAUUCUCUGUAGUAAAAAGCUUCUGAAGAGCAGCAAUAUGACCAUCCGCCAAGUCCAUAACAUGAAUGUAGUCUCUGAUCUGUGCAUAAUGAAGAGAAUAAUAAAACUGGUAAUUAGGAAAACAUGUGGAUUUAAUCGAUUGCAUAAGACUAACAAGAAAGUCGUGUAUUAGCAGCAUGCUGAAGGAUGAUUCUAUGAGUAUAAUAUAAAACCAUAUGCAGUCCAAGCCAAAAUAAAUUCAACACGGGACCAGUAGCUGGAUGUCAAUGAACAAGUGAAUUCUUGCCAAUCCUACCCAGUCAUCUUGAAGAAAAACAAUCUUGAUGGAUUUUACAUACCGCAGUACCAUCCUUGGUGGGAUAAUCAUGACCAUAAACAUUAAGCUCAGGCAAUCUUCCAACAGCUACUUGCUGUAUGUAAGGCAUGAGGUUGUUUGGGAUGCCUUUGGGAUCUUCACCAAUUUGCCCACUCUCAUGAGCCCCGACAGGGUUGAAGUACCUCAGUAGAAUAAUUUGCCAAUCUGGGUCUGCUAUGUGUAUAUCUCGAGCAAUUUCUUCAAGGAAAAGCUAGUAAAAUGGAGCAAAUCCUAUGUUAGAGAAGAAGGAAAGAAAGCCAUCUAAUUUUUAACUCAACAUUAAUUCAAUGUUUUGUGGAAGAAGAUAUGUUGUAUACCUUUGUACGGCCAUAUGGAUUCAAAGCUACAAGGUCAAAAUCCUCAACACAAGGAAUUUUUGAAGGUUGCCCGUAAACAGUUGCAGAUGAUGAGAAAACCAUCUACACUCACACAACAUCAUAUUCAUCACGUUAGUAGGUGGAAACAUGGGAACAUUUUACAAAAUCAAUGUCUCAAUGUUCAGAUGCUCAAUUCCUCAGAAGUACUUUAGAAAAGACGAAAAUAAAUAAGUUUUUUUUCUCUAAAUAAUGAAGCCAAUAAUUCAGAACAUCAGUAUGUUUAUAAUCCACUUUGUCCUUCUCUUUAGUUUUACUGGGGCAUAAGAGACAGUGAGAGAAACCAAUCGCCAGCACAGGCACAUGGGGGAAAGAAUGAACAUUUAAAACAUUGGUCCAAGUUCCAUUGGUUUCCAUUCCACACGGUUGCCAACAUAUGGAAAACAAAAUAGUAAUCUCUGAACCUAAUUUGAGGUCCAACUGCAGAACUCAGAAAAAAGAAGAAAAAAGAAGAAGAAGUUGAGAGAUCAAACCUUUUUACAAUUGUAUUUUGUCAUGAUCUCAUAGAGAUUAAUAGUGCCAACCAAAUUAUUAUCAUAAUAACGGCGUGGGUGAGCAACACUCUCUCCUACAGCUUUCAGGCCAGCAAAGUGGAUCACAGCAUCAAAUCUGUCCCAUUAUAAUCCAACAGCACAGUCAAAUACUUGAACGUUAUAAUUACAUACUAUGAUGUAAUUAAGAAAAUUACUCACUUUGUUUGAGAAAACAGCCUCUCCAAAUCGUCCUUAUUUCUGAGAUCACCCUGCAACCAAAAAAAAAAAGAAAGCAUAAGUAAUUGAAUUAAUGAGAACGAGGCCAAAGUGAAAACACAAAACACAGUGUUAGGCUUAUAAGAAACUAAGAAUUUUAUUGCAAUAAUUGGAGACGAUUCUAAACCAACUGAGCCGAGCAAGACUAUGUUCAACUUAAUUUCAAGAAACGAAGCACAGUUAUCAGGAAUCCAAAAUUCCCUUUCACAUUCACUCUAAUUCCCAAAAUAAGUAACAGAGCAUCAAGAAGUCAAAAUUUUCUUUUCCAAUUUUAAAAUUAUCUAGGGAACCAAACAGAGCAGCGUAAAGCCAAAGCAGCAAGUUCACUAAACAAGAAAAAGAGCAAAAAGACAAGAAAAAGAAGAAAAAGAGAAGCGGCCAUAGCCAAUGAACAAGUGAAAGUGAGGAUAGCGAUAUACCAAAUGAAAGUGGAGCUUCUGAGAGAGCUUAGGGCCGACCAAGUCCCGAACGCGAUCAACAGCUUCAAUGACGGAAUUGUCAAGAUUAUCAAGGAUGGAAACCCUAAACCCUGCUUCGAGAAGCUGAACCACCGUGUGGCUCCCAAUAAACCCCGCCCCGCCGGUCACCAGAAUCGUCUGCUCCAUUGACCCCAUGCUUCUUGCCUCCUCCUCCUCACACACUCACCACAAACGAACUCACAGAGAGAGAGAGAGAGAGAGAGAGAGAGAGAGCGAAUCAAGGAGGGUCGUUCGGGAAUUUCGGAUAAGCAAGAAAGUGAAGAAGAAAUGUGAAUUUGAAUUGGAAUUUAUGAGAUUAUUAUACUAUAUAUAUAUAAAAGAAAAAGGGGGAAAAUUCAGUUGAUUGGGGAAUUGGAUAAGAAUGAAUAAUUGAAUUACGUGAUUGAUGAUAAACACCCAAAAAAAAAAAAAAAAGAAGAAAAAACAGAGAAAAAAAUUGAAAAGGGUGAGAAGUUCAGUUGAGGUGAGUAGAGAGAAUAUAUGGAAUCAGUACAGUUUGUUUUGCUUGGCGCGUUUUUAAUAGAUCUUUCCUUUUCUGUUAUGGCGGAGCUGUGACGGUUGCAGUCGCGCGAGUAAAGCGCGUUUCGUACUCUCCAGUGCCAGUGGUAUUGGUAGUUUGCGAGGUCGAGGUUUGCGGAUUUGAAAUGGGUGUGAUUAGACUCUGACGUGGUCCAUCCAAUUUCUGUUUUUCCAGCGAAUUUGGAUAUUUUUGUUUUCCUUAAAUUGCUUUUUCUUUUAUUUUUUUCUUUUGAAAGCGAUAUUGUUUUUUGUAAAGUUUGUAACGAACGAAUUUGACAUGGUUUGGUUGGCGUGCCGAAUAUCGUAUCCUAUACAUCUUUUUGGAAUAUAAUGAUAAUUAAUAAAUAAAUAUGGGAAUUUUGGCUUUUCCUUUUUGGGGAAUGAGGAGAUAGAGGACUUUUAGAUUUAGGAACAUUUUUUAUUUGACAAAGUAAUGUUUCAAACUAGUCUAAUGUAUAGAGAGUGGAAUAGCAAUCGGGUGCAAAGGACGAGCACACCAUCUUAAGUGACCUAAACUACAUCUACUUACUUAGAACAGCGGAGAGUUUGAACAACUGAAAUGAAAGAAAUUAACUCCUUUAAUGUGAAGAAGCACACACUAAAGCACAUCCAUUUUGGGCAAAAAUUUGAACCGUGGAAAUUUGGCUUCUUCUAAAAGUGUCAAGGUUAACCUAUACACCAACGUUAACGUCUGAUGAAGUAGCAUGUGCAGAGAAAAGUUGGCCACAUUUAGUAACACCUGAAUCAUUUUCGGCGUCGAAUUCACGUUCCAGGCACCUUCCUAGAGAUUUAACGGCAGCUGAAGAAGCAUCAGGUCUUCUGGAACUUCUCUUUCUUAUGAUGGAAGGAGUAUUUUUGAAACUCAAUGCCAAGUUCUUCAGUCUCGACCCGGGACUGCUGCCACUGCUGAGAUUCACAUUAACAUUCUGCGGACGGCUUUGGGGUGUAGAGUAGCAGGAUGGACUCUCAAGGGGGGAGGACCGGGUAGAAGCAGAUGCACCCACGAAAACCGAUGAAGAGGCUGAUAGAGGGCUGUGUUUGGAAGAUCCACUUGUGAUUAGAUUUGUCAAACUACUUGCUCCUCUAUCUGAUGAUCUGCAUUUCUGCACUUUGACAGGUUUCCAUUCUGAACAAAGUUCAUGUCUAUAAGAACAUCCAAGAGUCAACUCUGUAGAGCAAGCGCUAUCACUAAUCUCCAACCCUGUUCUCUGAUUGAGUGAGGCCAGUCUAUCAGAAAUCUGUCCGGCUGGGUUAAUCUCGACAAGGCCCGAUCUUAAUUCACCGUUCCAGACAUCAGGAUGCAUAUCCACAUCACAACCAUUAGGUGAGUAUGAAUCUAAUUUUCUCUUCAGUGUGCAGUUCCAGUGAUUUUUAAUUGCAUUGUCAGUCCUGCCAAUUUCAAUACAGAUGAGAUGAGUGAGUGCAUUCAACAGAAGGAGCCAAUCUCCCCAUUUGAAUUGUGUUAAUAAACAUAAAUUACACAAUCAUUAAUGAUAUAUCUAUGUUCAUAGUAAACUGUAUCUUCACCAGCAAAUAGUACACAAAUAGUGCAUGUCUAAAAUCCAAAAUUUGACCAAUUUAAUAAAUUAAUCCCUAUACAAGUGAUACAUAAUCCAGAUUUUUACCUCAUUUGCACCACAUACAAUCACAGGAAAAAAACCCAUGUACAUAUAUGUUCAAGUUCCCAAAACAUGUUGGUCAGUCUUCAAUUAAUGAAUUCAUCAUAUACAAAUAAACACAAAAUCAUACUUUCAUCCCAUCUGCUUUCAGUUAUUGUAUACCUUCCAGGUAGAAACCUGGCUAUUUCUGCCCACUUGUUACCAAAGAGUUGGUGGUAGUAAGUAAGAACCCACUCCUCUUCUUCUGUCCAUGCAUUUCUAUUUAUAGCCGGGCAUAAGUGAUUGUACCACCUGAAAGUAAUUAUUAACUUCAUUAUUGUCUAGUAUAUAACCUGCAUAGCUAACUAUUACAAAACACAAUGGAUGUGAACCAUAGAUUUGCAGAACAUAUGUUGAUUGAAUGGUACUUGAUGCCAAAAGUUUGAUGCACUGACUAGAAAUCGUUGCUGCCUACCUUUCUCGGCAUUGCUUGCCCAUUCGACCUGGUAAGAACUUUGCAAUAACAGACCAUCUUUUAGCACCAUGACUCUCAACUUGUUUGAUUAUGCAGUUGUCUUCCUGAAAUCCAGAUAAAGGAACAAAUAUCAGUUUUCCUUCAAUUAGUUUGUUCAGUCAACUUGUUUGUCCGUGCUUCUUAGUUUGUUUUCUCAUUGAUCACAUAUCAGUUUAGCAUAAAGUAAAAGCAUGAUUUCCCCAUUGUUAUAAAAGCAUGCAAGAGUGUUAUGUUUGCACCUCCUUUGUCCAGGGUCCCUUCACAAUUUCAGGAUUUAGAACCUUUUGCCAGCGCUGCAGGCACUGAACAUCUGUGCGCCCAGGGAGACACGCAGCUGCAGGACAUAAGGAAGCAAUCAAAUCACAAACUUUGCAUCAGGAAACUUUCAAAAAACUAGAAGCACACUUUUGAAAACCAACUGAAAGACAGUGGCAUGCCCACCUAUUUCCUUCCAAUUACUCCUGUUAAACUUUCUGACCAGCUCUCCUAGAAGAUUGUCCUGCCAUAACAAGAAGUCAAUUGAUUAAUAAAGUGAUUAAUUUCUGAGAAGCUAAGGAGACUAAAAUAAAGUCUCCACGUAGACUAAACCAACAUUAUAAAUAUAAGAACUUCUGUAUUUCCUUCUUCAUUAACAAUGUAUCUAAAACUUACAUGCUAAACUGGCAUUACAGAACUACCAAACUAAGGAAUUUUCACUACUGACCUCUUCCUCUGUCCAGCAUUUCGCUGACCGUCUCAUCGGACCAGUGGCUCUCCUAGAACAGCAAAGCAGACCAUUCAUCACAGUAAAGUAUCAAAUUAAGCAUUUACCCAAAACCAGAAAACUCAUGACCAAAGAAAAAAUUAACUCAAAUGGCAAUAAGGCAUAACCAAGUAAAUUGUAAUAUGAGGAAAAAGGCUAAUUGAAGAAUCAGAUGCCAUCAUAAAUAUGCCCCUUCCAUGUAAAAAGUUAAUUGAAGCAACAUACCGAGUAGCAGAGCUUGGCUUGGA